rnacentral:lncRNA from 1 species
AAGGAGCAAAGUGGAUCUGAUUUCCUUGCUUGUUGGCAUCAGAUUAAAGGUAAAAAGUUGUUGCCUUGGCUUGGUUGUGCUUAGUUUGUUCACGAAUGAAGUUUUAAGGGCCAAAUUUUCAUAUAUGAGUCUCUUUUCGAGUUUUGGGUUCAGAUAUGUGGUUGCUACUAUAGAUCUAGACUGGUCUUGACUCAUGAAUCUGGAAAGUGAUAACUUUGCGGCUUGUUUGAGAGUGUACUUGACUUAAACCUUCAUUUUAGCUUGUUUAGAGCUUGUUGAACCUUGCAUGCACGUAAAGUUGGAAACUUUACGUGUGAAUCUGGCCCUAGGAGUCCAGAUCUAUGUAUUGGAAGCUUUGGAAUAGCCUGAAAUCGUCUGGAUGAAGAUGUCACGUCUGGACUCGGCGAGUUGGAAGAACAACUCGGCGAGUCUGUUCUUGGACUCGACGAGUUUGGUCGCAAGGUCCUAACCUUUUUGGUUGAGCGGUGAAUCGGUGAGUCGAGGGACGACUCGGUGAGUUGAGCAGGAAGUGACUCAGAGUUGGUUGGACUCAGCGAGUCUUCCGGCGACUCGGCGAGUCGAGUCGUGGAUUAGUAGUUUUUGAGUAUAGGGACUCGACGAGUCAGCGGGUUGACUCGGCGAGUAGAGUCAGUCAGGAAGGUUGACUUUGACCGAGGAGUUUGAUUUUGACCAAGAGUUGGCCAGUUGACUUCCAGGGGUAUUUGUGUAAUUAUUGGUAUUUAUUGAGUUCAGUCUUUUGGUAUUAUCAGUGGUGGAGUUCAUGUCGGAGGUUGGAGCUGCAUGAUCUUAUCUUUUCAGUCAGCAGUUGCGAGGUGAGUUAACCUCACUAUAUCAACAGGGUCUAAGGCACCAAGGUCGACCCUUUAUCGGAUGGAAAUCCAGGUAGUUGUUUGUUAUGUUAUUGCUCUGUUAUGUUCGCAUCCUGGUAGUUAGGAUGGUGUAUGUUAGAGAUCGGGUAGGGUCAGUAUCCUGGUUUAUAGGAUGAUGUUAUGCUAGUGACCGGUUAGGUCGGUAUCCUGGUUAGGAUGAUGUUAUGUUUGUGAUCUGCUAGAUCGGUUUGAUUGGAUGUGAAUUGUUAUAUGAUUGUAUGUUUAUGUGCACAUGGUUGUUGGACUGGGGUUGGGUUGAGGCGGGUCCUGCUUUGUGCUGUAGGCCAAUAUACCCAGGGCAGACCGGUUAUCCCGAAGUCCCAGCGAGCGGUCUGGAUAGGCUGUAGGCCCCAAGAGGGCGGUCCAGACGUGCCGAGGCUCGGGGAGUGGACCAGGCCGACUGAAGGCCCGGUGCGGGUGGACCAGUCAUACUGUAGACUCAGAGAUUGGACCAGGUGGAUUGAAGGCUCGGUGCAGGCGGACCAAUCACACUGUAGACUCGGUGUAUAUGGCUAGACUCGGAGGGUGGACCAGGUGGGAUGUAGGCCCGGUGCGGCGGACCAGUCACACAGUAGACCCGAAGUGCAUGGUUGUUCUGUUCUGUUAUGUUGUGAUAUGUUAUGUGUAUGGUAUAUGUGGUUGGUAUUUUGGGGGUAUCUCACUAAGCUUUCGGGCUUACAGUUGUGGUUUAAAUGUUUCAGGUACUUCAGGAGACCGUGGCAAGGCAAAGGCGUGAUCGUACCGCUCCUCAUGUUGAUGUUUUAUGAUAUGGUUCUGGGAAUACUCUGAUAAUAAAUGUAUUGAAAACCUUUUUGUAGUAACUUAAUGAAAUUGGGUGGUUUUUGAAAAGUUUAAAUUUGGUUGGAAUUUUUAGAGUGUUACAAGUUGGUAUCAGAGCCUUGGUUUGAGUGAAUUGGAGGAACAUUCGUGUGAAUCCAGUCUCAAAUCAAGGAGAGUUUUCAAAAAGAGAAUUUAAAAUUGUUUUCAAAAUAAGUAAAGGAGGAUGCGGAGGUACGAUCAGCCGGAGCCAGUAAGUAACCCCAAAAUACCAUACAAGUUAAUUGUUUAUGAGAUAUGAUAGAACAACAUGCUAGUACUAGGCUAGCGAUCUUCAGGAAUUGCAUGAUAGAGUUGCCUGAUUUAUGAUGCCUUCUAGCCUAGGGUUUCUUUCUGUAUGAGAUUUCCAGUGUUCCUUUAGGAGUGAGGGUUGAGUGCUUGUUAUGCAUGUUCUUCACUAGGGUGUUGUGGUGAUACUUGAUACAAACAUGGGUAGGUGUGGAAGGUAGUAUGGGCCCAUACUACUGAAAGCAUAGGACCCAUACGCGUAUCAAGGAAGUCACAACCCCUAGGGCUGGGUUGGGAGUUGGUUCUCGGGUUAGUGAGUAGCAUCUGAUGUUUUGCGGUAAUAUCAGUAUGGUGGUUUCGAGGCAUGCUGGGAGCAGAUCCGGGUCAAGAUUGGGAGCAGGAUGGGGAGGUCAUGGUGGAUCAGCACCACCCGAGGUUAUCGGUUAGAUGAGCACAGACGAGUUGGAUGCUAGGAUUCGUGAGAUCCUACAUGAUGAGGUUGCUGCUAUCUUCCGGGCCGAGUUGCCGGAACUGUUCGGGUCAAUCAAGACCGCCAUGGUCAAGUAUUUUGAUGAGCGCUAUGCAGCUCUUACAGAGACGGCUAUCGCGGCGGCUACAUCGGUUGUAGCAGUGGCAGGGGGAGGAGCCGGUAGAGGUUUUUAGUAUCGGGAUUUUGAUAAUACGAAGCCCCCUACCUUCGAUGGAGUUCAGGACCCGAUUAUUGCUAUGAGAUGGUUGUCAGACGUGGAGGGGUGUUUCUUCACGUGUUCAUGCCCUACUAAUCAGAAAGUGAGGUGUGCUCUGAACCUGUUGAGGCUCGGGGCGAAGGAUUAGUGGAGAUUGACCACGGGGUCAUAUUCGGAUGCGCAGCGGGUUGCGGUUUCUUGGGAUCAGUUUCAGGAGAUGUUCAGCACUCAUUAUGUCCCACGAGAUGAGAGAGAGAGGUUGGCUCAGGAGUUCCUGGAGCUGAAGCAGGAUUCAGAGUCGGUGACGGAGAUCACCAGGAUGUUCACUGAUGUGUUUACGUAUCAUCAGUGCACAACCAAUUCGUAAACAACAAGACUGUUGGAUUAGUGCCUAAGGCUAUAACUAUAUUUGGUAAGUACUUGACCCGAUUGUGCAUGGUUCUUUUGGGUUGCCUUCACCAUAGCAACUUGACAGGAUGAUUUGUUAAGAGAGAAGAGAUAUUAUUGUUAAUAUAUUAUGAGAAAAAUAUAUUAAAGGAAUAAUAAUGUUAUUUGAUUAAUAUAAGUCAUAUAUUAAUUGAGAAUUAAUCUGGUGACUUAAAGAGGUUAAUUGAAUAAAGGGGCAUAAAUUGUCAAAUGUGUGAUAUUUGUGUUUUGGGCUAUGUAUCCUUAUGGAUAUAAGGGUGGACGGAUUUUAGGGUUAGGAGACCAUAAAAUCAUCCAAGCCUAAUAUAUAGGAGGAUCUUGGAUUGCUUAGGGCCUAAGUUAUUCAAUUAGGGUUAAAGGUGAAACCCUAGUGGCUCAUAGUAUAAAUAGAUCCCUUGGGUGAGGGAAAUCAGCACCCAUGCAAGGCAAGGAACCCUAGAGUCGAUUUCUCACCCUUUUCUCUCUCUCAAGAUCAUCCUCUUGCUAGUUGGUGUUUGUAAGCCAUUAGAGGAGUGACAAUUGUGACUCUAAGCUCCAAGUAGAAGAAGUAUCAAGCAAGUAAUUCAAGGUAUAGUUCUAGAUCCGAUUUCAUAUGAUUAGAUUCAAGUGUUUUCAUUAGAUCUAGAAUUGUAAGUCUUGGAUACAAUGCAUGUUCAAUUAGAGAAACCUAGAUCCAAGCAUUAGGGUUUGCAUGUGCACAUAGGAAAGUUCUUAUGGAUCAACCCAUCAGUGGUAUCAAAUAUUUGAUUGAUUUCUAUUGAAUUGAUGCAUUGGUUGAUCACUUGUUGCUUGAAAAAUUCGAUUUUUGUUAUUCUGCCUGAUGAACUCGGCGAGUUCCAUUGUGGACUCGGCGAGUUCGAGCGUCAGAAGGAGGUAGUUUUAGGAUUUCUUGCUGUUUUUCUUGAGGAUACUUUCCUUAACUGUUUUGGGUCAUUAAAAUCUGAUUUUAAUCAUAUAUAUGAGUAUAUUCUUGACCAAACAAAAGAUAAUUACCAAUUAGUUGAAUAAUAAUUUCCUUAUAUGAUAAUAAUUGUUUAUUUGAAUUGAAUUGGUGAAUUGUCUUGCAAGUAAAAUUGAAUAAGAUCAAAUUGAGAUAAUCUAAUUAGUUGAUUUAUAUUAUUUGCUAUUUUAUCCUUAUGUUUUGAAAAAGUUUAAAACUUGUCCUCAAGUUUUGAAAUUUAAUUUUUGUGAUUAAAAGUUUAAUUUGAAAAUUUUAAAUUUCAAACCCUACAGUUUUACAAUUUUAAAAUUCAACACUAUACUAAUAUAUUAUUACAAGCUUAAUAUAUAUANNNNNNNNNNNNNNNNNNNNNNNNNNNNNNNNNNNNNNNNNNNNNNNNNNNNNNNNNNNNNNNNNNNNNNNNNNNNNNNNNNNNNNNNNNNNNNNNNNNNNNNNNNNNNNNNNNNNNNNNNNNNNNNNNNNNNNNNNNNNNNNNNNNNNNNNNNNNNNNNNNNNNNNNNNNNNNNNNNNNNNNNNNNNNNNNNNNNNNNNNNNNNNNNNNNNNNNNNNNNNNNNNNNNNNNNNNNNNNNNNNNNNNNNNNNNNNNNNNNNNNNNNNNNNNNNNNNNNNNNNNNNNNNNNNNNNNNNNNNNNNNNNNNNNNNNNNNNNNNNNNNNNNNNNNNNNNNNNNNNNNNNNNNNNNNNNNNNNNNNNNNNNNNNNNNNNNNNNNNNNNNNNNNNNNNNNNNNNNNNNNNNNNNNNNNNNNNNNNNNNNNNNNNNNNNNNNNNNNNNNNNNNNNNNNNNNNNNNNNNNNNNNNNNNNNNNNNNNNNNNNNNNNNNNNNNNNNNNNNNNNNNNNNNNNNNNNNNNNNNNNNNNNNNNNNNNNNNNNNNNNNNNNNNNNNNNNNNNNNNNNNNNNNNNNNNNNNNNNNNNNNNNNNNNNNNNNNNNNNNNNNNNNNNNNNNNNNNNNNNNNNNNNNNNNNNNNNNNNNNNNNNNNNNNNNNNNNNNNNNNNNNNNNNNNNNNNNNNNNNNNNNNNNNNNNNNNNNNNNNNNNNNNNNNNNNNNNNNNNNNNNNNNNNNNNNNNNNNNNNNNNNNNNNNNNNNNNNNNNNNNNNNNNNNNNNNNNNNNNNNNNNNNNNNNNNNNNNNNNNNNNNNNNNNNNNNNNNNNNNNNNNNNNNNNNNNNNNNNNNNNNNNNNNNNNNNNNNNNNNNNNNNNNNNNNNNNNNNNNNNNNNNNNNNNNNNNNNNNNNNNNNNNNNNNNNNNNNNNNNNNNNNNNNNNNNNNNNNNNNNNNNNNNNNNNNNNNNNNNNNNNNNNNNNNNNNNNNNNNNNNNNNNNNNNNNNNNNNNNNNNNNNNNNNNNNNNNNNNNNNNNNNNNNNNNNNNNNNNNNNNNNNNNNNNNNNNNNNNNNNNNNNNNNNNNNNNNNNNNNNNNNNNNNNNNNNNNNNNNNNNNNNNNNNNNNNNNNNNNNNNNNNNNNNNNNNNNNNNNNNNNNNNNNNNNNNNNNNNNNNNNNNNNNNNNNNNNNNNNNNNNNNNNNNNNNNNNNNNNNNNNNNNNNNNNNNNNNNNNNNNNNNNNNNNNNNNNNNNNNNNNNNNNNNNNNNNNNNNNNNNNNNNNNNNNNNNNNNNNNNNNNNNNNNNNNNNNNNNNNNNNNNNNNNNNNNNNNNNNNNNNNNNNNNNNNNNNNNNNNNNNNNNNNNNNNNNNNNNNNNNNNNNNNNNNNNNNNNNNNNNNNNNNNNNNNNNNNNNNNNNNNNNNNNNNNNNNNNNNNNNNNNNNNNNNNNNNNNNNNNNNNNNNNNNNNNNNNNNNNNNNNNNNNNNNNNNNNNNNNNNNNNNNNNNNNNNNNNNNNNNNNNNNNNNNNNNNNNNNNNNNNNNNNNNNNNNNNNNNNNNNNNNNNNNNNNNNNNNNNNUGCUCCUGUUUUGGCUAUUGGGCAGGGAAGGGGCAAGAAGAGGAAGGCUUCUUCAAAGAACCACCGCAAGGGAAAGUCCCAAGAUGGUUCCUCUUCUAGUGGGACCAAGGUUGAUCCUGCUAAGCCCAACCCAAACCCAAAGGAGGCAGAGUGUCAUCAUUGCCACAAAAUAGGGCAUUGGAAGAGAAGUUGCCCGGAAUAUCUGCAAGCCAUCAAGGAUGGGAAGAUCAAGCCAUCUUUCGCAGGUAUUUACACAAUCAAAUCUCAUGAUUCAUCUCAUGCUAUUUCUUGAGUUCUUGAUACAGGGUGUGGUUACCACAUUUGUUUUGAUUUGCAGGGACUAGGAAGAAAUAGGGAUGUGGAGCUUGGAAGAAUAAAUCUAAUCAUGGGGAACAGAAGAUCGUCGCCUGUUACCAAGAUUGGAGUGUAUUCUUUAGUGCUUAGUAAUGGAUUGAAUUUAGAUUUAAAUAAUUGUUGCUACUCGCCAGAUAUGGCAAGAAACAUCAUUUCUUUACAUGGUUUAUAUAGACAAUGAUUUAGAUAUUCGUUUAAUAAUGAGAAUGGUUCGAUUUAUGCUUAUCUAAAUGGUGUUUUAUAUUUUGAAGCAAUGCCUUGUAAUGGAAUUUAUGAAACUGUUAUGGUUGUAGAUAACCUAGGAUGUGUUGUGUAUGGAUUCUUCCAAUAGUAUGGAUAAAGCAUCUUUGUGGCAUUGUCGUCUUGUACAUGUCGACAAGAAGCACAUACCCAACUCCAAAAGGAUGGAGUGUUGGAGUCACUUGACCUUAGGGAAGAUGACACGUGUGAAUCUUGUUUACUUGGAAAGAUGACCAAGUCACCAUUCACUGGCACUUGUGAGAGGGGUGAGGGUUUAUUGGAUCUCAUACACACCGACGUGUGUGGGCCCUUUGGAUCCACCAAAGGAUGGGAACCGCUUCUACGUGACUUUCACCGAUGAUUAUAGUAGAUAUGGGUAUAUUUACUUAAUCAAGCACAUGUUAGAAACGUUUGAAAAGGUUUAAAGAGUUCAAGCAUGAAGUGGAGAAUUAAUUGGGCAGGAAAAUCAAGAUGCUUUGAUCCGAUCGAGGAGGAGAGUACCUAAGUCUUGAAUUCCACGACUAUCUCAAGGAAUGCGGAAUAGUUUCGCAAUUGACGCCACCUAGGACACCACAGUUGAAUGGUGUGGCAGAAAGGCGUAAUCGAACCCUGUUAGACAAGGUCCGUUUUAUGAUGAGUCGUGCUUCACUACCUAUCUCAUUAUGGGGGUAUGCCUUAGAGACUGCCGCCCAUAUCCUUAACCGAGUCCCUACAAAGAAGGUUGCCAAAACACCUCACGAGAUGUGGACAGGGAAAGCUCCCUCGUUGGCACAUAUCAAGGUUUGGGGCUGUGAAAUUUUCGUAAGACAAGAAAAUCACGACAAGCUCAAACCUCCUAGUGGCGAUGUAUUUUCAUCGGCUACCCGCAGAAAUGCUUUGGAUAUCUCUUCUAUAGACCGAGUGACAAUGUUGUCUUCGUUGCGAGGAGAGGGGUUUUCCGAGAGCGAGAACUCAUAAGCCAAGGGGACAGUGGGAGGCAAAUCGAUCUUGAAGAGAUUCAAGAGUCGAGNNNNNNNNNNNNNNNNNNNNNNNNNNNNNNNNNNNNNNNNNNNNNNNNNNNNNNNNNNNNUCCUUACCUCUUAGACGUUCCGAUAGAGUUAGAGUUCAACCCCAGUUUUAUGGUUUUCAUAUUACUACCGAAGGGGACACGUAUAUUAGUGAUGGUACACUAGUAAAUCUUGAUGAACCUAAUAGCUAUAAGGAAGCCAUGGCAGGCCCAGAGUCUGUAAAAUGGAAAGAGGCGAUGUAUAGCGAGAUUCAGUCCAUGUAUGACAACCAAGUUUGGAAUUUGGUAGACAAUGUGCCCGGACGUAAGAUGGUUGGAUGAAAAUGGAUCUUCAAGAAGAAGACCGACGUGGAUGGGAAGGUGCACACGNGCUGCUAGCUCAUUCACGCUAAUGAGCCUUUGUUAAAAAGUGACUUUCGAUGGAUCGAACUUUGGCGAAUGGAUAAGAUACAUUCUCACGAUCGCGCGUUAUGAGGACAAAGAGUAUGUUCUCGAUGAGAAGCUUGAGAAUAUCAAUCCAGAAACUGCUACUCCCAAAGAAAUGGUUGUUUUUGAGACCCAUGAGCAUGAUGCAACGAAAGUCCAUUGCAUCAUGAUAGCCACAAUGAACUCCGAAUUCCAAAAGUCCUAUGAGGACAUGUAUCCUUAUGAGAUGCAUCUAGACUUGUUGGAGAGAUAUCACCAAAGCGCGAGGCAAGAGCACUAUGAGAUCAUAACGAAUAUGAUCACUGCUAAAAUGGGAAGUGGAGAGUCUCUAACCGUGCACUUGCAAAAGAUGCAAAGGUAUGUUGAUCGUCUUCGCAAGUUGAAUGUCAACUUUGGGGAAGAUUUGGCUAUCGACAUUGUUCUUCACUCCUUUCCCUCAUGCUACAACCAAUUUAGGAUGACCUACCACGUGAACAAGGAAGAGGUCACCCUAAGCAAACUCCAGGGGCUCCUAAGGACUGCUGAGAGCAACCUUAAGGACAAGUCUGUUGCACCAACUCCCAAUCCACCCGUUGCUCCUGUUUUGGCUAUUGGACAGGGAAGGGGCAAGAAGAGGAAGGCUUCUUCGAAGAACCACCGCAAGGGAACGUCCUAAAAUGGUUCCUCUUCUAGUGGGACCAAGGUUGAUCCCGCUAAGCCCAACCCAAACCCAAAGGAGGCAGAGUGUCAUCAUUGCCACAAAAUAGGGCAUUGGAAGAGAAGUUGCCCGGAAUAUCUGCAAGCCAUCAAGGAUGGGAAGAUCAAGCCAUCUUUCGCAGGUAUUUACACAAUCAAAUCUCAUGAUUCAUCUCAUGCUAUUUCUUGAGUUCUUGAUACAGGGUGUGGUUACCACAUUUGUUUUGAUUUGCAGGGACUAGGAAGAAAUAGGGAUGUGGAGCUUGGAAGAAUAAAUCUAAUCAUGGGGAACAGAAGAUCGUCGCCUGUUACCAAGAUUGGAGUGUAUUCUUUAGUGCUUAGUAAUGGAUUGAAUUUAGAUUUAAAUAAUUGUUGCUACUCGCCAGAUAUGGCAAGAAACAUCAUUUCUUUUCAUGGUUUAUUUAGACAAGGAUUUAGAUAUUCGUUUAAUAAUGAGAAUGGUUCGAUUUAUGCUUAUCUAAAUGGUGUUUUAUAUUUUGAAGCAAUGCCUUGUAAUGGAAUUUAUGAAACUGUUAUGGUUGUAGAUAACCUAGGAUGUGAUGUGUUGUGUAUGGAUUCUUCCAAUAGUAUGGAUAAAGCAUCCUUGUGGCAUUGUCGUCUUGGACAUGUCAACAAGAAGCGCAUAGCCCAACUCCAAAAGGAUGGAGUGUUGGAGUCAUUCGACCUUAGGGAAGAUGACACAUGCGAAUCUUGUUUACUUGGAAAGAUGACCAAGUCACCCUUCACUGGCACUUGUGAGAGGGGUGAGGGUUUAUUGGAUCUCAUACACACCGACGUGUGUGGGCCCUUUAGAUCCACCACAAAGGAUGGGAACCGCUUCUACGUGACUUUCACCGAUGAUUAUAGUAGAUAUGGGUAUAUUUACUUAAUCAAGCACAAGUCAGAAACGUUUGAAAAGUUCAAAGAGUUCAAACAUGAAGUGGAGAAUCAAUUGGGCAGGAAAAUCAAGAUGCUUCGAUCCGAUCGAGGAGGAGAGUACCUAAGUCUUGAAUUCCACGACUAUCUCAAGGAAUGCGGAAUAGUUUCGCAAUUGACGCCACCUAGGACACCGCAGUUGAAUGGUGUGGCAGAAAGGCGUAAUCGAACCCUGUUAGACAUGGUUCGUUCUAUGAUGAGUCGUGCUUCACUACCUAUCUCAUUCUGGGGGUAUGCCUUAGAGACUGCCGCCCAUAUCCUUAACCGAGUCCCUACAAAGAAGGUUGCCAAAACACCUCACGAGAUGUGGACAGGGAAAGCUCCCUCGUUGGCACAUAUCAAGGUUUGGGGUUGUGAAGUUUUCGUAAGACGAGAAACUCAUGACAAGCUCGAACCUCGUAGUGAGCGAUGUAUUUUCAUCGGCUACCCGCAGAAAUCCUUUGGAUAUCUCUUCUAUAGACCGAGUGACAAUGUUGUCUUCGUUGCGAGGAGAGGGGUUUUCCGAGAGCGAGAACUCAUAAGCCAAGGAGACAGUGGGAGGCAAAUCGAUCUUGAAGAGAUUCAAGAAUCGAGCGAUGAAGGAACCUCUAACGCUGGCGCUCAACCCGAGGAGGAAACUCCGGUUGAACCGAUUGACGAGUCCUUACCUCUUAGACGUUCCGAAAGAGUUAGAGUUCAACCCCAGUUUUAUGGUUUUCAUAUUACUACCGAAGGGGACACGUAUAUUAGUGAUGGUACACUAAUAAAUCUAGAUGAACCUAAUAGCUAUAAGGAAGCCAUGGCAGGCCCGGAGUCUGCAAAAUGGAAAGAGGCAAUGGAUAGCGAGAUCCAAUCCAUGUAUGAUAACCAAGUUUGGAAUUUGGUUGAUUAUGUGCCCGGACGUAAGACCGUUGGGUGCAAAUGGAUCUUCAAGAAGAAGACCGACGUGGAUGGAAACGUACACACAUAUAAAGCGCGAUUGGUCGCGAAGGGCUUUACUCAAACUCCCGGAGUUGACUAUGAUGAGACCUUCUCACCAGUUGCGAAGAUAAAAUCUAUUAGAGUGAUGCUAGCUAUUGCCGCAUUUCAUGAUUAUGAGAUUUGGCAAAUGGAUGUCAAGACCGCUUUCCUUAACGGAAAGUUGGCUGAGGAUGUUUACAUGGCUCAGCCAGAGGGGUUUGUGGAUCCGAAGCAUCCGAAUAGAGUGUGUAAGCUUGAGAAGUCCAUUUAUGGACUUAAGCAAGCGUCUCGCAGAUGGAAUCUUUGCUUCGAUGAGAAAGUCAAAGAGUUUGGAUUUGUACGAAGCGAAGACGAAUCUUGUGUAUAUGUCAAAGCCAGUGGGAGUAUAGUAAGCUUCCUCGUUCUAUAUGUCGAUGACAUAUUACUCAUAGGAAACGACAUCCCGACUCUGCAGGAGGUUAAGUCCUGGCUCGGGAAGUGCUUCGCUAUGAAGGACCUCGGAGAGGCUUCUUACAUUUUGGGAAUAAGGAUAGUAAGAGAAAGAAGUAAGAGACUAAUUGGACUUAGUCAGAAUACUUACUUAGAGAAGGUACUAAAACGUUUUAGUAUGGAAAACUCAAAGAAGGGAGAACUACCGAUACAAAGUAAUGCCAAAUUGAGUAAGACUCAAAGUCCGAGUACCGAAGCUGAGAUAGCAGAAAUGAGCCGAGUACCAUACGCUUCCGCAGUUGGCUCAAUCAUGUACGCUAUGACUUGUACUCGCCCUGAUGUAGCCUUCGCUUUGAGCAUGGUUAGCAGAUAUCAAGGGAAUCCUGGCAAAGCACAUUGGAUUGCGGUGAAGAAUAUCCUUAAGUACCUUCGGAGGACGAAGGAAUGGUUCUUAGUCCUCGGAGGGAGUGAUGACUUGAAGGUGCGAGGGUAUAGUGACGCCAGUUUUCAGACCGACAGGGACAACUACCGUUCGCAGUCGGGCUGGGUCUUUACCCUAAAUGGAGGAGCAGUGACAUGGAAGAGUUCCAAGCAGGAAACCGUAGCUGAUUCAACGUGCGAAUCAGAGUACAUUGCAGCGAGCGAAGCGUCGAAGGAGGCAAUAUGGCUAAAGAACUUCAUCGGUGAUCUUGGAGUUGUACCUGCCAUAAAGGAGCCCAUGGAGAUUUUCUGUGAUAACGAAGGAGCGGUUGCCUUGACCAAGGAACCGAGGGAUCAUGGUAGAUCAAGACAUAUCGACAGAAAAUAUCACUUCAUUAGACAUCGUGUAGAAGAAGGACAACUCGUAGUGAAGAGGAUAUCAUCAGAAGAUAACCCAGCAGAUCCGCUUACGAAGGGACUGAGUAGGGUUAAGCACUUGCAGCAUGCUAGGAGUAUUGGGCUGAAGGAUGAUAUUAGCAUAGAUUAGAUAGUAUUAGAAACGUGUAAUAGAUAAAUGUAAUUAACAUUUGAUGAUUAAAUAAAGGAGUUUUAUUUAUGAGUAAUGUUACUAUCUUAUGUUAAUUGUUUAGCUAUUGUUUCACUUUGCAUGUUUUGACUUCCAGAAUAAUUGAGUUUAUUAGGAAUAAUCGAAUUGUUCAAAUGGUCCACAAUCGUUCAUAUGUUGGGAGUAGAUAUGAAUGAAGAUUGUCAUGAAUUGGUGUGUAGAAUGUCUAAAUGGUGUUAGACAUAGCAAAGGAUUGCUGCAACGUUCAUGAGUGCUUAUGAACUAGUUUUGAGCAUUGGAAUAAACCCGCGCUUGCUGGAAUCACCUUAUGGAAUACGAUAUAACAAGUGAUCGCAAGACGAUAAUAUCAUAUGGUCUUAAAACCAAGAUAUAUGGUUUAUUGUUUAUUAAUUGGUUGUGCAUUGACAAUGCGAAACCGCAUCAGUAAAUUGAUGUCAUAAAACGCAUUGUUGUGUAUAGUUGAUUAGUAAAUAGUAAAUGCAUAUAAGUCGAAGUUUAUCUGUUACUUUUAUCCUAAGAGGGUAAAAGCGAUAUCAGGGCCCCUCGAUGAUUUGAUUUGACUUAUGUGUCGGGCCCGGUCAGGACUGAAUUGAUGUGUUCAAUUAAGUUCUAUGUCAAAUGAAUCUGAGAUCGAGAAACCAACUGUUGGACAAUAAGUUCCAUGAGAUUGUCCGCACAAUAUCUAAACAGAGGACUGUACGAUCCCUUAUCUAAAGGACAGGAUACUGAUAAGAUCAGAGUUUGACAGCGUCUUUGAGAGCUACGAUUGCUAAUCGGAUUGUGUUUGCAUAUAUAGUUACUAGACUUAUCCAAGUGGGAGACUGUUGGAUUAGUGUCUAAGGCUAUAACUAUAUUUGGUAAGUACUUGACCCGGUUGUGCAUGGUCCUUUUGGGUUGCCUUCACCAUAGCAACUUGACAGGAUGAUUUGUUAAGAGAAAAGAGAUAUUAUUGUUAAUAUAUUAUGAGAAUAAUAUAUUAAAGGAUUAAUAAUGUUAUUUGAUUAAUAUAAGUCAUAUAUUAAUUGAGAAUUAAUUUGGUGACUUAAAGAGGUUAAUUGAAUAAAGGGGCAUAAACUGUCAAAUGUGUGAUAGUUGUGUUUUGGGCUAUGUAUCCUUAUGGAUAUAAGGGUGGACAGAUUUUAGGUUUGGGAGACCAUAAAAUCGUCCAAGCCUAAUAUCUAGAAGGAUCUUGGAUUGCUUAGGGCCUAAGUUAUUCAAUUAGGGUUAAAGGUGAAACCCUAAUGGCGCAUAGUAUAAAUAGAUCCCUUGGGUGAGGGAAAUCACCACUCAUGCAAGGCAAGGAACCCUAGAGCUGAUUUCUCACCCUCCUCCCUCUCUCUCAAGAUCAUUAUCUUGCUAGUUGGUGUCUGUAAGCCAUUAGAGGAGUGACAAUUGUGACUCUAAGCUCCAAGAAGAAGAAGUAUCAAGCAAGUAAUCCAAGGUAUUGUUCUAGAUCCUAAUUCAUAUGAUUAGAUUCAAUUGUUUACAUUAGAUCUAGUAUUGUAAGUCUUGGAUACAAUGCAUGUUCAAUUAGAGAAACCUAGAUCCAAGCAAUUAGGGUUUGCAUGUGCACAUAGGAAAGUUCUUAUGGCUCAAACCCAUCAGUUGUAUCAGAGCUUUGAUUGAUUUCUAUUGAAUUGAUGCAUUGGUUGAUUGCUUGUUGCUUNNNNNNNNNNNNNNNNNNNNNNNNNNNNNNNNNNNNNNNNNNNNNNNNNNNNNNNNNNNNNNNNNNNNNNNNNNNNNNNNNNNNNNNNNNNNNNNNNNNNNNNNNNNNNNNNNNNNNNNNNNNNNNNNNNNNNNNNNNNNNNNNNNNNNNNNNNNNNNNNNNNNNNNNNNNNNNNNNNNNNNNNNNNNNNNNNNNNNNNNNNNNNNNNNNNNNNNNNAUAUCGCUUUUAUCCCGAAGGUAAAAGGAAUGGAUAAACUUCGACUCAUAUGGCUUGUUCUACUACUUGUUGAAUCAUACACAAAUGCACGUUUUAUAACAUCGAGUUACCAACGUGUUUUCUUGCAAUCAAUGUAUAACCAAGUCAUAGUAACAACUCAUAUCUCAAGGUUUGAAGAAUAUAAGAUAUUACCGUCUCAUGAUUACUUGUGAUAAAAUCCAUGAAGUGAUUCCAAUGAGCGCGGUUUGAAUCCAAUACUCAGAACUUAUGAGCACUCAUGAGUGUUGUAGCACAACUUUGUCCACCAACUUUGUCACACCCCGGCCGUCGGCGGAAACACCGGGCAGUGUAAUGUCAUUUCUCGUAUCAUAGUUAUCAACUUCCUGAAAACACAUGCAAUUUAAAAUACGUCAACAUAAAUUUGGUGAGUUCACAGGUUUUGACUCCAUAUAAAAAUAAUACAUUUUUCCAAGUUCAAAAGUAUAGUUUUGAAAGUAUUAUUUUGAGUUUCCAACGUUUAGUAUAUAUAUCCUAGGUAUAAUGGUUUACUUACCAAAUAAGUAUAUACCUAUAAGUCUCAUAUAUUAUAAAUAUAAAUGUUUGUAAUUCCAUAAAAACUAAGUUGCUACGUAUAAAUCUUAUUUCAAUUCUAUACGAGUAAGUAGGAUAGGUAUAGUGGUCUACUUAAUAUACAAGUGAUAUACCUACUAGAUUCUUAUACUUAGAGUAUAAGUCUUUAGGAAACUUAUACUUAACAUUCAUACUUGUAUAUCGACAAAGUAUAAUGCUUCUAAAGUUGUUCUACCAUGAGUCUGUAGCCGCGACUGUAUGACUUAGUUUUAUACCUCUUAUUAUUAUUAUUACAAGGAUCACACAUUGCUGUAGUGCAAGGAUUACACCUUGUGGUAGUACAAGGAUCACACCUUGCGGUAGUACAAGGAUCACACCUUGCGGUAGUACAAGGAUUACACCUUGAGGUAGUACAAGGGUCACACCUUGCGGUAGUACAAGGAUCACACCUUGCGGUAGUACAAGGAUCACACCUUGCGGUAGUACAAGGAUUAUACAUUGCGGUAGUUUCCGCACGUUUCAUCAACGCCAGAACAAUAACAAAUAAAAGGAUAGUUCAUCACUCACUUUUGGUUGACUGUAGCUAACAGUCACGAGUGGGGUGGUCAACCCGUAUACUAUUUAUACACGACUUCCUCGCUCACACGGGAUUAACGAAUACAGGUCAGAGGACUUUCACUAAGAUCCCCAAUCUUAGAUGAUGAAUACAAUAGCUCAGGUAGACUUUGACGACGUUCUAUGGUUCUAACAACAAAAGCAUUUUCGUGUCUAAAACCCUAAGUUACUAGACUAUGAUUUUAAACAUUACUCCUAAUUUCAUAACAUUUAGGCAGUAUAACAACUAUAACUUGAAGUAAAACUAGGUUUUAUCUUGACAUAAAACCAACAAUAAUAACAUAUAACACACCAGGUUUUAUCUUGACAUAAAACCAACAAUAAUAAUAUACUUAGAAACUAAUAUAUAUAUAACUCUCGAGUAUAGCAUCGAGGCUAUAUCACACAUACUAUACAUAGAACUCCCGAGUAUAACUCAAGGUCUACAUUAGUAUAAUAACAUGCUAACAAGUUUACGAUAGUUGUAUAAUUUCAUAUACGAAAUAAGACUUAUCCCGAUUAUUAUAACUAUCUACGUUGAUACUAAUAUACUAUCAUAUAGACAUAAUAAUAACGUAUAUAUAAUAUUUAGCAUGCGUUUUCCCCCGAAAUAUUAGAAAGUGGGACCGUGAAACUCACCUUAGUAACGUGAUUUUAUGUAAUCUAGGUAGAAACGGUCAGCGUGUGAGAUUGUCGGGGCUCGGGAUGCAAGAGGGCUUCAGCAAAUGAGAGAGGAGAAAGGAAAUGUUGUAAGGAAGUGAAUGGGUCGAUCUUGUUAUUUAUAGUAAGUUUUUAUGACACUCACGUCGUGAGUGUCAUAAGACUCACAUCGUGAGUCUCAUGAUUCACUCCGUAGACUUGCCAUUUGCGUCCCUAGCUUCGGAUGGUGGCCAUGACACCUCACGUCGUGAGUGUCAUAAAGCUCACGUCGUGAAUUGGAUCUUAUCCUCUCGCAGCUUCUAGAUUCCGAAUUAUGACAGAAUGUCGUGAGCGUCAUAAAACUCACGUCGUGAAUUAGCUAGUUUAGGGUUUUUAAAAGCUAAAUCUUCGGAAUGCCAUAACUUUUGCAUACGAACUCCGUUUUUGACAUUAUUUAUAUGCAUGCGUAGGUAUUUACGAGUAAUACAACUCCCUUUUAGACUUAAAUAGCUAAUUCUAAGUCUAUUUUAAAUUCCUCUUAUUAUAGAGAUUUAUAGUGUUCGGUUUAUCAUAACUUCUUAAUGCGAAGUCGAUUUAGACGUUCUCUAUAUUUUUGGAAUCGUAUGGACAUAUACUUUGAUUUAUAUCAUAAAGGAAGUUAAUAUUUGUAUUAGAAUUUAUCAUGAACUACAUAACAUUCUUACCACAUUACUAGGUUAAUAUAAUCACAUUACAUGAUUUGCAUAAUCACAUGUGAUUAUCUAUAGACCUAUUUUGACUAGUGUUACAAACUUGGACCUCUACAAGACAACCCAUGACAGUAUUGAUUCAUAUAUACUUCCAACAUAUGACCGAAUGUUGAUGGUUUGAAUAACUUAGUCAAUCAGGAAGAACGACCUAGUUAUUCUGGAAGUCAAAACAUGCAAAAUGAAACACAAGAAUAAUUGAAUCCAAUAUGGUCUCAGAACUUAUGAAUAUAAAUAAAACACAUUUUAUUUAUCACCAUAUGAUCACACAUUAUUCAUUGUAUACUAUUUCAGCUAUCAACUUUAUUCUUGAAUUAAAACAAUUGCUGCCCCAUGCUCCAAGCAUGUACACUAUGUUUUCUAAACACUAGUCAUGCCACACACCAAGUAUGCAUACUAUGUUUGUCUAUGAUCUUUACUUUGUGAAAUAGAUAAAUUGAAUAUAACUCCAAUGAUCCUAUUUUCACAUUCCUAAAUCCUUACUGCAAAUGCAAGAAUUCCAAAUUCAUGCCAUUUACCGAAAUUUGUUAGAUUCUAAACUUAUAUGCAUUGAUCCUCUUGUAAUGAUUAUGCACAAAGUCAUAAAGACUUGACAACAAACAUUACAAAACAUUCCAAAGGAGAUCAACUCCUUGGAAACAGCCUUCUUGCAUUAAGUUUCCUAAUCUUACACAGAUUGAAUAAUUUCUAACUUUGAAACAUUUCCAUAUUCCAUUUUGACUACCACUUCUGAACACGAGUUUCCUUUUUUCAGAAUAAUUCAAUAUGGUCCUUCCACCAAUUAACACUAUACUUCCAACUGUCCUUGAGAAACCAAUCUUUGGUAAACCUUAGACUGUCCUCGACGAUUGCUUAAUCCUUUUAGUCACAUCUAAUUCUAGACCUUUUCCCUUCUUAAUGCCCCAGGCAUUUGGAAAAUUUUAGAAAGGAUGAAUAUAGCACAUGUAAUCGAUCCUAUAUCCGAAGCAUAUGGGACACGAUUCAUGAUGUCUCACAUAAAGACUAAACCAGUCUUUUGCUAUAAUAUUUCCAUUUCAAUUUGCCAAGUUCUCAUAAUUCAGAUUAUGAAAAGGGAUGUCGUAAUCAUAAUCGAAUUUUAGAACGCAAAUAAUGGACCCAUAUACAGAAUUUCCUUAUGUUGAGCCAUUCCAACAUGAAAUUCAUAUAUAUCCUUGACUAAAUGAUUAAAACCUCACGAUCUAAGCUUAUAGAUUUGAGAUGAAGUAUAAUUUCCUCUCCCUUAAUUAUAGCAAAACAACUUUUUCCCAAUUGAAACUUUUGUUUUCUAUAAUUAACAUUGCUAACUUGCAAUACUUAUCAUAAUUAUCAUGCUCCCACUAACAUGAUGAUUAUUAGCAUAACACUUAUGCUCCCACUAGCUUUGACAUGUACUCAGAAAUCAGUUGGACUUCUAGAAAUCAAUACUUUAUUGACUUUCUUACCAAAGUUCAGAUUUCUGAUACUAGAUUGCUUUGAUAAAACUUUAUCAAUAUCAUACACCUUAUCUUAGAUAGCUCACAUGUGUGUUUAAACAAUUUUAAGAACUAUGAAAAGGGAUGUCAUAAUCAUAGUCUUGAUUGUUUAUACCUUUUCCACUUCUCACUAGUCCAUGUUAGUGUGUCGGUUAACCACACAUGCUCCACUAACAACUUUGAGAAUGCAAAUAUUACAAUUGCUAUCUAGCUAAAAUCUACUUAGUGAAAAUGUUUCCUCACCAUCAUUUUCAUGAAUCGGAGAGAAACCUUAUGACACUUAGAUUUAAUGGUGUAUGUGUUCUUAUCCAUGUGAAUUGUCAAAACCAUAAUCACAAGACAUGGUUAGUGACAAAUCCAAACUCUUAUGGAUUGAACUUGUGUCAUCUUAACUUCUUGCCAUUUGGCAGCUCAAGGGCCUGACAUUGCUUCCAAGUUGUUGUACAACCAAUUGAGAACUCUAAGAACUCAUAUGCAAAUCCAACUUUAAUUAGAAUAGGCAACGAAUAUGUCAACACGAUAGGUUAUAAACCUCAAGUCGUGUGCUAGUGAAGAGACUUCAGGUUUUUAUUCUUGAUUAGUUCUUGAGACUUUCGAGACCUUUAAGACUCCCACUGUCCUCUUGACAUAUAAGACUCUCUUUUCAAAUAUUCAAAAUAUAGUGCGGAUUCUUUAUCAAGAUAAACACUUCACACAAUUGGCCUUAGUUGGUCUUUGUUUUAUCCAAAACAUCACAACUUACCAAUUUCAAAUGUACAAGAGUAGAAAACUUUUACUCUUACAUUUGACAAGUGUUUUAAACCUUCUUUAAGACAUGUCACUCAACUUACAGUAUUGGAGUAUGACUCUAAGACUUGUUUUGGAACCAAGUAUGACUCAUCUUCUUGAUUUGACCACUUCAACAAUUCAUAGCUCCUCUUCUUAUCUAUCAGAAUGCACUUAGAGGAUGAAUUGUGAUAAGGUAUCUUCAUCAUUAAGAUGAUCAUAUAACAUAAUACUAAAGUACUCUCCUAUCUUUUCAGAUUUAAGAAACUUUUAUCUUUCUACCUAAGUUGAUUCUUCUUAUUCGCUCUGCCAUACAUUGUAAUUUUUCUAAUGUAUCAGAAUUACACUUAAACCUGUAAGUAUAACCAUAUUUACUAAACUUUAGUAAAUCAUGAUGAAUAGCCUUAUCGAUAUUUUGUGGUGGACUUAACCAGUGCACAAGAAUGUGUACUCGAUCCCUUAGUCCUUUACUUGACUCACACAUCCAUGUGAACAAGUAAUUAGUCUUAAUUUUCCAAUGCUUGAAAGUUCUCAUUCAUCAUGCUAUACAACUGGCAUGAUUCCAAGUUUCUAUCCAACUGAAACUUGGGUGAUGAGAAUCUUUUCUUAUUUGGUAAAUUUAGACACUACCACAAAUGAAAGAAUCAAAUUCAUAUUUCCACUCUUGCUCUUAAUGGAAUCUUAUAAGCAACAAAAAUUUUCACAAGUGCCAUUGUAAGGAUAUUUUAAAAUAAAUAAAAUCAAAAUUUUUUCAUUUUAUUUUAAAAAUUGUGGAAAAACUAUCCUUACAGUGCAAAAGCACAUGAAAACUUUGUUGUUAUCUAUUCCUAAGCAAUAUAUCAUAACUCCUAAGAAGUAGCUCAAGAAUCCGAUCUUCAAACUAUGAGAUAGAAAUCCAUCUACGCGAUCAGAUUCAACAUAUUCUUUUUUUAAGUUUCUUUACUUUUUCUUUGAUUCUUAAAACAUCAACAUGUGACCCAGUCACAUAAUGUAUCAAGAAUCUCAUAGUAGAAACUUAGCAGAGUUAGAUAGUGGACUUUACCUGAAGUAGAGUCAAACUUAUUGACUUUAACAUCCUUAGGUAAAAUUGACAGCUUCGCAACUAAUGCCCCUUCCUUUGGCAAUGGACCCUUGAUAAUGGGACUAUCUUAGACUUAGCCUCUCUCUUUACCAUUUGGUCAACCAAGUUGACUAUGGAUGAUCCCUUUCCAUUGGGAAGAGAGAGCUUUACUGGAUAUCCAAUGUCACAUUGUCAAUGUCCAUUGAAAGUUUGGGAAGUUGAUCUUCCAAUCACAUUUGCUUUACCAGUGUUCCAAAUCAUUACUGAUUUAGCAAUACCAAGCAAAUAGAUAAGAUCAUUAAGAGUCUUGUCAUAGUCUGUUUCAUAGGAGUCCCAAAGGAACUCACUAUGUGACUUAGAAAGUGAUUGAGCCACCAACUUUCUCAAGACUUUGACACCUAACUCUCUCGGCUUGUCAAUAUGUGACUUCAUCUCCAACAUGUGAUCACACUUAGACCUUGCCUUUCCAAUAGGGCUUGAGUGACCUUAAACUUUUCUAGAACUUGUGGGUUAGGGAGAAUAAUUGGAGGAGGUGAAAUAAGUAUGAUUUCCAUGGGACAUCGUCUUCAUUUAGGAAAAUUUGUUUCAAGAGAUUUGGGAAGAUCACAGAUGUCUAAACCAUACAUCUUUUGGGAGAUAUUCAAGAUAGUUGAUUUAAAGUCCUUAAUAUAACACCCAAUAUGAAAUAUUAAGGCUAGGACCCAACACAAUACUUUUAUAAAUUGGAAGAGGGAUGUCGUAAUCCAAGCUAUAAAAUAUUUGAAGGUAGGUGAAUCACGAUUCACCAAUUUCCACCAAGAUAAACAACAUGUAUUAUUAGGUUUUAAUUGGUUUUUCAAACUCCUAGAUUCUUUUGAGAUUCAUUGAACUGUUCAAUAACAUGUUUCAAUCUCGAAUGUGCCCUUCAGGUUUUGUGACUGAGAUGCCGAGGAUCACAAAACAAGGUGUGAAUAACCACGCAAAUAUACUUGGUACCCUUAAGUGUUUACCCCUCAAGCGAUGUGCCGGUUAACCACACACGCUCCAUCGAUACUAUGAUAAAUAUUAAGUCACCCUUUACCUACCUUGUUAAAUACAAGUUAGUGUGCCGGUUAACCACACACGCUCCACUAACGACUUAGACAAAGUGUAAAGUGUAAUUUCAUGGAUUAGCACCUUAUUCACAUUUUCCCUAAGUAACUAAGAUUGGGUAUUAUUAAGAGUUUAGUUACUUAGUAUUUUCAUUAAUACUUUUAAUGAAGGGAGAAUUCUAGUCCUGUCAAACCCGUUCGGCUAACGACCCUCCACCAGUCAAGCAAGCGGUGGGUGAGAGUGGACACCCAUUAAGUUGCCAUUUUAUAGGCAACAGCCUUAUACCCACCUUAUAGUCCGGCUUCGUGAAUGAGGCGUACUAGCGGUAAGACUGACUUUACUCUUAUACAUAUAUAUAUUAUUAACUUAUAAUAUUAUAAAGCAUAAGGGUUUAAUUUAAACUUUUAAAAUUCUAAGGGCUAACCUGGAAUUAAAGUAUUCAUAAGAGAAAACUUUUCAAAUUACAAAACUUGAGAGCAAGUUUUGAAAAUAUUCAAAACUAAUUAAUUCCAUAACUUAUGUGAUUAAAUUAGUUUUAAUUAAAAAACUCUUCAAGUUCCAUAACUUGAGGACAAAUUAUGGAAGACUUUAAACUAAUAAAAGAAUGUAACUUUUCUUUAUUUUGUCACUUGUUGGUUUCCAUGUUCGUUCCUUUGGCUGAAGUUGCCAAUGUUGUUCCCACCUCCAUUAGGGUUGUUUGCAUUGAUUUGUGUCAUCGCAGCGGUUACUGCUACCGUUACAGCAGCUUGGAAAGUAGCAGAGUCCAUCUGCAGGAGUGGUGCCUCGCGGGUGCGCUUGUUAUUCUUGCGGGGCAGCAUUUUCCUGAUGCAUGUUGAUAAGCUACAUCGUAAUUAUAGUCAUUCCUGGUUGUACUCUAGAAAUUUUGCAUCUUGUUAUAUAAUUCUUACUGCUCCCAUAUACAUCCCUAUGAUGUAUUUAUAGUAGUAGGUAAUCACAUAUUUGGCACGAUCGUUACGUCUACCCCAGAGGAUAUGGAUUGUUUCGGUUUCGAGAUCCUUAAGUACCAUCUUAGUACACGAAAGAGAGUCAUAUCGGAUAGUGAGGGGGAAAAGAAAAGGUUGAUCCUAAUUGUGGCGGUAAGUGUCUGGUGGUGGUGCUGAUGAAGUGGGUGCACUUCGAAGAUGAGCUACUUGUUAUCCGGUAUCUCAUAGUUGUACUUCCCAAACUAAUUGUCUCGCUCGAGAGUCUCCAUUCACUUCCUAUGUCUGCCCCUCAUCUUUCUCAAUAGCAAACCACAUUUGUUCCGUUCGAUUAGUGGUGUCCUGAGCUUGGUUAUCAAUACCUCGGGUGCGUCGGACCAUGACUGGGAGGGCCCGGUCAGCUGGUCCUCUAUGGCUAAUGGUCGGAGAGACCUCGGUUCCUACCCUAGUGUGGUCGUAUCCCCUGCUGGUGACUCUAUCUCCAAAUAUCAUGUGCCUAAGGGGGGCAUGGGGCCACCAGGGCCCACACGAUAUGUCGAUACUCUGACUUUACAUGGAGGAUUGAUGUCAUUGGAUUCUACAUCUGAGUCAUCAUCAUCAUUGCCCUCUGGCUCUUCCUCUUCAAGGUUCACUUAUUGACUUGGCGGGUUCACCUGCGAGUUCUACUUCGUGUUCCUCCUGUGGUUCUUCCUCUGGGUCGAGCCACCCUACUAUUCUUUGACUAGGGAGAUAAGGUUUCCUGACUAAUGAUACUCGUCUAUAGCGUAUUGCACGAAGGGCUAUGAAUACUAGAAACAAAUAGCAUACCAAUUACUCCUAUAACUCUACGACUAUUGCAUAGAUUUAGUUGAGGUUCCCUUCUUGGAGAUUAAGAGGUAUGUUUUUAGAUUCCCUAGCUAUCACGAUUUAUUCAAGACAUGUGAUGGUCGUACUUUGGAGGGAAUGUAGUUGAUCAGGCUACAUCCACUCCUUGAUACAACUAAAAACAGUCUUGGAUCAACCGAGAUACUAGCAUUAUCUUGUUCGAUUCGGUGUUAGGUUCUCGUUCCUAAUACAAGCAAGGGUGUUUUAUUGUUAUGUUUACUUAUUUUGUUCAGAGUCUGGUUAGUCCCUCUUCUGGUUUAUAGUUGCAUAUCAAUGUGUGGUUAGAUAUGCCAGUUCACUAUAAACAGAGCUCUGAUACCAACCUGUCACACCCCCGAACCAGACGGCGGAAACGUCCGAGGGCUGUUGUGACUCAAUUGAAUACCAUCACAGUGAAUAUACAUGAAACAUAACAUCAUUCAUCACCAUGCAUUGAAAUAUUACAACCGGUAGUGUUUACAUUUAGUACAUUGUUUCAAAACAUUACAUUCCCAAAAAGUAAAUUGUUCGAUACUAGUUAAACAAACAACAAGACAUCACUGAGUACAUUUUUCCUUCGAUUUACUUGUUACCUGAGAAUACAAGUAUUUUGAAAAACGUCAACAUAUAAAAUGUUGGUGAGUUCAUAAGUAAUGUUUGAAACACAGUGUUGGUAUUAUUUUGAAAAACCACUAGAAAAUCCGAUAUUUUCUGAAAAGAUUGUUGCAAGUAAGAAAAAGUGUGAAGAUCCGUAAGUAUGCUUGUUUAUUUCUACAAGCGUGAAAAAUUGUUUGACUUGGUAUGCAUCACGUAGGUGUAAGUGUUGAAAUCUCUAGGAAAACCCGAUGUUUUCCUAAUACUUUAAAUUACGCGUUUUAUUUAUUGUUAUACCGUUGCGACAUGUGUAUUCGAUAAUUCCAGGNGUACUAUUCACUUAAUCCAACCACCCUAACUUCUCAUAGCCCCACAACCGAGGAGAAAAGAGGGUGCGAAGCCCCCGCUAUUUCCAUAAGUCGUUCAAGGCUAUCGUGAAUGCGAAAGGCCCUUGGCCCGACUCGCAUUGGUGAAUUCUCGACUUUGCUAGCAGUACCAAAAGACCCUUGGGGCCCAACAGCACAAAAGCCAGUGAAAGUCCUUUUACAUGGAAUUAGGUCAUAUAAGACCCAACAACAUGUAAGCGAGUUUCCUUCGGGCCUAAAGAUCAUGUCAUUGGGCUAGCUAGGCCCAACAAGCACGAUUUGAAACUUUCGGGCCCAAAGAUGGUGUAUCGACGUCUGGUGAAUUCCCGCGUGUGUAUUGACUUCCCGUAAUUUCAGCGUGUGUAUUGUAGUAUCGUCGUGUAUAGAUUUUUGAUUCAUUAUUGAUUCGAGACCGAAUCAAUUCGUUUGGUAACGAUUUUUGGUGUUGAAGGUGUAUUAUGUUUCAUCGGUAGUCGUGGUACUAGUAUUUCAUCAUAACGGAUUUGUUGUUUAAAACAUUAGAAUUUUUACUCUUUGCAGCCCCUUUCUUUUGGAUAAAUUUACACUUUUGACCCUUUGUAUAAAAGAAUUUCCAUUUUAGUCCUUAAACCAUUUUUCUUUACACUUUAGUAUCAAAACUUGUUGAAAAGGUAUUUUUCAGCUCAAAUUUAUUUGAAAAACAGCUUUAGUCCCUCAGAAUGAAGUUUUCUCGGCUGAAACCUCUAUUUUCGCAAUUUUUACACUUUUGGCCCAAAAUAGAAUUUUUUUGCAUCUUUGGUCCCUUUUAAAUAUGAAAAGUAUUUUUAACCCUUGAAAUGGACUUGGAGCACUAGUAGUCCCCUGUUUUACAGAAAAGUACCGUUUCAGUCCCUCUAAUUUGAAAAUCUCGCAAUUUGGGCUUUAUUGGGCCGAAAAAUUCAUUUUUGGCCCAUUAUGCUUAAAAAUUCACAUUUUAAUCCUUCAAAAGAGUAAAUUUCCAGAAAAUACAUUUUUGAAACUGUUUUGACUCAUUUCAACCAUCAGAAUUUGCAUUUUGUCAUUUUGGGCCCUUUGAAUUUAUAUUUUCAACAUUUUGAGCCCAAAAAUGGGUUUUAAGCCCAAAGAUGUUCAUAUUAACCAACUUGGUUAUUUUUCUAGGAAUGAUUUGUAUGAAAUAAUAUAAUUUGUAAUUGUUUCAUACAACUUAACGUAGAUCUCGGUUUUAAGGUCUUUUUGACUAGAUCCAACACCACAACCACAUAAGAAUAUAUAUACAAGCAUAAAAAUCACACAAAGCAUACAUAUACUCAUAGAUCUACACAUUUGCUUGUAUUCCCCCCCCCCCCACAAAACUUAGAAAAACCGAAAAAUAGGGGGUAUGAAGCUCACCUUGAGGUUUGGUUCGAUUUUGAUGAAGAUAUAUGAGAAGAUGAUGUUGUUUUUGGCUUAGCUUUCUUCCUUCAAAAUAUCUUGAUGAUGUGGAUGGUUCUAAGAACAUAAUCCACAAAUAUAUGGAUGUAAGAGGAGAUCUUUGAAGAGAUCAAGAAAUUAUAUCAUAGAUCUAAGUGGGAACUUACCAAAGUUGAUGAUCUUGAAUAAGAAUUUCUUGAAGUAUCCUCUAAUUCUCGAAAAUUUAGAGGAAAGUGUAGGAGUGUUCUUGUGAGAUUUCCUUAAGAGAUUUCUAAGUAAAAUAAGUGUGUUGGUGAUUUUUGGGCCCUAUGGCCGAGAUUAAGAAGAGAUAGGNAUUUUUGGGCCCUAUGGCCGAGAUUAAGAAGGAGAGAGGGGAAAAGAGAAGAGAGGUUUGAAGUGAUAGAAGUCUUGAUGCAUGAGAUUAGUUUUUGCAUGGAGGGUAUUUAGCAUGGGAACCCUACAUGUAAAAAUGAUGUGUCGCCAUGCAAUUUACCCUAUUUUUUUUAACCUUGGGCCGAAAAUGGCUCUAAUGGGAUGAAGAAAAAUGGUUUUGGGCUCAAUGUCUUGGCUUUGAUCGAACUUCAUAGCCCCAAUAUUAUUUUUCGGCCCAUUGUGCUUAAGGACGAUUCACGACCCCUUUUGAAUAAAAGAAAUGGAGUUUAUGGCCCAACAAGGCCUAUUAGAGAUAAAAAUGAAUUAUUUUAGGCCCACAUGGCCCAAAACAAUCUAGUUUCAUGACUGUGGGUCCAAGUAGAGCCCAAACAGUCGAUUUGAAAGUUUAUUGGUCCAUUAGGCCCAAUAAGAGAAUCCUAAUCCAUAAUGAAUUUGAGCCGAAAUUUCUAGGGUUUCCAACCCUUAGUUGAACAUAUGAGAUGUAUGUGAAUGAGAAUAGAUUAUAGUAAGUAUAGCCUUUUUCAAUGGAUGAUGUUUACAUGGGAAUCGAAUUUCCUAGCAAAUGCUAGUUGUGACACCUCAAAUGGUUCACACAACACCAAAUACACUUGGAAUAGAUUAGAGAGAAAUCCACACUUCAUGAAAAUUGGCUAGCCCUUUCACAUAUAUUCUAGUGCCGAUUUUGUCAACAAUAAGAUGCUUAUAUAGUUAGUGACAAUUAGGGUAAACCCUAAUUGUCAUGGCUUUCCAUUUCCUUGGAUCUAUGGAUUCAAAUACACCAUGGAGAAUCCAUGGAGCAUCUUAUGGGUUUUAGCCCAACUUGACAAUCCAUAAAGCAUUAGCCCAUUAUACAAGUAUGGAUAAUUUAUACAAUCAACCGAAAUAUUUAAUUAGUCUUCUUUUGAUCACUUAAUUAAUCCUAGAUUAAUUCUUGAUCAAUACUAAUUAAAUAAUCUUAUUAAUAUAUUAAAACUUCUAAUAUAUUAACAAACCUUAAGUGUUAUUUCUCUCAUUUUAGUCUAUCCAAAUGCAUGAUGUCAUGCAACCCAAAUGGACCAUGCUGGGUCGGGUCAAGUCUUACCAAUUAUAGUUAUUGACUUAGACAUUAAUCCAACAAUCCAGUCUGGGGGCAGUUUUGAUGCAACGUGGUUGUGUGAUUGCUUACGCUUUGAGGCAGCUGAAGCCUCAUGAUGCGAAUUAUUCGACACAUGAUUUGGAGCUGGGAGUCGUGGUAUCACACUCAAGAUUUAGCGGCAUUACCUCUAUGGGGUUCAUUGUACCAUCUACACGGACCACAAUAGCUUGAGGUAUCUAAUGGAUCAGCCGAAUCUGAACAUGAGGCAACAUCGUUGGUUAGAUGCGGUGAAAGAUUAUGAUUGUGAGAUCCUUUAUCACCCAGGGAAGUCCAAUGUGGUGGUCGAUGCUCUUAGUCACAAGGCAAUCGCGGCUCCAAUAAGAGAUAUAUGUUUGAGGAUGACCGUGAUUACUCAAUUAUUGGAGCGGAUUCAUGAGGCUCAUGCAGGGUAUAUGAAGGAAGAGCAUCGAAAGAGUGAACGCAUUGUAGGUUAGGUGGCUUCCUUCGAUUAUGGUAGCCAUGGAUUGCUGACUCUGCAUCGGCGAGUAUGGGUACCUUAUUGGGGUGGUUUGUGUCAGGUUCUUAUGAAGGAGGCAGGCACACGAGUCGAGGUUCUCCAUUCAUCCCGGGGCGACAAAGAUGUAUAGGGAUCUUCGUCCUAACUAUUGGUGGCCCUGCAUGAAGCGGUAUGUGGAAUGGUAUGUUGAGCGAUGCCUGACUUGCAGGAAAGUCAAUGUUGAGCAUCAGCGUCCUCACGGCAAGAUGCAGCCGUUGGAGCAUAUGGAAAUGGAAGACAUAACUGUGGACUUUAUUAUGAAGCUUCCCAGGACUGCGCGCAUAGUGGAUUCUAUCUGGGUCAUCGUGGAUCAUUUGACUAAGAUGACAUAUUUCAUUAUGAUCCAGGAGAGUAUUUAUAUAGAGAAGUUGGCCGAGAUUUAUGUCCGGGAGGUAGUGGCACGUCAUAGGGUGCCGAUAUCAAUGGUUUCAGACAUGGAUGUUCAUUUUACUUCCAGAUUUUGGAAGCGGUUUCAUGACAAGAUAGACACUCGUCUCCUUUUUAGUAUAACAUUUCAUUCAUAGACCAAUGGUCAAAGUGAGCGGACUAUUUAGACUCUUGAGGAUAUGUUGCAUGCGUGCGUGUUGGAUUUUGGUGGGAGUUAGGAUACGCAUCUUCCAUUAGCGGAGUUUUCGUAUAACAACAGUUAUCACGCCAGCAUCGAUCGACCUUCUUUUGAGAUGCUCUACGGGAGGAAAUGCAGUACCCCGAUUUGUUGGGGCGAGGUCGGUCAGCGAGUUAUGGGGAGUACCGAGGUGGUGCUCAAGACCACUAAGUUGAUUAAGCAGGUUCGAAGCAGGCUCCAGACAGCUGGGAGUCGGCAGAAGAGUUAUGUCGACAGGCAUCGAUCAGACUUAGAGUUAUAGAUGGGAUAUAUGGUUCUCCUGAAGGUGUCACCUUGGAGAGGUGUUAUCCCGUUCAGGAAGCGGGGCAAGCUGGGCCCCAAGUAUAUUGGUCCCUUAAGAGUUUUAGCUCGAGUGGGCCGAGUUGCGUAUUGUUUAGAUCUUUCAGCCGAGCUCAGUUUGAUUCAUAACACAUUUCAUGUCACUCAGUUGCAUAAGUGUUUAGUGGAUGACUUUGCAGUUGUACCUUUGGAGAAUAUUCAGGUGGAUGACCGUCUGAAUUAUAUUGAGAGACCGGUGGCAAUUUUAGAUCGAAAGAUGAAAACCUUGAGGAACAAGAUUAUGGAGUUUGUAAAGGUGCAGUAGUUGUACCACAAAGGGUCAGAGUGGACUUGGGAACCCGAGGAGGAGAUGAGGGAACAUUAUCCAGAGUUGUUCGAGACGGCGGACUUCAAGGAUGAAGUCUGAUUCAAGUGGGGGAGAAUUGUAAUGCUUGAUAAUUUCCAAGGUAUUUAUUUAAUUUGGAUUUAUUUAAUUGUUAUGAGUUGGGCCUUGAAUCAUUGGAUUUUUCUUAUUGGGCUUAGGGUGUUAAGUACGCAGGGUGUACCACCCUAUGUAUGCAAGGCGUACUGAUGUAGAAUGAUCGCGGGUGCCAUGCAUGUACACGCUGCGUACAAAGGAGUACGCACAACGUAUGUAUCUAGUCCCUAAAACCAUACUAUUUAGGGUUUUAGCACUAUUUAAAGAACAUUAUAACUUAAGGAUCUUCUUUAUCAGCCUCCAACUUGCCCCUAAAUAGCCUCCACAAAACCCUAGCCCAAUUGUUGAGUGAUAUUGAGCUUGGAAGGUCUUUUGAGUGCGUUUUGGUGUGUUUUGUCCCAUUUUCAAGGAAGAUAAGGUUGGAGCAAGGUGGUGGUUCAAGGAGAAUUUUAUAGAUCUGGAUUAUCUGCCGCAUUUCAAGCUUGUGCAAGGUAUAAAUCUUGAUCUUGAUCUUUAGAAGCUUAGAUCUCCAUGUUUUAGCUUUUGGACCCUUUUUGGUCCCAUAAAUAAGCUCUUGUGGAUUGUUUUCGUUUCUGAAGCUUAGAGUUGCUAGUCUUGGUGUUCUUUGGGUCCUAGAGGCAUAAAGUUGCCACCUUUGAAGCUUUAAUCCAACCAUGUUUGAGUAAUUGCCAUUUUUGUGGAAGUAGAAUGUUAUAUUUCAAGUUUGGGCUCAUUUGGGGCAUGCAAAGCCACCAAUUUGAUGACUUUAUGGGUUAAGACGUUGCAAAUGACUCAGAUUUGUGAUUGUAACUCUUGGACUUAAGUGGUUAAGAGAUUUUUGGAGAAAUGGCUUAUUGGGUGAGUAUGUUGGGCGUAUAAUUGGGGUGGAAAAUCGGACCAUCGUGUCGUGUUUUUGUCCGACACGACAUGACACGACAAAAUUUUAUGUAACACAAACACGACACGACACGAUCUCGUAUUUUUUUUAACUAACACGAAAACGAACCGGUUAAAAAACGACAAACAUGACACGACACGACAAAGAUAACAUGAAAUAACAAUUAAUGUAUUUAAUUAAUGUGUAUUUAUACAUAACACGACAAACACAAAAAACACGACAAAAAAUGUUAAAUCGUGUCAAUUUCAUGUCAAAUUUUGAACACGAACACAACACGACACGACUUCGUGUUUUUUACACUUGACACGAACACGAAUUCGAAUUUCAAUUUCGUCUCAAUUUCGUUUCGUGUCGUGUAUUUUUGUCGUGUCGUGUCAUCAAUCGUCACCCCUAGCGUACAGGCUCGUACAUGCAGCAUACAAGCCAUGCAGCGUGUAUGCUUGGUGUACAGCCGAGUACGCCUCGCGUACUCAGGCAGUUGGGCUUGGCGUUGUUUGGGCAUCGAGUUUGGCCAUUUUCUUGGACCUUGUUGCUUUGGGCCUUUUGGGCCAUCUGGAAUUAAUAUUUUGGAUUAAGGAAUUUUAGUGGGCCUUAGGCCAAGGGCCAUUUGGGGGUUUGAGCCCAAUUUGGAAAAUUGGGCCAUAAGUGGGCCUUUGUGGAUCUUUUGGUUUUGGGCCUUAUUGGUUUAUGGUUUUAGGCCUUAGUUUUGGAUCAAGCUAGGCCAGGGGUAAUAUGGUCAUUUUACCCCAAGUAUGGAUUAUUGAUUAUAGUUUGGAACCUAAGUGUUGAUUAGGUGGUAUUUUGUACUAAUAGCUCGGGGAGUCGUCAUGGUAGCAACUGGGGAUUUAUUUCUGUGAGAUUCAACAUUUGAGGUGAGUUUCCUCAAUGGGUUUAGCGGGUCUAAGGCACCAAUGCUGACCCUUAUUAAUUAUGUUAGGAUGCUAAGAGUUUGUGUGACCCUUGCAUGCGUUAUGUGUUGUUGUAUGUAUACCGGGCGAGGCUCGAUGCUAAGCAUGACAUGAGGAUUGGAACAUAUGCUAGUGUUAUGAUCAUUAUAUGUGUUAGCAUGAUUAUGUAAUAUUGAUUGUAUGUGUAUAAAGGGCGAGACCCAGUGACAUGCGAGGCAUGAGAAUAACAUAUUUGUAUACCGAGCGGGGCCCGAUGCCGGGCGGGGGCCCAAUGCAUGAUUUAUUAUGUAUGGUAUGGGGUAGUUUGGGGAACUCACUAAGCUUUGUGCUUACAGUUUUCAAAUUAUGUUUAGGGUACUUCCAGUGGCAAUGAGAAGAACUCGGGGUGACUGCAUUGCACAUACCAUAUGGAUUCUGUUUAUUGGGCACGCUCUAAUUUUUCCUGAUAUCUGACAUACUUAUUUUAUUUGGGUUGUAUGAACUAUGAUUGGAAAUACUGUUUUCACUUGAAUGAAAAAUGAAAAUUUUAGGUCGUAUUUUUGGGUUGUUACAUUGUUUGUUUUUUUGUCGGUCUUGAAUAUCAACGACUCUAUGUAAGUAAUCUGUUGUCCCUGGUUGAAGUUGAAUGUGUCCAGGUUCCGUAGGCGAAUAGUCUACAAUGUUUCGUCAUUUAUUUUCAAUCACCAUGUUAUGCAGAAUGAUACAUGCAUACAUAAUAUCUCGUAGAGUGUCCAACUCGUAUGGUCGUUCCGCAUGUUCAACUAUGUGACAUUUUGCUUUCAGAACUCUGAAAGUACGUUCCACGUCCUUACGUGCUCCUUAUUGUCUUCUCUUGAAAAAUUUGUUUAUCGGUUAUAUCUGGUGUCGAAACGCCAUCACAAACGUGGAAUAUGGUGGGUAUAUUCCAUCCGUGAGGUAAUACCCGAACUUAUACUCAUCGUCAUUUACUGUGAAAGGAGCAUCUGGUGCCUUUCCUGUCAAAAGGUCCUGAAAUAUUGGUGACUAAUGAAGAACGUUUACGUCGUUGUUAGAACCCGCAACUCCAAAAAAAGCAUGCCAAAUCCAUAAGUCUUGUGACGCAACAACCUCUAAUACUAACGAAGACGAUCCAAGAUGAUCACUUGUGUAUUGACCUUUCUAUGCCACAUGACAAUUUCUCCAUAUCGACUUUGUGCAAUCAAUGCUUCCAAGCAUUCCCGAAAAACUAUGUCGUUCUUCUUGCGCCGCAUAUAGUUAUUGCAUGUCAUUCAAUGAACGUUUGCGCAAGUAUUUGUCACUGAAGGUUUUGAUAACACCUCUCGCCAAUCUAUACAAACUUUCUCAUGCAGUUCACUCUGACAAUCUAUAAUAAUAUAAACAUAUAUUUAAUUUUUAAAACAACUGUAAUUACGGUACUUGCUUUCCAUUGCAUUGACUAUUCGUUGAAACACAUUUUUCCGCAAACGAAACCUUCUUUUAAAAUCGCUAGGUUGGUAGACACAAUUAUCCGCAAAAUAAUCGUGUACUAGACGUCUAUUCCCUUUGAUGCGUGCAAAUUAUACCUACCUAGCUACACCUAAUUUUAUAUUUAUAACCUAACUAACUUAACUAACUAAAUUGCACCUAGGCACUGUACUUAGUCAAAUUAUAGAAUAGUCGGGUAAGUCGGGUGUCGAUCAUAGGGAAGGGUUUUAACUAAUUAAUCUACCUACUAUUAAAUUAACCUAAUUUCUAAUAAAGUGGGGGGGUUUUUUUUAUCUAAUUUUGCAAGUUUAGAUGAACUUAAUUCGUAACACAAAAUUCAAUCAAUUAACAAACACUUAUGUUAGUUCAAAUCCACUUCCCCUCAAUGGUUUAUAAAUUAGUUAUGACAAUUACUGUUGGUUACCAAUUAAGAUAGUAUUAGCAAUUCAGUUCUAAAUUUACUAACAUUGAUUAAUUAAUGUAAAUCUAUGCAUUGUCACACAAUAGUUAACUUAAAAUCAAUUAUUAAAUGAAAUUGGAGCCAUGUAAGAUUGAUUUGAAAAACACACUUAUGGUCAUAAUAUGAGUUCUCUAGCACAUCCUAAUUCAAUAGUUCAAUUAUUUUUCUAAGAUUUGUUUGAUCUUAGCUCUAAUAAACUAGUGUUCACUGAAUUAUUAAGUAUUCAAAUUCAUGCAUAUUCAUAUUCACUAACUACACAUAAUAAGAAUUUAAAGCAAUCAAAUAUUAAAUCAAACAUGCUAGGUUCAAUCAAUCAAACACAAGUCAUAACCAAAAAGUAAAUCAAAACUAAAGUAUUGAAACCAUGAGUUCCAGCUUCAUCUAGCUAACAGAAGCAGCUAGAUUUAGCUGGACAUACUAGCAAACAAACAUAAACAAAUCAUAUUCAAAGACAUAUUUAAAUGUACCAAACUAUUAAGCUAAUAAUGAACUUCUCCUUCUUCCUUGGUGUUGAAAGCCAAUUCCAAACGUUUUCUCCCUCUGGAUUUUGUCUCCAGGAACCCUCCAAGUUGUCCAAAAGUCCCUCAAAGUCGUAAUGAUCAAGAGAAUAUAUAGUUAUCAUAAAAUUCACUCUCACGUCGUGAAUGAGUAUGACUCACGACGUGAAUGCAGUAGAUAUCUGUGUUCUACAAGGAUUCCUCCUCCGCGAUGCUUAUCUUCUGGAAUAGUUCCAUUCACGUCGUGAAUAGUUAUGACUCACGACGUGAAGUUAGCAGAUUACAGGGAUUUCCUCUUCUUUCAUUCUCCAAGCCUCCAAAGUUCCAUGCUUUGUCAAUUUCAGUCAUUUUCUCCCAAAAUACUUCAAUUUGGCUGCAAAGUACAAUUAAAGCUUAUAAGCAUCAUUAUUUAAUGCAAAUAACCAAAAUAUUAAUAAAAAUGUAAGUAAAUAUUGCCCAAAAACAUGUAUAAAUAUGGCAGUAUCACCCUUCUUCACGAUCUCUGUUCAACGCCGCACGUCUGGUCAGUAGUGGAGCUGGCUUUGGCGGUAACAUGUAUGUAACAUAUCGAUACAUCAUACCCACGAACAUAUCAUUCUCGUCGAUAUCAUGAUUAUAUGGAUGAAACGGGUCAAAAGGUUCCAUUUUUUUUUUGUAAAUAGAAAUAUAGAAAAUAUAUUAAACUUGAUAGAAAUGUGUAUUAGAGAGAAUUAGAUAAAUUUUCUAUGUAAAGAUAAGUUAGAAUGUGUGUGUGUGUGUAUAUAUAUAUAUAUAUAUUAAAGUAAUUUUUUUUAUUAUUCGUGACCGUUCCACAUCGGUCAGAAAGUAGACCGUUUAUCCCGUUUCGUCCCGUUAUCACCCACACACCGAAUAUCGUAACGCCAAAAAAACGUGUACCUGGAGGCGGUGUUUGCACCGUUAUACCAACAUUUUUUGAUGUACACGUCGGAUUAACGGGCACUUCGGUUGCCCAUUCCGAGUAGUCUAAAUGUCAAAAUGCAAUGAAGAAAAAGAUUCAUUACAAAUGUCAAUUAUAAGUAUGUAGAAGGAUAAAAUAUAAAAAAGUUAUUAUCUUUUGGGAUAUACACAGUAAAGUCCCAAUAUUUUCAUCGAUUUGACAAGAAAAUCCUGAACUUUAUUUUUUUGACAGUAAAGUCCAAAUUACCGGCAGUUUUUGACACUUUUACAUUUUUUUCCCGAUUAGCCGGUAAUUAGGACUUUUUUGUCAACAAAAUAAAGUUUAGGACUUUCUUGUCAAAUCGUCAAUUAGGACUUUACUGUUAAAAAAAAAAAUAAAGUUUAGGACUUUUUUUGUCAAAUCGUUGAAAAAAUUGAGACUUUAGUGUAUAUAUAAUUUUUUUGGUUAGAAACUUAAUGAUAUGAUACUCUUUACGCAUAAGAGUUAUUGAAACAUUCUCUAAUCAGCUAGAUCAUAUUGAAAUCCUUUACGUUUGCUUCUUGUUAAAUCGUUAUUUUAAUCUCAACAAACUGACAUUGAAAAAAAUUGAGAUAAUCAAGAAAGAAAGAAAGAACCAGGGUUGUGUUGGCUUUUUGCAGUCUCAAAAAUGGAGAAAUUAGAAACCUACAAAAACGAAAAUGCCCUGACUUUUUACAAAUACAAACAACACGUGCCUAGUCAAAAUGGUGUGAAUGUGGAGAAGGGAAAGAAGGACAAUUUCGUUUUUUUCGGUUUCUUAUUUCUCCAUUUUUGGGGUUGCAAAAAGCCAACACAACCCUGGUUCUUUCUUUCUUUCUUGAUUAUCUCAAUUUUUUUCAAUGUCAGUUUGUUGAGAUUAAAAAAACGAUUUAACAAGAAGCAAACAUUAAUGAUUUCAAUAGAAUCUAGCAUAUUAGAGAAUGUUUCAAUAACUCUUAUGCUUAAAGAGUAUCAUACCAUUAAAUUUCUAACCAAAAAAAUUAUAUAUACACUAAAGUCCCAAUAUUUUCAACGAUUUGACAAAAAAAGUCAUAAACUUUAUUUUUUUUGACAGUAAAAUCCUAAUUGACGAUUUGACAAGAAAGUCCUAAACAUUAUUUUUUUUGACAAAAAAGUCAUAAUUACCGGUUAACCAGAAAAAAAUGGUAAAAAUGUCAAAAACUGUUGGUAAUUUGGACUUUACUGUCAAAAAAAUAAAAUUUAAAACUUUUUAUCAAAUCGAUGAAAAUAUUAGGACUUUAUGGUAUAUAUCCCUUAUAACUAAAUAGCAACUAUAAUGUGUGGAGUUUGGUAAAUUCCGCUUGGGUUUGGUCUCUACAACCCAUUCAACCCCAAGGCUAUUCUAGUAAUUUCCCCACUAGAAGGAGCUAGGUUCCGCUGCCUUUUAAGUCUAGGUUUUCACUAUCAUCACUCUCACUCAUCGUUUUGUGGUUUCCUGUGGAGAAGAGCAGCAGAUACUCAACAACUUGCAGGCUCUAUUUUCUCAUCGCCAUCAGGUAUCUGUAGGUGUCCUAAAAUCUACGGUUAGGGUUUUGUUAGCACAGUAAUUCAUGGAAAAUGUUGAAAUCUCACUUGUUACCGUCGAUUCAAUCUUUAUUUUUUAGGAAAAAACAUCGGUUCACCAUAUCGUUAUAAUUGUUAUGAUGAUUUUGGUAUCAUCGAUGAAGUUUUAUGUGUUAUGUUUUCGUUGUAAGCUGGAUGUUUCAGGAUGUUUGAUGAUGUGUGCGAGAAUUUCAUUUUAGGGUUUAUGGUGUAUGUUUGCUUUCUUAAAUAGCGUCUACAUGUUAGCUAAUAUAAAUAGUUACCUUGAUGUUUAUAUAUUGGUUGCCACUCGGCUUCUUCAUCUUUGAAAACAAUGCGAUUAGACCCCCCUUAGGUUUGGAUCUAUGCUUAGAUGUGGAUUGUGUAAUUUUUCUCGUGAAAACUAUUGGAUAAACUUGCUUCGUUUUUUGCACCAUGGAAAGCUUAUUUAUGAUUUAAGCCUGGUUCCAACUUUGUUUGUGGGGUUAAUUUGCUACUUUUAAUGUCUAUAUGUAAAGUAUCAGUUGCUCUCUUUUAGGGUUUAUGUUUAGGUGUCUUAUUACCUCGACAACAAGCAAUGGUGAUGGGAUUAGAUCAUAUGUGAAGUUCUUUUGGGGUGCAUGGAUUAUUGCAUGUGAUGCCCUAUAAUAGUUUUAAUAUAUCAAUGGCUGUAAAUUAUCUGUCCAUAUUAUGCUAUGGUUAUCUGUCUAUUAAACUGUUUUCUUUUUGAACAUGUAAUGUGCAGAAAGAGUGCUUUGAGGAAUGCUGGAUUGAUUGGUCCCAAAUACAAAGAAGAUGAGCAAGAAGAACCCAUUUGUAUACUUGGAUGUGUCUAUAGAUGGAGAUCCUGUUGAAAGGAUGGUUUUUGAGGUCUUUAUUAUAGCUUUAACCUUCUAAGAUCUUUCUUUUAUUCUUUUUUCUGCCAGAUGGCAUUGCCACAUCACUUAUUAUCAAGCUGAAAAACUAAUUCCUUUUAUAUGGUGUUACAGCUAUUCUCAGACACUGUUCCCAAGACUGCUGAGAACUUCCGGGCACUUUGUACUGGUAAAAUGUUCAUCAUAAUUGGUAUUCUUUUUGUCAUAAGUUUAUAAAACUGGAUGCUUUUUUAAAUUUCAGGAGAAAAAGGGAAUAGUCAGAAAACCGGGAAACCCCUACACUACAAAGGAUCCUUCUUUCAUCGCAUAAUCAAAGGAUCCAUGGCUCAGGUAUGUUUUCUAUCAAUUACUUUCAUAAAUUAUAUUGUUUUUUUUUUUUUGUUUUGUUAUUUUAUUUUCCACUUAGUUUCUUCUAGUUCUGGAUGUCUUGGUGGUGGUCUGUCUUUUUAGUCGGCUAUCCUUGUUUAAUCUGUAGGAUACAGGGUUGAUGGUUCCAACUGCUUUUCUUGUGAUGUAGUUUUUAAGGUUGUAAUUAUUUGGUUGUAUUUGUAAUAUCAUCACAUUCAUUCUGAAACAUAUCAUACAAAAUUUACAAAUCCAUCUUUCUGCAAUGAUUUCUGAAUAUAAUUUCUAUAAGUGAAUUAAUUCUUUGUAUUUUUUUUUUGCAGGGUGGGGAUUUUUAUAAACGUGAUGGUAUGUACAUUUUGCCACCAAUUUUUUUUAAUUUUUGUAUACAAAAUCCAUAUCUCAUUGGUUUACUUUUGCAGGAAGUUAUGGAGAAAGCAUAUAUGGAGGGAAGUUUCCAGGUGAGAAAAGUCACUAUGUUCAUUACUUGUGUUUUCUGUUUGAAUGUUGAUGAUCAUAAAUACAUAAUAUGUCUUUAGGUAGUUGAGGAUUUCAUUUAAUUUGUUUAAAAAGUGUAUGCAAAAGAAAUUGAAAUAAACCUUUUAGCUUCUAUCUCCCCAAAAUUUCUAUAUAUGUUUAUAUUUUGAGAGAAUGGGUUUCCUUUUUGAAUUGCCUGUGAAGGUGGGGGCUGACAUUGGUCUUAUUCUCGGUGCAUGGGAGCUCAACCCACAAUGAAAUGGGCAAAUUGUAAUUGUCUUGAAAAAUGGUGGGUGUAUGAAUAUUUUGUGUGCCUUUCUUUCUAGGUUUGAAAUCUUUGGUAAAAUACAAAGUAUUUGGUUUGGAUGAUUUAUGCAGCUAGUUAAGUCUAAUGUAUAAUGUAUGCUUUAUAUUUAUGCCCAAUACAUUGUCAUGAGUUUUUUUAUCUGGCUUUUUUUCCAUGUUAAGUUCCUGGCUACCUUAUUAUUAUUAUUUUGAAUUGGUUAUAAUCAAAAUUUGUUACAUUUCAGAUGAAUCCUCCAAACUGAAACAUGAUGCUCCUGGCCUUCUAACAAUGGCAAUUGCUGAUCGUGAUUCACGUGGCUCUUUAUUUAAUGUGACAUUUGGCGCUAAUCGCCACCUGGAUAGGUUUGCUCAUCUUUGUUGUUACAAUUUUAUGUUGGACAAAUUGAUAGAAAUAGCUACAUACCUUACUUUUGUUAUGGUUACAUAUUGCUAUUAUUGAUAAAAAAAAAGUGUUAAGUAUGUUGCUAUUACGGGUAAAAAAAUAAAUACACUGCAUGUAUUGGUAUUUCCUACAUGUUAUCUUUUUAUAUUUAUCUGAAAAGUUAGAGUUUUAGCAACAUUAACUGUCUAACUUUUGAUGGAAAAGGAAAUUUAAGUGUUGGAAAUGGAAUUUCUUGAACAGGAAGUAUGUUAUUUUUGGAAAGCUUGUUCAAGGACUUGAUGUAUUGAAGAAGAUAGAAAAUGUGGGUGAUGAAGAUGGAAUGCCAACUGUGACAGUGAAGAUCAUUUAUUGUGGGGAAGUAAACGAGAGUGAGAAUCAAAGCUCUGGUAUGGUGGAUAAUUAUUGCAUUUUUAAUGACAUAAUUGUUUGUUUAUUUUUUUAAAAUAAAGUCUCUGUUUUUGAUGUUUUUAUAGAUAAGAAGGCAGCCAGCAAGUUGAAAAGUGGGAAAGAUGUUUCUUCAGAGGUUCACAGCCAUGAAGUGAAGCGGAAGGGAAAGCACAAGAAAUCUUCAAAAGAUAAAAGGAAGAAAAGAAAAAGAUAUUCUUCAUCUGAUUCAGACAGUUCAUCUGACAUGGAAUCUGACUCAUCUGAUUCGGAUAGUGAUUCCGACUCUGAUGAUUCAUCCUCGUCAUCAUCUGAUGUCAGCUCUUCAAGUGAUGACAGGCGUAAGAGAAAAAAGAGAUCCAGAAAGGAUCGACACAAACGUGGAAAAAGAAAGGACAAAAAACGCGAGAAGAAGCGUAGGAGACGCGAUAAGAAAUCCAAACGUAAAUCAAAGAGGUUGGUAUGGUAUUUUAAUUUUAGUUAAACCUUAAAUAAAGUAAUGUUUUAUUCUUUAUAAAAGUUAUUAUAUAUCAUUUUGUAGGGUGUCUGGUAGCGGAAGUGAGAGUUCAAGUGAAAGCGAACAUGCGUCUGAGGACAAUAAUGGUGAUGUCAAAAAGCGAAACCGGAAACAUAAUAAUAGUAAUAAUAAAUCUCCUACAGCUGAAUUUGAAGAUGGUAAAACAGGAGAUGCAUUUGCAUUUGAUGGACAUGUAAAGGAGGAAGAAGGUGAAUACCCGAAAGAAAAUGGUGGGGACCGCCCAAGCAAUGGUGUUGACCUGGCGAAGGCUGAUAUAGUCGAUGACCAUCUCGGAAACUCUAGGUUCAAUCAAAUUUAAUAAAACUUUAUUAUUAUUAUUAUUAUUAAAUUCUUUCUAAUCUUAUUUUUUUUUUACUAAACAGAAGUAGAAGCAAAAGUCCUCCUCGAAGGGAAUUGAGCAAGAGUAUGAGUAUUAGCCCAAGGAGGAGUCAAAGUGUUAGUGGGACCCCUCCUAGACGGGCCCCAUCACGUAGCCCGGUCAGAAGCGAAAGCAGCAGCAAGAGUCCGGUUAGAAGCAUAAGCAGAAGUCCAGUGAGGGGCAAAAACGUCAGAAGCAUAACUCCCUCACCAUCACCUCCACGAAGGAGUGUUUCUAGAAGCCCACUGCGAACAUCGUCUAGAAAAUCCUCACGAAAAUCAGUAAGCAGAAGUCCGGUUAGAUCUUCCAGAAGAAGCUACAGCAGAAGCCCAGUCAGAUCAUCUAAAAGAAGCUUGAGCAGAAGCUCUGGUAGACCGCCUUUAAGAAGAAGCCCUAGCAGGAGUCCGGUCAGACCGCCUAUGAGGGGUGGUCGCCGGAGCUAUUCCAGGAGUCCGGUAGGUGGGCGUAGGGCGGCUAGGUCACCGGAGAGAAGCUUGUCUAGAAGCGCUUCACCUGAUGGCUCUCCCAAACGUAUCAGAAGAGGACGCGGUUUCAGUAACCGAUUUUCUUACGCACGCCGAUACCAUUCUCCCGAUCGCUCCCCGGUCAGAUCUUAUCGCUAUAGAAGUGACCGCGACCGUGACCGUGACCGGUAACAAACUAACAGCUAGCAAUUUUAAAUUAAGUUUUUUAAUAUAUUUAAUAUAAAAACAAUUAAACCAAUAUUUUGGUUUGUAGUUAUUCAAGCUAUAGAAGGCGCAGCCCACUGAGAGACAGAAGUCCACCAAGGUAUUUUGGAGUAAUAAUGGAAUCUUUUUUUUUGGUGAGAAAGUGAUUAUUUGAUUGUUAAAUUCAAUUAUUUACACAGGUACAGAGGGAGAAGAAGCAGGACACGGAGUCCGAGUGUGUCCCGGAGUCCUGUCCCUGUGCGGUACCGCCGGCGCUACAGUCGGAGCCGGUCGCCGGUGGAGACAUCAAGGUACAGGCCAUCACCGCCAGUGGAGAGGAGGAGGGCGCCACGCAGCAGGACCCCGCAUUCUCAAAGUAGGAGCCCGUAUGAACGUAGGUCCUCUCCAUCACCAUCUCCGAGAAGGAGCGUGAAGUCAAAGUCAAAGUCAAAAUCGCCAUCGAGAUCAAGGUCAAUGUCGAGGUCAAGAUCUAGGUCGUCUUCUGGAAGCCCACCUGGGAAGAAAGGACUGGUGUCGUAUGGAGAUGGUUCUCCAGACAGUCAGAAGUGAGAAGAGAAGAGAAAGAUCUUACUUUUGAGGGUGAAAUGAUUUAUAGACUUGGUAAUUGGUACACUAUGUAGGGUGGGUGUGUUUUGAAUAAUUUGACUAUUUCUCUUGUAUUUCUUUCUUCUUCUGUGGAGUGACUGUUGAGGUGCUGCUAGACUAGUAACGAUGAUUGGAUAUGUGUUUGUUUUUAAGAGGUUGGUUAGACUGAGGGGAAUGGGACCGAGUAUCAAUUAUGUUAUGUUUUAAAAAGCCUCUUCUGUUUUUAUCUUUAUUGUUAUGGUUUGCUCUUUGAUCAGUGCGACUUGAAGGUAGUUUGUGCAUUUAUAUAUGUAUUAACAUAAUCUUGUGUGCUUGAAUUGAUACAUUAUAUUAUAAUCUUUUCAAAGAAUAAGCUAACAAGUUAAAAGGAGGGUCAUCAAGAUGUAUUGAAUUAUUAAGUAGAUUGAGAGAAGAUUAUUUACCAUCUCUUUAAGACCGGUAAUAAUUGCGACAUAUGUAUUGUAUUUAGUUAUUUAUUAUUUAUUAACCGAUAAAAUUGGAAUAAGUUACCUAAAAUUUAGGGGAAAAUAUGAUUAAUUACGUAAGUUCAGGGGGUAUUUUGGUUUACGGCAACAGCAGGCGACGUGUAGAAGAAGAAUCUCGGGAACCCUAGCAGAGGUUUGUUUCUCAAUCCUACGCCGCUACGACCAUUGCCGCUUUCUCCACUCCACGAUGAUAACAAAGAAACAUCCGUCGCCGUUUCUCAAUCCAACGGUAAUAUGAUUUACUUGUUCGUUAUUAUUUGAAUCUAUUAAACACAAGAUAUAAGCCGAAGCAUUUUGAUUGAAAUAAGACAGUAACCAAUAAAUACUAAAAGCCAAUCUCUUUUCUGUAGCUUGGUAACAUUUGUAUUACUAAUAAAUGAUGAAUGUAUUAUUGAUUGUACUUGGGUUUUUGAUUGACAGGGUAACAUUAAUGAUAUUGAUCGUAAUGUUCUAUGCAAUGUGUUACACAUCAAACAAUGCUCCAAAGCCUCCCAAUAUAUGGUGAAGUUUACAAAGCAAAGGCAUUGGAAUCAUCAAACAAGUAUGUCUCUACCUUUUAUAAGCUUCUUCAUUUUCAGUAACAUUAUAGGAAUUAGACACUCUUUCUUUGUCACCACUGCAUUUGUGAUGGCAUUGGCAGCUGGUAAGCUUUGGGACACCAUUUCUGAAUGCAUCUCCCAAAUUCAAUCUGAUUGUGAUGAUGAAGCUAAAGAGAGGGCACUUCAAACCCUAGUUUCCAUCACAAAAGCAAGCCCUCCACACAGAAAUUUAGUCAUGCAGAAUCAGGAAGCCAUCCCCGCUCUCCUCUCCCUGCUCAAAUCCUCCUCCCGUGCUCUUGAAAGACUCUCACUUUCCAUCCUCUUCAACCUCUCAUUAAACCCUAAUCUCAAAUCCACCCUUGCUGACAUGGCAACCAUUCAACACCUCAAUACUGUGAUCCUGUCUCGUGGGUCACUCGAGUCUAGCAAACUAGCAGCUUCUUUGAUAUGCAGCCUGGCAAUGCUAGACAAGAAUAAAGCAGUGUUUGGGGUAGCGAAUACUAUUCAAGCAUUGUUGAAGGGAGUUUCAAGGCCUAAUAGUCCUGUGACACAUCACCUUCUCAGCUCACUUGCUGAGUUGGUGCACUUCCAUGGGAAUUGCACAUUGGCUGUUAGAUCAGGUGCAGUUGGUGUUCUCCUGAGAAUAGUUGAGAACAAAGACAGUGAAGAUCUUUGUGGGACUGCUCUUAGUAUUCUUGGGCUUCUUGCUAAGUUUGAUGAAGGGCUAAAAGCUUUGACAAAUACACCUAGUAUUGUGAGUAGAAUGCUUGAUGUGUUGAAAGGUAGGUCCAUGUUGAAUAAUGAAGGUGCAGCCGAGGUACUUCUUCGUGUUUUUGAUGAGAGUGAAGAAUGCUUGAGAGAUGCUAUCGGAUUGCCUGAUUUCAUGUAUACAUUAGCUGAGCUCUCGGUGAGAGGAUCAACGAGAGCUCGGGAGAAAGCUUCUCUACUGUUGAGAAAACUUGAGGCUAAUGAAUCAUAUGUAGAUGAUGAUCUGGUGUUCUUGAAAUGGUAAGGUAGGAUGCGUGUCUUAAGAAAAGUAACAUAAUAAGAGCUUUUGUUUGUUUUGUAGCACAUGAGUGUGCACAUUAUUAGGUCCUCUUUGAAGGUUUAGGUAAUGAAUAGAUGGGUUUGGUGUUAAAAAAGGCAUGGAGUUUAUAGGAUUGAAGCCAUGACUCACAAAACUACGAACUACAUAAAAAAUGAAUUUGAGAGUUACAUAAAGCCAUAAAGUUAAAUUUAUAAAGAAAGCAUAACUAUCUUGCAUCCAAAUACAACAACAACAACAAAUAAACCCAAAUCCCAUAAAGUCUUGUGAGGUAAGUGGGAGGUUUGAUGUAGGUGGUCUUAGUGUCUUGCCUCCACCCGUGGGUAGAGAGGCUACCUCUAUAGGAGACUUUCGCCAUGAUCAAGGAUGCACCAUACAUGAGCAAAUAAAAGCAAUAUACAAUUAAAUAUACUAAUACUAGAAAUAGUACUAAUUGUAAAAAUGAAAUAACAUAAGACGAUAAAUACUUAAAUGCCUAAAUGAUAAUACAAGAAACAAAACUUAUGCUACUACACUAACCUAAUUCUCCGUCUCCACUCCUACCUAUGUGAGGUCUGUAGAAGGUGCCAACUCCUUCGUGUCUAACCUCACACUAUAGUUACGUUGCGUCCUCGGUCGACCUCUCCUCUUCGCCUUACCGUAGAUGUGACGCCUCGAUCCAUUGAGUACCGUCAUCUAUCCUUAGUACACUUUAUUUUAAAUACAACUAAGAUAAUACCUUAGAUUUCAUCUUCAUCAUGGUUUAACAAAAUUACAUAAGCAAAAGUGCAUAAAAGAAAAACUAUUUUAACCGUUUAUAAUUCAUCCAAAAUUUCUGUUAAAACACUAACUACUUGUGGUCCUUCUUCUUUCCUGAGAUACAUACAUGAAUACAUAAGCUUUAAGUUUAGUGAGUAUUUUGGUUUUAAUAUUUAGCAUAAACAUUUGAUGGAAAAAUAACAAUUAAAUGCUUGAAAACAUUAAUUUGAGAUCUUAUAGCUACAUGUAAGUAGGCCCAACUUCUGGGAGGUUUGCUAACCUUGGGAUUCAUAUAAGGCUGUCCCAUAAGGUCCGUUUUUAAGACGUCCCUUCAUCCCAUACCCAAUGCGUUGGGUUACUUGGGUAUUUAAAUGACCGUACUUAACAUGAAUAAAACUUUCAUGCUAACUUCAUAAUAUGUUGUUAAAUGUCUUUGAAAAAUCAUUUGAGCAAGUGAACAUGGCAAAUAAUUUAAAUGCAUUGAACAUAUACGUAGCAUGUAUGUAUCCCAUUAAAUCACAUAAAUAUACUCACCUUUCUUUGAGCUUUUAGGCUUCUUUUUAAUCUUUUAAGUCACCACCAAGCUUGAUAGUGUAUUCUAGGAUGAAAAAAAAUGCUUAACUUCACUUGCUAUGUCUAGUAAAAUUGUGUGCAUUGCUUGCUUGUUCUUUAGGCCUAAAACAUAGUACAUUGUUGAUGAGAUGAUUACACCUAGUGUACUUGUUGUACCUCAUCUCCUUAGAAGCUUACACCUCAAGCCUCUAGCUCUUCUAUGUCAUCUUCCAGCUUAGCUUAAUCUCCUUAGAAGCUUACACCUCAAGCCUCUAGCUCUUCCAUGCCAUCUUCUAGCUUAGCUUAAUCACUCAAAAUCUAGGCAACGCUUAUCUCUACUUGUAUAUGCUAGCUUGGUUACUACUUUUAGCCUUGAUUUGUCAUGCUAAGCUUUGGUUUACUUGUAGCUGGUGUUGUGGUACUUGUAAGCAUAUGGUAAGCUACUUGUGUGCUUGCUUAUUUUCAACUUUUCUUUUUACAUAAAAUUUGCAACAUUCUUCUAUAACAACUAUUCUUAAAGUGUCCCUUAUGUUCUUUUAUAUUACAAGGGUGUUAUGGUAGAUGAUUGCCUCCUCUUGACAUAUCUAAACCACUAAAAUCUUUCUUUCCUCGAAUUUUCGGUGGUUCACGCAACUCCUAACUUAUUUAUGAUUAUAGCAUUCAGUAUUUUCUCCAACAUUGUUGUAAAGCAUAAACACUGAAGGAUCCUCAUUUCAGAAAUUUCCAUCUUCCUCUCAUGCUCUUUUUUUUCCGGCUAACAUUUGAAGCAACUACCACCUUGUAUCUUGCAUCCAAAUGAUGCCAAUGGUUGUUUUAAAACAAUUUUGGCUAAGGGUGUAGACUAGACAAAGCAAAGUAGAAGGAGAAACGAGGUUUAUUGGGUAGGGUUUAACAUGGACUAGGCUUAUAUAGACCACACUUUUAUCAUGUUAGAUAGUAGAUAGUUUUUUAUAAUGAUUUCUUAUGCAUCUUUAGCGUGGUCGUACAAUUAUGAAUAUUUAUAAUAGUUGGAUAAAUUUAUAAAAUAUGAAAGUGUUGUGGCAAAAUCUAGAGAUUUGAAACAUGUGAACCUACAUGUUUUAGACAUGACACUUUAGUGUCUUGUUUAGGGACCUAUUCCGUGUAAAUGCAUGUAAUUAUCACAUGAAGCUUGCAAAUUGAACUUAUUUUACUAAAUAUUAGGUGUAGACUACCAGGAAAGAAAUUUAAAGCCCAAAUUUGCUUGCCUUUUCUUUCAUUUCCUUUAUCGUGAGUUCGUGACCUUUCCCCUUUAUUGUGCCCUCGACAAUCGACAUAGGACAUCGCCGAGUGGUGCGUUUGCUAUCGUAUCUUUCGAUUGCACCUCAACUACACCUAAAACAACAAGAAUUUGUUUAUCGCAUUGAUAUUAAGGUAUCUUUUUCGAAUACUUAACCUUUAGAUCUAGUUUGAUCCCAAAUCGAUUAUUCCAAAAUUUUACUUGUAAUGCUUUAGUUAGGUAAAUUAUUUUGCAACCGGAAAGAAUUGGCUAGGGUUGUUUGGAAUAAAUGUUUGUGUGCUUCCGAUUACGCUAUCAAUAUUUCUUUACAUUUUUGUUAAUAGGAUUAAUGUCAAUGAACUUAACUUGUAUAUGGAAUGUCAUAAUUAUGAUUUCCAUUCCAUGAUAAACAAUGUUAGGGCCUUAUUAAUGAGAUAAUUCUUUAAUUAAGGUAGUUAUUUAAUUACUUAGAAGCAGUGAUGAUAGUUUGUUAAGCUUUGGUGUCAUGGAUGGUGUCACUUAGAUCAUGAGAGAGAUAGAGAGAAGGGAAGGGGGGGGGGGGGAUCUUAUGGGCCAUCAUUUGUACCCAUCUAGUAGAAUGACGAGAGAGUCGAGUUCCAUAGGUCUUGGAUAUUUCUUCCAUUUCAUAGUGGAUGAUAGUGGGUAUCUUACUAUGAUUUCCUUCUUUGUAUCUCCAAAUUAGCAAAGGGUUUAAAGGCAUUUAGCUACAACUCAUUGCCUUAUUGUGGUUGUAAAUAAUAUGUCCAUCUUUUUGCACAUGUUAUGCUUUUUUCGUAAUCUAGUGGGAAAUUGUGUUAGAUCUUUUGAUAUCCUCGUUUAUAUAGAGGGACACGUUUGAGAACAUGAACCAUAAAUUUUGGAUAUAAUGAUAUUAACUAUGUUGAGACAUCUUUUUGGUUUUAAGAUGAAUUUUGGUUUUACUCCCACCAUUAUCCCAUUUUCUUUGGUUUUUCCUCUCAUUUUUGGACCAUUGACUCUAGUCGUAGUCAAAUCUCAUCUUUACCAUUUUAUAUGGACCUUGUUGCUCAAACCUCAUCUUUAAUAUCGCUAUGCGGCGGUGUUUGGGAUUGCUUUUCAAAACAACCUAUUGACUUAUUGGCUUUUUGAAAAGCCAAUAAGUCAAAAAUAAUGUUUGGCAAACUCAAAAGCAUUUUUCAAAAUAACUUUUCCAUUAGCUUCAAAAAGGAGAUUUCAAAAAGCAGGUAAAACUUGGCUUUUUGAAACUCCUUUUAGCUUUUUAAUCAUAAUAGCUUCAAAAAAGAGAUUUUAAGCCUAACAUUUUUUUUAAACUUAUUGCCUUAUUGGAUUUUGCCAUCUCAAAAGCUAAUCCAAACACUUUUUUAAGUCAAUAAGCACUUUUUCCCAACAACACUUUUGGAAUUCAAAAAGCAGUCCCAAACACCCCCUUGUUCCAACCAUGUGUUGUCAAUGCACCAAGAUCUUCAGUUUUGAUCUGAGCCUUGGCCUACAUUAGUGCUGGCUUUGACUAUUAAGUUCUACCUGAGUUGGGUGUCACUAGCAUUUUCUCAAGAGAUUACUUGAUCUUUCAUUAUUCUACCUUGGUGUCUUUUAGCAGAGCAUCAGAGUUUUCUCUAUUGAGUCAAGAAAUUCUAAACCUUUUAUAUUGCUGGUCGCCUAUAGAUGUUUUUUCCAAUCCAUGACUUGUAAACUACGGCGUUCUCUGUUCUUAUAGAUUUGGUCCUUGAAUUUUAUGCAAGAAAUAUUUUAUAAUGCUUAUUUAAAAAAGAAAAAACUAAUGUAAUGCAAUGUUUAGAAGAGGAAGAAUGAGCAUGGUGGGAGAUUGGAUUUGUGGGUCAUGCAAUCACUUAAACUUUUACUGGAGAGAAUCAUGCAGGAGAUGCAAAGAGCCACGAUCCCAAGACAUGAAUGCAGCUGUGAGUGCGGGCCCCAGGGUGUUUGCUUUUAGGCCCGGGGAUUGGUUCUGUGAUGUUGGGAUUUGUCAGGCUCACAACUUUGCAAGCCGAAGAUUCUGUUUCAAAUGUGGUGUAAUUAAAAGCAUACCAUCUUUUGGUCCUACUGUAGGACUAGGAUACUACCCUACCCUUCCCCUUCCCCCUCCCCCUCCUCCUUUCUUGAGUUUCAGUUUCAUGAAUCCCAGAAUCAGCCAACGAGGCUGGAAGCCUGGCGACUGGUUUUGUGGCAGGGGGUUUUUUUUUUAAUUUUUUUUUUUUUUUUUUUUUUUUUAUUUUAAAUAUUUUUUUUUUUUUUAAAUAUANUUUAUCUUUUUUCAUAUUUUUUUUUUUUUUUUUUUUUUUAAUUAAGGUCAUAAUCAUUAUUCAUUAAUACUAGUUGAUUCUCAUUCAUAUAAUCAUAUGAUAUGAUAUAGGCCUGGCUGUAAUGCACACAACUACGCUUCCCGAAUGAUAUGUUUCAAGUGCAAGUCUUCUAGGGAAUUGGUUACCAAUGUUUCUAAUUGAUUCCUUCCUUGCAUUCCGAAUUCUGGUAAAGAUUUUUGUUUUUUUUUUUCUUAUGAAUGUGUGUGUAAUUUAUGUCAUGUUUUUCAGGUCCUAUGGUUAUGCUAUCACCUCUGUUAGGAGAGAGGGAGAGUCAGAGUUGUUGUUUUUUCGUUCAGAUCUUGUUAUAUCUUAUGUGUUUCUUUUUAUUUCUGUUGGUUGCAUUGCAAUGGAGUUUGAAUCUGGUAUGAAGUUUACAUGAAUUAAUGAAGGAUGUAAUUAUAAGUGGUUUCUUCAGUUUGAAUGUGAUGAUUAUGGAUGGAUGGAUGGAGUUAUAAGAUUUUUGUGGCAAUUUGGUUGGAUCAUAUGUGUAGUUGUAAGAAAAGUUCAUUCAACUGGGUUGUUGAGUUUCAUACACAUUCAUUUGCAAAUGGUAAUUUGACAAGGAUUUUUUUUAAUAUAGCUGAUUUUGGAAAUUUUGGUCUUCAAAUGAUUUUUUUGUUUUUUGUUUUUGUUUGUUUGUUUGUUUUUUUUUUUUUUUUUUUUUUUUUUUUUUUUUUUUUUUUUUGUUUGUUUGUUUGUAAUGGUCUAUGUUCCAAAUAAAAUGACUUUUUUUUUUGUUUCCUAAGUUAUACCUGAUUUUUGCAGUUUUAUCACAAAAAUAGUCAUUUUCUUGGUACGAGGACCAAAAUCAUUAAAAAGAGGAUCAAAAUUGCAAAAAAAAAACUCACCUCAAAAUUGCAAAAGAAAACUCACAGACCAAAAUUACAAUUCAAAAUUACAAAAAGAGGACAUACUACCUAAUUCAUUGAUGAUUAAAGUGGGACAUUGUUUAGUCGUAUUCAAUAAUAUAUAGAAGUAGGAUCGGGUGAUGACUUGAAAAAUAGUGAGGAUUGCGAUGACAAAUCUUGGAUGUUUGUUGGUUUAAAUGGGUGGUUGAGAUAAAUCAAAAUUAAUAAAUAAACAAAAAAAAAAUCGUCCAAUGACAUUUUUGUAAAUAAAAUCAAGUUAGGAUCACUUUCCAAUUAAAGGGCAAUGUCUGGGGGUCAUAACUGUCAAAGGAAAUAAUAAAAUUUUGUUGCUGAAAUGAACUCCACGCACAAAAGGUGCGUCGCCAACUCUAUGGAUCUUACUCUUGAACACGUUUCGCCACCAGGUUUACUUGGGUUUAUUUAUUUAUUUUUAUUUUUCAUGGAUCUUACUCUCGUAUGAACUUGUAUAAGUAGUCCCCGGAAAUGUAUUGACCUGAACUUCAUGAAUAUGGCUUCGUAAUCUGGUUUGGAUGGGUUCUAACGGGAAAAAAACAGGUCUUGAACAAGCUGUUGUUUCGAGUUAAAAUCUGAAAAUUUAACCUAGUUGUUUAAUUAUAUGUUUAAGGUGAAUAUCCCUAUUUAAUCUUGAUUGUUAUUCUUAGGAGUUUUGAAAGGUGACCGGGUGCGAAUGGGUUCUGGUUUCAGUUGGAGGUUUACUCUACUACUUGAGGUGAGUUUCUCACUACACUGUGUAAUGUUGUGCAUUCUUUGCUUUAGCUCGUGUGUGUUAUAGUAUGUUUAUACGGGUAACACUAGAUUGGGUUAGUAUCUAGUGGGAGUAUGUUAUUUGUUCAUGUAUUGAAGAAUAUGUAUAGAAGGGAUCGACGUAUCCGAGCAGAGGAUCGGGCAUAGCCAGUGUGUCCCAAGGGGUCGACGAAUUGAGCAAGGGGGAUCGGGCAUGACCAAUGUGUCCCAAUGGGUUCGGGUGAUCGGGCUUAUCCAAUGUGCCCCAAUGGCUCGAUGUAUCGAGCAAAGGGGAUCAGACAUAACUAAUGUGUCCUAGUAGGUGUAUGUUGUUAUUGAUUCGCUCUUUGACAUGCAUACGUGUUUGUGUGGUUGAUAUUGUUGUUAUAUGUGUAUUAAGGGUAGAGCUUGUAUGAUAUAGACAUAUAGUAUUGUGUAUGUGUGAAAUCCCCUAAGCUUUGUGCUAUUCCCUUUUCCCUUAAAAAAAUACCAUUUCAGGAUUAACAUGUACUUAGGAUGGCAGGGUGUGAUAGUACACACCGGCUCAGUACGGAUUGAUGAAGUUUUCAUAUUACCUUGGAUUAUGUUUCUUUGAUUUUGGAAUUUAUAAUUAACAAAUGGUUUUUGAAAUUUAUUGAUCUUGGGAUUAUGGUUUUAAAACUUAUUUUGAAAAAAAGUCAUGGUUUUGAAUAUACUUAUAUUGUUUUUAGAAGUUCAAAUUUAUUGUAAAUUUUAGGAUGUUACACAAUUGUAUUGGAUUGAGUGCGAAAUUUGAAAAUCCAAUUGGAUUACUUGAAGGCAAUGUUACUUUGUUAGUCUUAUUUAGCAUAAUUGUGUGCGGUUUUAUUUUUAGUUAUCGUAGUUAUAUUUGGUUAUUCGAUAGAAAGAGAUUAGAAUUGGUUGGAUAAUGGAUAACUACUGAAUUAAACCAAUAAAAAAAUAUCCAAUAGAUAGAAUCGAUCUAAUCCAACAUCCAAUUGGAUCGAUUUGGUUUGAUUUUUUUAUGAUGAAUUGGAUUGGACCGGUUGACAAAUCCAACAUCUAAUGGAUGAUUAGAUUGGAUUGGUUCCAUCGAAAUCCAUUGGAUUUGAACCGCUGAUCACCCAUAAUUUGGUUAUUAUGUUUUUUUCAAUCAGCUGCUGGAACAUGAUGGUUCUAAAAACAUUUUGCAAAAAGGUAAGAAUCAGCCAUAAAGUCACAUUACCUUUCAUUGUUGAUGGUUGUGGAAUGUGAACUACUUUUUAUUAAAUUAUAAAUUAUCUAAGGAUGAAACUGCAUUUCCUUUCUUCAUAUCACUAUAACACAUUACAUUAUUUUUGUAUGUUUUUAUAACAUCAAAUCUUUGUUGUGAAACAAGGUUUAUUAUUAACAUGAGUUGGUUUGAGCUUUAACAAAAUUUUAAGAUAAUUAACUAUUUCAUACAAAUGAUUGUUCCAUGGAUUAUAUCAUUAUUAUUAUUAUUAUUAUUAUUAUUAUUAUCAUUAUAAAUCUUAUAAUAGAAGUCACUUGUGACAUAUAUCCUUAUUAUUAUCAUUAUCAUCAUUAUAAAUCUUAUAAUAGAAGUCACUUAUGACGCGGUUCAAGAUAACUCCCUAUAUUGAAGUGCAAAUAAUAAAGAUACGAAUGAUGGAUGUUACGUAAUAAGAUUAUAAUUUGAAAUAGUAUGCUAGAAAGUAACAUGACAAACAAAUCCUGAAACCGUAAACAACAAACAUACAAAAGCCAGUUUGGUAUCAAGAACAAGGUUGGACCGAAACCGUAAACAACAAACAUACAAAAGCCAGUUUGGUCCAAAACCCGAAACCCGAUUUAGUACCCGGAACUGGACCGGACCGAACCCCGACCCGCUACACCUAAAAACGGUCCAGUUCUCGGGUAAGGUAAUUCAUGGUUUUCGGUCUUCAGGCUGGUCCGGUUCGGGUUCUGCUCGUUGCUCUAUAUUGAACCAUAUUAAUUUGAAACUACGAAAACUCUUCGGCUUAUAUUUUAAGUUUCUAUUUGGUGUGUUAGCUGAAAAAACUAGUUUUUAACUUAUAAGCUAGUUUAUCCAUAAACUAUCUCGGAUAACUUAGACAAAACUGCAAAAUUGGUCCUUGUGGUAUGCAUUUUUUCUGAGGUUUAAUCCAAACCUCGAUUUUUUUGGAUUGGUGGUCCUUUUUGGUCCCUUGAAAAAUUGAAAAGACUAAAAUGCCCUUCUGAACAGUUUAUAUGUUAUUUUCUAUUUAAUUUAAAAUUAUAUUAAUUAAAAAUAUAGGGCCCACCUCUUUCUUUCUUUCUUUCUUUCUCUCUCUCUCUCUCUCUCUCUCUAUAUAUAUAUAUAGCCAUUUGGGUUUGUCUUUGACAAACAUCUAAUAACAUCUUCAUAAAUUCAAGAACACUCAAGAACAUCUUAUGCCAUCACCACCAUUCGACCACCGUCCUCCACCACCACUGUCUGCCACCUCCAUCUCCACCUGAACUUUUUAUACCACUUUAUAUCCGCCUAAAAUCAUCCCAAAAACAAAAAUCAUACACAAAAUAUGGGUUUGUUCUUGAGUUUCCCCUUAAAAAUAAUCACUAGAUCUGAUGCCUCAUCAAGAGCUCAUGAACACACACACCCACCCACAUUCAAGAACACAUUCAUGAACCCCAUAUCUGAUGAGCACACAAACACAAACACACAUUAUAUCAGAUCUGAUGAAGGGUUUUUGGAUGAACACAUUCAAGAACAAAUUUUUGAACCCUAGAUAUAAGGAACACACGAACAAAAUCAGAUCGAGUUCAUGGGUUCUCGGGUUCUUCAUCCAAAAAACAAAGAUCUAAAACCAAAACGAACAUUUGACCCCUCAGUGGCAGAUUUCUUCGUCCCCAUCUUCCAAAAACCCAUAUUGUAUGUGUGUAUUUUGUGACAUCCCCGAUUUCACGGCCACAAAAGACCGAUUUGAUUAUGAUUAUUUAAAUCAGAAUAUUCUUUUCAAAAGAGUAAUAAUGUGGAAUUUGUUCCAAAAAAUAUGACAAUAUCAUUAUUAAAGCAUUUCCGAGGAAAUGUAUUUCAUUUAUAUUUAAAAACCUUGGGAUGUCAUGGUCAAUACAACAACAUAAGCAUAAAACGUAAUAUUACAGGCCUUACAAUAGUUUAUUAUUCUAUUGGCCUAUUCUCCUUUAAAUCUCACUCCAAAUUUAAACUCAUCACACCUAUGCUCUUACGCUGCUACCUGUGAAACAAAGAAACUGAGUGGGUUAGGCUUCGGAAAGCCUGAUGAGCACAUAGGGUUUUCAACCCACAAUAAUUAAAUUUAUUAAUUUCAUCAAUCAAUCAACUCGGUUAUCCGUUCCCGUUAUCCUCACUUUUUGUCCCUAAAACAUCUAAAUUAAGGGACUUAGCCUAAGGAUUUUUCAUCGGGGUGACAGCACUGCAUAGGGGAUUCCUCAACAAUAUAUGUUAAAAGGCAACCAUAGGGGAAUGGAGUACAUCUGGUGAACAUUUAGUUCAAAAACACCUACAUGUUUCGAGCCUACCACCGUUCCACUAGACUGUCUAGAAUAGUUUGUGGUCGUCAUCUAUACUCCGCUAGAUGACUGGAUCAUCUUAAACACUCUAGGCCUAUCAUUAUUUAUUUUAUCAUCUAUAUCAUCUACCCAUCUUUACCCUUUAUAUUUAUAGGUACAAAAUACAUACAUAGUUUAAAUCGAAUAAAACAUGUAUAUUUUGUUCAUCCAACAUACAUAUCAAGAACACAGAUAAUAUACACACAUAACACGUAAUUUUUAUUAAAUACUUCAUAUUUAUGUAUAAGAUGAAAAUAACUAUGCACUCACUUGACUAGUUAGUGGUUACUAACUAUGUUCUUAAUCGUCGUUAUAUCACACUUUCUUUAUUUAUGACUCCUUGCUCGAAAAUUCUGAACUCUAAUUUCAAAAUUUCUGGCCCUUCUUUAUAUCGAGUAUAUCUUUGGCUAUUAUUGUUUUCUAUCAUAAGAAUUGCUCAAAGGAUACCUCUAUUUAUAUAAAGGAUUUUUGAAUCGCCCGUACAAUAUCAAAAGAUUAGUCACCCAAAAAAAUUACACGUAUAACUUCAAUAAAUUAGAUGUGUACGAACAUACUUGAAAGGUUAACACAUAUUCUUCUGAUAUUGACUCUAAAUUAGAAGGUGUAUUAUUACUUCUCUUUUGUCAACACAUAUCAUUUUAAUUAAUAAAAUAUGUACGACAUGUAUUAUAUUUCUUACAGGUAUGUUGGUUUGCAAUUUACAAAUCAAUUAUAGUUACAUUUAUGGUCCAUAAGUUAUUAUUGUAUUAACACAAUAUAUCAUUCAAGUUACACUGUAGUCCCUCAGCUGCAUGGAGCCCCUAAUAAGAAUAAAGAACAAGUAAGAGACGAUCACCCACUUAUUUGUUUGGAUCGGUCCGAUCCAAUCAAAUUAAGUAAAUUCAACUUAAUUCCGGUUUACAAAACAUUGAUUCAAAUAGUUCAAACUAAAUUCAAAUUCGGUAUGAAUUAAUCAAAUUACAAUUCGAUUUUCAAGAGUCGGAAUGUUUUAAAAUAGUUAUAAUUUGAAUAUUAGCUGACUUUAUAAAAGAAAUAUAAUCAAAUGGUUAGUUGUAAAUUAAAAUUUAUAAACUGUUAAGGAAAAUAUAUUUUGAUUCAUUAGAUAAAAAAAUCUUGAAAAAAAAAUACAUAUUAAGGUUUUUAUUAGGAGAGUGUUUCUAACCUAUUUAAAAAACAAUUCAGUAAAUUAAUAAAUAAUUAAAAGUAUAUAUUAAAAAUUAAAAUAUAUAUAUCUAUUCUAAUAAAUGAAAGUGUUUUUUGUCACAUGUUACACUCUCACUCAAUUUAUCAAAUGUCAUUUUGUGGUUAUUUUGAAUUAAUUUAUUUUUCCAAAUGUCAUGUUAUGUUUUUUUUUUUAUUUUAAUAAAGUUCACAUAAUAUUUAAAUGUAAUAAUUACAAUAAAUUUAGUAAUAAAUAAAUAUAAAUUUCAUUAAUGGAUAAAAAAAUCAAUUUUAAAAGAUAAAAAAAAUCAAUUUUUAUAAUUCAUUAUUUUUUUUUUAUAAAUUCAAAGUUCUUAAAUAUUUAGACAUUUAUAAUUAAUUUUUUUGAUUAACUCAUAUAAUCCAUGAGUCUUAUAGUUUACAAAAUAUUUAUCAAAUAAAGAUAUACUUGCAUGCUGUAAGAUAAUUUUUUUUACUAAUUUACCACCCCGGCCUUUCUAACAAUAAUUUGUAUUAUAUAAAAGACAAUGUUUUCUAAAUAAAUAAAAGAUAUUAGUUUAUUUUAUAUAUAGACAACCACAUAUCAUUUCCAUAUAUAACAUGAUGGUUGUUCAGAUCCGUGAUUAUUUAAUUUAAACUAUUAAAUAUGUAUUUUAUGAGUCGGUGAUUUCUAACACUAUUAAAAAAAGGGACAUUGUAACGAAACUAAAAGGCCGAGUUUCCUGUAAGCAGCUGACUGAAGCCAGACAGUCAAGCCAAGCUGAUUCUCCCCGCUCUCGACCAAAAUCUAUUACUAUUUUCAUCAUCACCGACACCCUCCCCCUCUCUUUUCUUAACAAAUCAAUACAAAUGAUUAAUAUGCAGUAAUCAUCGAAAGUGAGAUCAAGAAUGGGCCCUUUUCUUCUCACGCCAAUGCCCAUCAAACUUCAUUGAUUAUCAAGUUCCUUCAAAUUCAAAUCAAGAACGAAAAAAUCAAUUUCUAUCAUCUGGGGCUCUUCUUUAGUCCCCUGUUUCUACUUUAAUUGGAAUACAUGGAGGCAAAUGCAGGAUUAGUUGCCGGAUCUCAUAAGAGGAACGAGUUGGUGAGAAUAAGACAUGAUUCCGAUGGAGGGGUAUGUGUUCUUUCGAUUUUUCUUGAAUACCCUUUUGGAUUUUGAGUGUUCAGAAAUCAAUUUUAUCGACUCUUGUAUAGAUCUAAGUGAUUUAACAGUAGGCUAUUUUGUUUAACCCAAGUUUGUUUAUUUUGUUUGGAUCUGAGUGAUCAGUGUGACCAGUGAGCUCAGUAAUGAGUGAUGAUACGACUUUUGACUUAUUAAUCCUACCUUUUUGUUAAAUCUUCAAAGAGGGUUUUUUGUUAAAUUUGUGGAUUUAGAUCUGAAUCAUCGAGAUGAAAGUUUCUGUUUUCAGCGCCCAUCUUGAUUAAUUUGACAAAAUUUUCAGCUUUAGCACAUGAUGAUUUCUUAAAUUAUUUAAUUUUGAUUGUGACGUUGAGUGUUGAUGAUGCAGCCGAAGCCUUUAAAGAAUAUGAAUGGACAGAUAUGUCAAAUCUGUGGCGACACCGUCGGCCUGACUGAAAACGGCGACGUUUUUGUUGCUUGCAACGAGUGCGCAUUCCCGGUUUGUAGACCCUGCUACGAGUACGAAAGAAGAGACGGAAAUCAAGCAUGCCCUCAAUGCAAAACUCGAUACAAAAGACACAAAGGUUAGUUUUUGAGUUUUUGUUCGUAUCAAGAACACAUCAAACAUAUGAUUUUUGUAAGAAUUAAAGAGAGAUACAAAUGUUUUUAGGGAGUCCCCGAGUUGACGGUGAUGAUGACGAGGACGAUGUUGAUGACCUGGAAAACGAGUUUGAUUAUGCACAAGGGAGACGACAAUGGCAAGGAGAAGAUCCGGAUCUUUCUUCAUCUUCUAGAAGACAUGAAUCACAGCAACCAGUUCCCCUUCUCACUAAUGGCCAACAAGUAAGAAAAUUACUUAUAUACCCUUUUGUUCUAAGCAUUACCUUUUUAACUAAAUUCAGAGUGUUAUUUUCAGGUAUCUGGUGAAAUCCCAAUUGCCACACCGGACAAUCUAUCUGUAAGAAGUACAUCGGGUCCAUUAGGCCCUGGUGACAAGCCUGUCCGCUAUAUGGAUCCAAGACAACCAGGUUACUUUCUUUUUUUUUUUUUUUUUUUUUAAAAAAAAAGUAUUAUUAUUAAUCAGAUAAUGUUGUAGUAAUUAUGCUAAUGAUGCCCUUUUAAUAAAUAGUUCCUGUAAGAAUUGUGGACCCAUCAAAGGAUUUAAAUUCAUAUGGGCUUGGGAAUGUGGACUGGAAGGAAAGGGUAGAAGGCUGGAAACUAAAACAAGACAAAAACAUAAUGCAAAUGGCAAACAGAUACAAUGGCGGUGAAGGGAGAGGAGGUGAGAUUGAAGGCACGGGAUCAAAUGGAGAAGAAUUGCAACUGUAAGUAGUAAACUAAAGGGUACUUUAGGAAUAUCAUAUUUGUCGACUUAUGAUUUGACUUUUUUUUUUUUUUUUUUUUUUUUUUUUUUUUANUUUGUUUUGUUUUUUUUUUUUUUUUUUUUUUUUUUUUUUUUUUUUUUUUUAAAUAUAUAUAGGGUUGAUGAUCCAAGACAAUUAAUGAGCCGUGUGGUGCCUAUUUCAUCUUCUCAUUUGACUCCAUAUCGAGUUGUGAUUAUAUUGCGAUUGAUUAUUUUGGGAUUUUUCUUGCAAUAUCGGUUGACUCAUCCUGUUAAUGAUGCGUAUCCUUUGUGGCUUGUAUCUGUUAUUUGUGAGGUGUGGUUUGCUUUUUCUUGGCUUCUUGAUCAAUUUCCAAAAUGGUCCCCCGUUGAACGUGAGACCUUCCUUGAUCGCCUUGCAUUGAGGUAAGUAAGUAAUGGGAUUUAGAUUUUGGGCUAAUUGCAAGAAAUAGCAAUGUACUUUCAUUUGUAGUCAUCAUCAUGGGCAAUUAGGUAAUUUUAGCUUAAACAAUGAAAAUUUGUUGUUUUGUAGGUUUGAUAGGGAAGGAGAGCCUUCACAAUUGGCACCUAUAGAUGUCUUUGUGAGUACAGUGGAUCCAUUAAAAGAGCCUCCUCUCAUCACUGCAAACACAGUGUUGUCUAUUCUUGCUGUGGAGUAUCCUGUUGACAAAGUCUCCUGCUAUGUAUCUGAUGAUGGAUCUGCUAUGCUUACAUUUGAGUCUCUUUCUGAGACAGCAGAGUUUGCAAAAAAGUGGGUCCCAUUCUGCAAGAAGCAUAGCAUCGAGCCCAGAGCCCCUGAGUUUUAUUUUGCUCAAAAGAUAGAUUACUUGAAGGACAAGAUCCAGCCUUCUUUCGUCAAAGAACGUAGAGCAAUGAAGGUGAGUUUUACCACUUUUAUGUUUUAUGUUUUAUGAUUUCUUCCAGUGUUUUACCAAAUACCUAAAACACCCUUUUAUGGCAGAGAGAAUACGAAGAAUUCAAAGUUCGGGUCAAUGCACUUGUAGCAAAAGCACAAAAGAUGCCGGAAGAAGGCUGGUCUAUGCAGGAUGGAACUCCUUGGCCUGGAAACAACCCCCGUGAUCAUCCUGGAAUGAUUCAGGUAUUUGAAUGAUUGUUUGGUUGCUGAAAAUUUGUAUAUCAACAGUUGAUUGUUGACUUCUCUUGUUUAUGAUGAUUGGAAUUGGAUAGGUGUUCUUGGGGCACAGUGGAGGUUGCGAUACAGAUGGAAAUGAGCUACCUCGUCUUGUUUACGUGUCCCGUGAAAAACGUCCUGGGUUUCAACAUCACAAGAAAGCCGGUGCCAUGAAUGCUUUGGUAUGGAUCUCUUAAAAAAACAUGGAAAUUUUUUGUGUUUAUUGGUUGUUUAUGGAUGCGAUGCAAUUUGGUGUUACAGAUUAGGGUUUCGGCGGUUUUGACGAAUGGCGCGUACCUUUUGAACGUCGAUUGUGAUCACUACUUCAACAACAGCAAAGCUCUAAAAGAAGCCAUGUGUUUCAUGAUGGAUCCUGCCUAUGGAAAGAAGACAUGCUAUGUUCAAUUCCCACAGAGAUUCGACGGGAUUGAUUUACACGAUCGAUAUGCUAAUCGCAAUAUCGUCUUCUUCGAUGUGCUUUUCUGAACUUUACAGAGUCAAACUUAAAAAAAAAAAUUCAAAUUCAAAUUCCGAUCUUGUUGGGAUUUCAAAAAUCAAAAAUUGACAUUUCUAUAUAUAUAUAUUUUGUACAGAUUAACUUGAAAGGGCUGGAUGGGAUUCAGGGGCCGGUUUACGUGGGAACUGGUUGCUGUUUCAAUCGACGAGCUCUGUAUGGAUACGACCCUGUUUUAACAGAGGCUGAUUUAGAACCAAAUAUCAUUGUGAAAAGCUGUUGUGGUUCACGAAAGAAGUCGAGAAACGUUAACAAGAAGUACGUGGAUAAAAAAGCAGUGAUGAAAAGAACGGAAUCCAACACUCCAAUUUUAAACAUGGAUGAUAUCGAUGAGGGUGUUGAAGGUUUGAUUUUGAGUCUUUCACUUUAGUUUGUGGGUCCAGUGAAUCAUUAAUGUUGACUAAAUUCUUUUGUUUUUGAAAGGGUAUGAUGAAGAUAGAUCGUUACUAAUAUCGCAAAAGAGCUUAGAGAAGCGAUUUGGUCAAUCUCCUGUAUUUGUUGCUGCAACUUUCAUGGAGAUGGGAGGAAUUCCCCCCACUACCAAUCCAGCUACCCUUUUGAAGGAAGCAAUACAUGUUAUUAGCUGUGGUUAUGAGGAUAAAACCGAGUGGGGUAAAGAGGUAAUUUUACCCUUCUAGCUUCCGAUUCUUGUUAUACAUGGUCAUCGGAAAAACAAUAAUCUUCAUGUUAUUUUGUUUUGUGUACAAAUGCAAGCAGAUUGGAUGGAUUUAUGGGUCUGUGACAGAAGAUAUUUUAACUGGAUUCAAGAUGCACACAAGAGGAUGGAUCUCAAUAUAUUGCAUGCCACAACGUCCGGCUUUCAAGGGUUCUGCUCCGAUCAAUCUUUCCGAUCGUCUGAACCAGGUCCUCCGGUGGGCUUUAGGUUCAAUCGAGAUUUUACUCAGUAGACAUUGCCCCAUCUGGUAUGGGUAUAAUGGUAAAUUAAAACUCCUGGAGAGGCUCGCAUACAUAAACACCAUCGUCUAUCCCCUCACCUCCAUCCCUCUUCUAGCCUACUGUGUACUUCCGGCCGUCUGCCUUCUCACCGGAAAAUUCAUCAUCCCCGAGGUACGUUAAUCAUGCUUUAUGAGUUGUACGAUAUGCAUGAAUGUUUGUACAUGUUGAAAAUUGGGGGUUUUGCAACAGAUAAGCAACUAUGCUAGUAUGUGGUUUAUUCUUCUCUUUAUCUCCAUCGCUGCAACCGGAAUCUUGGAGCUCCGGUGGAGUGGCGUGAGUAUUGAAGACUGGUGGAGAAACGAACAGUUUUGGGUGAUAGGAGGCACGUCCGCUCAUCUAUUCGCCGUCUUCCAAGGUCUUCUCAAAGUUCUCGCCGGAAUCGACACCAAUUUCACCGUCACAUCCAAGGCAAACGACGAAGACGGUGAUUUUGCAGAACUCUAUAUAUUCAAAUGGACGGCGCUCCUCAUCCCACCCACCAGUGUUCUGAUCGUAAACCUAAUCGGCAUAGUUUCCGGCGUUUCAUCUGCAAUCAACAGCGGUUACCAGUCGUGGGGCCCACUUUUUGGGAAACUGUUUUUUGCAAUCUGGGUUAUCGUCCAUUUAUACCCGUUUCUCAAAGGUCUGUUGGGUCGGCAAAAUCGAACCCCCACCAUUGUUAUCGUGUGGUCGAUUCUGCUUGCUUCGAUUUUCUCCCUUUUGUGGGUUCGUAUCGACCCCUUUACCACAGACGAUACUCUUGAUGCAGUUAAAGGACAAUGCGGGAUCGAUUGUUAGGUAUAUAUAUAUAAAGUUUCUGAUUUGCAAAUUUGUGUAAGCCGUGAUGUGAUGCGAUGUGAUGUGUACGAAUGAUAUAAUUAUUUGAUUUAUUGUUGUUAUCCCACGAAUUCAAUGAAAAAUUUAAGUAUAACCUUAUCUUAAUAUGUCGGUUCAUUACAUUCAAUUAAGUUGAGUUGUAUGCAAAUUUCUUGUUAUUAUACAGUAUAUUACAAAAUUCAAACACUAUCUUCUUCAUAUUUAAUUUCAUGAAUUUAGUCUUCAACAAGUACAUAUAUAUAAAACAAAACAUGAAAUUCCAUACACACCAAGGUUCAUGUCAGAUCCUGAAACAAAAGAUUAAAGAAAAUAAAGUUAGAUGGUUGUAAAUUGUAACCUAAUGAAAUAUAAGAAAAGUUGGGGUUUUACUUACUCAAUAUAUUCAACGUUGAUUUUCUCCCUUUGAGACUUGGAAAUGGCAGAAAAAGCAUCAUUUGACAAAACAAUAGUCGAAGGACACGGCCUUUUGGAACAAAAAUCUACCACCUUAACAUCAAUGGUACCAUCUCUACAUGGUUUAUUAUUUCCACUCAAACACUUGAGUCUGUAUCGCCUACCACAUGCUGCACCGUUAUCCCAUAGUCCUUCGCUCACUGACACAAAUAAGUUCCCCAAUGGGAAUUGAUCUGCUCGGUUGCCAUUGCACCUUGUGGCUACAUUAAAAAUACAUAUAAAAAAAAAUACUUCAAUUUAACUAUUAUUUAUUUAUUUAUUUACAAUGUCAAAAACAUAAUAAUUAGAAUCAUAUUUAAACUUACGUGUAUAAGGAGGCUCAUAGGAUGAGGCAGUGCCAAUUUCACUCAAACCACACUUGAUGUUAUUGAAGAUUAACAAUAAAAAUAAAUUCACAAUCACUCCAAUUCCCAUCGCUACAAAUUCCCUUUUCUUUUUUCUCUCUCUCUGUCAAAUACUAUGGUAGUAAGAUGCACCCCCUUGGAUUAUAUAUAGAUAUCGUAUGGAUUUAUUUAAAAGAUAUAGGUAUAGUUUGAGAUAUAUUGUCACGUGUUUUUUAAUAGAAAUGUGCUUAGCAUGUAUAUAGAAUGAAUGAAAAGUUGGUGAUCAAAUUGGAUAAACUAUAGAUGUUUAAUGUGAUAUAUAUCUACCUUUGCGCAUGAAAAAUGGAUUUAAUAGGUUUUGGUCAAUUGUGAUAUAAAGUUCUUGAUGCCUACCACUAAUUAGUUUAAGGAAAGAUGGUUUCUAACGUAAACAUAAAACAACUUUUCUAUCGUCUCUUUUAAACAGAAAAAAUAGUCAAUUUUGACAAUGGCACAAAAAGGCAAUGGAAAAGCAUAUGUAAGGAUUAUUAGAUAAAACGAUAGUGUUUUAAUGGAGAAAAAUUAUAUUUUCGGUGAAUUUUUUUUAGUUGAUAAACCCAUUGUUGGUGUCGAAUCUAUGAAAUUAUUUUGGCUUAUACGUCGGCUGACCGAUAUGAUUACCAAAGAAAGGUGCAUCCAGUACAAUCACCACUAACUAAAACCAAUGGCUCUAAACUGUUCGCAAUUUUUUAAGGAAGGGAAAUUCAUAUUUGAAUUCGUCACUACAAAGUGUUACAUGAUUCGUUAUUAAUAAAUAUUUUAUAUUACCUUUUAUCAUAUAAAUAAACAAUCCAAAUUUUAUUUUUAGAUGCAUAUUUCACAAAGCUUUUGUGUUUUUUUCGGUUCAAGUUUGUGUUAAAGUAAUUCAAUAUAGAUGGAGAAUGUCGUUCAAUAAAAGUAGUUUGUGUUAAAGUAAUUCUAUACAGAUGGAAAAUGAUGUUCAAUAAAAGUUUAGAAUAUCAGAUAAUCAAAAUUAGUUUGUCGAUAAGAUUUAUUAUUUUAAAAGAUGGGAUAUAUAUACUAAACUCUCAAUAUUUUUAACGAUUCAACAAAAAAGUCUUAAAUUUUAUUUUUUUAGAGUAAAAUCCUAACUAGCGGCAGUUUUUGACAUGUUUACCAUUUUUUGCCAGUUAGCCAGUAAUUAUGGUUUUACUAUAAAAAAAUAAAAUUUAUGACUUUCUUUUUCAAAUCGUGAAUUAAGACAUUACUGUAAAAAAAAAUUAAAGUUUAGGACUUUCUUAUCAAAUCGUUAAAAAUAUAGGGACUUUAGUGUAUAUAUCCAUUUUUUUGUUAGAAAUUUAAUGUCAUUAUAAUCUUUAAGUAUAAGAGUUAUUGAAAUCUGACCAAUAUGCUCUGGUCAACUAGAUUCUAUUAAAAUCAUUAACGUUUGAUUCUUGUUAAAUAGUUUUUUUUUAAUCUCAACAAAUCGACAUUGAAAAAAAUAAAGAUAAUCAAGAAAGAAAGAACCACGAUUGUGUUGAAUUUUUGCAUAAUGAUAAUCAAGAAAGAAAGAACCAGUAUCGUGUUGAGUUUUUUGCAAUCCUAAAAAUGGAGAAUUAAGAAACCGGAAAAGAAGAAAUUGUCCUUCUUACACAUUCUCCACAUUCACACAUUUUUUACCGGACAUGUGUUGUUUGUGUUUGUUGAAUUUGUUCCUCUUUUCAGUUCAAGAUUUGACGGCGAACCAAGAAAAAAGUUUUACAAGUCUUCUUACCCUCUAUCGUUCUCUCUUUUGCAUCAGUUUCCCAGAUUGUGAUCGUAGCAAAGUAAGAUGAUGAUGGUAAGAAAAAACAAUGGUGUUGCAAUAAAAAUCACAAUUAAAAGUUCUUGGGAUAGGAAUUAGGUCUCAUGAGACUGAUAAAAUUAUUUGUUUCUAGGGAAACCAAACCUAUACACUAAAGUCUCAAUAUUUUUAACGAUUUAACAAAAAAGUCAUAAACUUUAUUUUUUUGACAGUAAAACCCUAAUUACCGGCUAACCGGCAAAAAAGAGUAAAUGUUUCAAAAACUGUCGAUAAUUAGGAUUUUACUGUCAAUUGAUUUUAAUAUUUUCAUGCAAAAGACAACUGUAUUACGAAAGAAAUAACUGUUAACCGUAACUACAAUAAGGUAUUAAAGUUAUAGAAGUUUCAAUCCUAAUAACGCAUAAUUUUCACUUUUGGUUUAAUAUGUUUAUAUUAUUUAUCUAAAAAACAAAAUCAUAAUAAAUAUAUUUUGAUUAAAUGUCACAGAAAAACCACGCCCAUGUCAAUUUUGAUUGUUACAAAAUGACAAUUUUUUUGAAAAGAGAUAUCAUACCGUAUUAAUAAGGUGGUGUUUGUUUUUUUUUCAAAAGCUCUUCUAGACCUUUUAUGUCUGCAUCGCGUAGACGACCCACAAACUUUUAGUCCUAUAGACUGUUUGUUUUUUAGAAGACCGUACGCAUAAAAAAAUCUGUCCAUCCUCUUCUUGACGUAGAUGUGAACAUAUGUCUUCUAGUCUCUUUCUUAAUCUUUCCACUAAUCUUAAGAGACAAUAAAAAAGCGCAAAAAGAAUAAAAAAAUGAAAAAAAAAACCUAUCAAACCUCAUUCGUGCACCUUUUUUUUUAAUUCAUUUGCCAUGUAAACACUUUGUAAAUAUAUUAUUUUAAUGAUUUUAGCUUUAUAAACUUUAUUUGGUCAAAUAAUUUUUUGGUAUUCAUAUUUUAAAAAACUUUAUGCAUAUUUAUCCGAUGACUUUUUAUAACAGUAAUUAAAAAAGUUAAAUAUACUACAAAACUUAUGAAAGUAUUUUACGAACGUGUUUUUUUUCUUCAUAAAAUGGACAAUUAAUUUGUUAUAUAUAUAUAUAUAUGCUUAUUAUAUGAUAACUAGGCUCGUGCGUGUGAACAAGUCUCCGUUUGCCACCUAGCACGGUAUCUNNNNNNNNNNNNNNNNNNNNNNNNNNNNNNNNNNNNNNNNNNNNNNNNNNNNNNNNNNNNNNNNNNNNNNNNNNNNNNNNNNNNNNNNNNNNNNNNNNNNNNNNNNNNNNNNNNNNAUAUAUAUAUAUAUAUUGAAAAUAAGGUGGUUGUAUUAUUAAAUUACAAUGUUUUUAUAUAAGAAAUAUUGAAAAAGUCUUUUAAAUUAAAAAAAAAAUCAAUUUAUUUAGGUUUUAAUUUAUUUUAGCAGUUUGUAGAUUUUAAAAAACAAACAGUCUUCUUGCAGACUGCAGACGUUUGGUCCAUAUCUUCUACUGCAGAUGUCGUCCGCAGACUGCAGACAUUUUGCUUCUGAAAAACAAACACCAUCUAAGUUUCAAACGCAUAAACAUUUAUUAACAAAAGACAUGUAAACGUGGAUUAUGAACUAAUGACAUAGAUAUACGAUAAGUACUAUAAAGAGGAAAAAGCAUAGUUAAGAUUGACCCAAAUUGUAAUGAUUAUAGUCUUGCUAAUGUAAAUAUUUAAUUAGUUUUUCUUGAUAAUCAUGAUAAAUGAUACUUUUUGACUCAUGAGUGAUGAAUAAACAAUAGUAUAUAUAGAUUUACUAAGACGAAAAAAGACAUGAGUUUUAAUGAUAGAAUAUUAUUGAAAAAAUAAUAAAGAAUAUGAUCAACUUUAAAUUAGUGCCCGGAUAAAAUCGAAGUUUUAGAAAGUGCUGAUUAGUGGCGAUCCUUCAUUUUUUUAUAACUUUAUUUCAAAUUAAUGGUAAUCAUGUAUAAUAAUUAAUAAACUUACAAUACGCUAAUAUACAUUACAAUCAUUUUCAUCCUAUGUGAAAAUAAUUUUUGACAUAUUAUUCGUUUUCAAAUUAUAUAGAUGCAUAGGCAAUAAUAUGUCUUUUAUGUGAAAUAAUGUGUGUUUUUUUUAUGUGAAAACAUGUUUUUUAUAUAUAAAAAUAUAUUUUCACAUAAAAAAAACCUGUUAUGCAAAAAACCUUUUGGACCAAAUUUAUAUAGAAACAUAUUUUUCACAUAUAAAAACCUUUUUAUAACAAAAAUGUUUUGUAAAAAAGGUUUUUAGUAUAAAUAUGAUUUUAUAAAGCAAAAAUAACAUAUUUCGAAACAAAAUUUUGGAAAAAUAUAUGUAAAAAAAACAAAAUUUAAGAUGAAAUUGUAACAAAAUUUUAAAAUAGGGACAAAAAUAUAAAAAUUGGACCAAAUUUAUAACAAAAUUUAAAAUCUGAGAAAAAAAUGUAAAUUUUAAAACUGGGAUGACCUUAUAGCCGGGAAAAAUGAUGAAAAUGAAUAUAUUUACCUGUAUUCGUAUCUUAAUUAAAAAAAUAAUAAUUUAAAUACUUAAUUGAAUAUAAGGUUAAAAAUAUAAACACUUUAUAGAUUUUCCUAUACUAAAUACUAUAGCAAAAUAUGUGGAAUUUGGUAUUUAGUAACUUUGGUCUCACUUUUGUUAAAUUUCUAUUUUCUAUCAUUUUACUUUUUGAAAAUUCGUUUUUACCUCUCGAUUUUUCUACUUAUUAACUUUGGUCCAUCACUUUUGUUAAGUUCUCAAAUUUUCAUCCUUUUUACUUUUGAAAUUGUUGCUUUUACCCCCUUUAACUUUCAACUUUCUAGAUACUCAACUCACUCAGCAUGAAGUAUAAGAAAAAAGAGAAGAGAGAGAGAGAGAGAGAGAGAGGAAGCAGCGGGCUGAAGAACCCACAUGAGACGUCUUCUGGCGGUAACCACCAAGGCGUGGAUUUGUUACCCUAGCCGUCGCACGACUCCGUGCACCCUUGGAGAGUAAUCAGUGUUAAAACACUAAGUUGCUUGAAAUAAGGAAUUUGAAGUUAAAUUGAAAAUUUAAAUGUAGAUACGAAAACACAUCAUCUUGCUAACUUGACAACUUAACGCCAUCUUAAGUGGAUACCAUAGAAUGACCCACGAGUGGCGAAUUUAAAAAAAGAAUCACAUGGUUCCUAAUUAAGUGAAGCCAAUAAAAAAAAUCAACAAUACUUUUGGAGUCGGGUCAGGUCGGCUCAUGUACCUUAAAAGAACUGAACAAGUUCAAUCGGCUCAUGUACCUUGUAACGACCCGUCUCUGGUAUGUUGUUUCCAUGUUAUUUAUUUAGAAGUUUUCAAGAGGGACUCGGGGAGUCUAUAGCCCGACUCGUCGAGUAGAGACGGGAUUUCGAGCACGUGUAAGUCGCCGACUCAACGAGUCCAUAUUCGAGACUCGGCGAGUCCGCCUGCUAGGAAGAAACCCUAAAUCCCCGGGUUUGCUCACUAUUUAAGCAAUGUUAUGUGCCCCAAACUCGCCUCCUUCACCCUCAGAGAGCUUGAGAGAAACCCUAAACCAUUCCUUGUAUGACUAAAGUGUUUUGUGUGGAUUCUUGAAGGAAAAAGAAGAAAGGACCCAAAAAGAGGAAGUGUAGAGCAAAGAUCCAAGGCCAAAGUCAGAGUUCAUUGAGGUAUGUCUCGGAAUUAUUCUGUUUUGUGCUUAAAACCUCCAUUAGAACACCUCUAAGGCUAGUUUAAUGUAUUUUCCAAGCUUUAUAGUUGUAUGGAUGCCUUGUUGGGUCGAGAUAUCCCUAGAUCUGUUCAUUUAGGAGUUUUAGAGCCCUGAUCUAGUGCCUUUUCGAAGUUUCUUUGCUUGAGAACCCUAGAUCUAGCCUUUAUUAUGCUUUUUGAGCCUUUUAAUCUUCAUGGGUGCAUAUGGGCACGUAAAGAUAGAAUCUUUACGUGUUAAUCGAGCUUAGGGAGCCCAGAUCUAUAAGUUUUAUGCGUUGGAUUCAAGCAGAAUCGAGUUUAUAGUAGCUGCAUGCAUGCGACUCGGCGAGUCGUUCUUCCGACUCGGUGAGUCGAGUCGUGAGUCCCCGAUUUUUCCUCUUUUGAGUAAUGCCGAGUGGGGACCAGUGAGUAGUAGAGUGGACUUAGUGAGCUGGAGGUCAGACUCAGUAAUGGAGGGACUCGACGAGUUGUUCAUACAACUCGGCGAGUCCAAGGCAAUCUUCUUAGCUCAAGAACAACUCGUCGAGUUGUUCAUACGACUCGGCGAGUCGGAUGCAGAUAGCUUGAGUUCUAGAAUCGAAAGGAAACUCGUCGAGUUUAUGCCAUACUCGACGAGUAGCAGCGAGUAGGGUUGAGAAGUGAGAAUAGGGACUAGGCGAGUUGGCGGCCCAACUCGGCGAGUCAGGUCAACUGUAGGUUGACUUUGACCAGGAGAGUUGACUUUGACCAGGGGUAAAAGAAUCAUUUUACCCCAAUACAGUGAUUAGUAUUUGAUUGAGUGUGUUUAUGGAAUUGUAGCCGGAGAGAUACCAGAGCAGCAGCAGAUAGCUUCCAGAGCCAUACAUUCAGCAGCCAGUUUACGAGGUGAGUUUCCUACCAGUAGGAACGGGUCUACGACAACAAUGCCGGCCCGUUUAGCUAGCAGUUAGUUCCGGACUUCGGUCCGAAGCAGUAGUUCAAGGUGCUUGAUGUUGUGUUUCGGGCAUGUCUAUGUGUUAUGUUAGCAGAUACGUGUUUAUGUUAUGCUAUGUUCAGACAGUUCCGGAUUUCGGUCCGAUGCAGCUAGUUCCGGACUCCGGUCCGAUGCAGGGGACAAGGUCCCAGUCAGUUCCGGAUUUCGGUCCGAUGCAGACAGUUUCGGACUUCGGUCCGAUGCAGUCAAUUCCAGACUUCGGUCCGAUGCAGUGGGCAAGGCCCAGUAUGUGCUUUAUUUGUUAUUGUGUGGUAUGCGGUAGUUUAGGGGAGCUCACUAAGCUUCGUGCUUACAGUUUCAGUUUUGGUUUCAGGUACUUCCGCAAGUAAAGGGAAGAACUCGGGAUGAUGCAUCGCACACACCACAACUUCAGUUUUUGUCGUGGGAGUUGAUUCAGUUUCUUAGAUAUGUUUUGAUACUGUUGUGACACAUUUUUUCUCACAGUAUUUUAUUAUGUGAUACUCAGUUUUAUGAUCUUUGUUAUAAUAUAAAUGAAAUUAUCGGGUCGUAUUUUUGGGAUGUUUCAAGUACCUUGUGCCACCGAUUAAAAAAAUUUUAAAAACCGAUUGAAAUAUAACUGAAAAAGACAUACAGCUUAACGAAAAACUAGUUGAUUAUUAGUCCAUUGAUAAAGCGGCGAACGCAGAGUGAGAGUCUUUGGCAUGUGGGCUUUCAUUUUAUUAGAACAACUUGUUUAUUUAUUAAUAUUUUGAGAGUGCCGAUUAAGAGUAGUUAACUUUUUAUUAUCAAUCUCAUAAUUUAAAAUAACAAAUUGUCCCUAAUAACUUAUAUUUUUCUCUUUUUAAAGUGGUUUUUUUUUUUAAAAAUAAAAAUAAAAAUAAACUCAAUGUAGGUUCUCUAUUUUUUUAAGACUAAAUUACACAGAUGGUCCCUGUGGUUGGCACGAGAGACCAAAGAUAGUCCUUAUGAGGAAUUUUGGACUUGUAUGGUCCCCGUGGUUCCAAAUUGUUGCACGAAGAGUCCUUAUGACAUACUCCGUUUAAUUGUUGUCGUUUAUUUAAAUCACGUAACCCUCACACGAGGGUAUUUUGGUCUUUUGCUUAUCCCUUCUCUCUCUCAUAUCUUUAUAUGAUCUGCAAAAGAUUUCCCUUCCCUAUAAAAAUUAAACCCCCAUCACUUCCUUCAUUAUUUUUCGUCUCCUCUAUUCUCUCUUCUCUCUUCUCUCUGCUGUGUCUUUCUAAGAAACUUUGCUUAAGAAUGGUAAAUUGUUUUUGUGGAACGCAAGCGGUGAUAGUGACAUCAUGGAUGGAUCUCAACCCAGGUUGUAUGUUUUGGAAAUGUCCUAGCAGUUGCGGUUUCAUUGCCUGGUUUGAUGAGCCGAUGUGUCGAAGGGUUGUGGCUGUCAUUCCAGGUUUGCUAAGAUCCAUGAACAAGCUUCAAGAAUCUCUGCUGCAAGCAAGUUUUGAAGCAAAAAAAGUGAAGAUGAUGCUAGUUUUUAGUUGGGUUUUCUUUUUCAUGUAUGUGUAUAAAAGAUGCUAAUAGUAUUAGUCUGGAGAUGAUGGUUCUUUUGCUUGUGGGUAGAUGAUGGUUCUUUUGCUUGUGGUUAGAAUCAGAUAAUAGUAUUAAUUUGAAGAUGAUUUCGUUUUGUUUGUUUGUGAUGCAAGAAAUGUUCGUAUGUAUGAAUGGAAUGCUUUUUAUUUGGGAAACUUUUAGUCUGCUACCAUUGUAAAAUAUUGGUCAGGAACUUAAUGAGUGUAAAAUAUUGGUCUGCAACUUAAUGAACCGUGCAGAUCCAUUAAAGUAUAAAAUAUGAAAGUGAAAGGUUUUUGUAGGCUUUAGACCAUUGUAGAGCCAUAACAACAUUAGAAAUGUUCAAAAAUAAAAUGCAAACUUUUGCAUAGUCAUAAAGUUCAUUACAUAACCUUAAAGUGCAAAGUCAUAAUACCAAAAAAAUAUCAAAAGAGCUUGCAGACUAAUGUAUCAUAACCAAAAGAACCAUCUUAGUCUAGCACCCUGUGUGAACCAUAAUACCAACAAAAGAUAAAGACACACAAUAACCAACUUAGUCUGACCUUUCUAAGGUACCAAAACAAACAACACAAAAGACCUUUCUAAGGUUCCAUAACAAACAACACAAAAGACAACAAAUCAAACUUUUUCCUUCAUUUUGGAUUUAUCCUUAAGUUUGGUUUUCUCCUUCAUUUUGGGUUUCUCCUUUUUUCCAUCUCCCUGCUUCUUUGCCUUGCUAAGCUUCUUGCCCCCUGCCACCACAUUUCUAACUUCAGUUUGUCCCCCUUGUCCCUUGCAACUCCUAGAGUUGUGACCCUUGUUAUUGCAUUUGCUACAAGUAACUGUAAGGAACUUCUUGGUCAAACUUUUACCUUGAUUAUUUGGUUCUUCAGUUUGAGCUCUCUUUCUCUUCUUUUUUGGUCUCCCCACCUGCAUAAUUAAUAAAUUAUAAAACAGUAUAAACGUAUACUAACUUGUAAAUUGAAAAUUAUUUACCUGUUUAGUAUGCUUAGGAGGUGUUAGUGUUAUGGGGAAAUCUGACUUUGGCCACAUACUUCUUCCAUUGAUAGGUUGAACUUUGUACUUGUACAUUUCAUUCCAUGUGCUUAACCUAUAACAUGGAUGUACCCACUCCUCAAGAGGUGGGACAUUUUUUCCCAGUGCCUGCAACUACAAUUCCUGUCCCUCCAAUUAACCACAAAUUGUUCCCCCAUUGUCCCAGUAACUUGAGUCUUAUCAGCACCAUUAAAUAUGCAAGUGUAUUGAGAAGCAUCUUUCUUAACUCCAUCUAAAAGUUUUGUGGCUGGGGGGGGGAGAGGGGCNUUAUCUAUCACAUUUUGCACAAUACAAAUUCGUUUCAUUAAGUAUUCCCUAAUAUAUUCUAAACAUGUAAUUAUAGGUUUGUCUCGAGCAUCUAACAACUUUGAGAUGAAAACUUCACAUAAAUUAUUCAACAAAAUAUCUGUAUGUGCUCUUCCUGUACAAUGCAACAAAAUAUCUUAUAAGAAUCUGUCAAAGUGUAAAUCUUCCUUGAAUCUGUCAAAGUGUCUAACUGUUGUUGCUGUUGCACAUUCCCAUAAAUGAUCUCUGUGCUCCUUCCCCCUCCAUUGUAGCUUCAUGUUUUCGUGAAUAUGUCUUAAACAGAACCUGUGUUCAGCGCUAGGUAAUAGGUUGGCAAUGGCAGAUAAAAUCCCCUAAUUAACAAGUAACAAAAAUGUUAUUUUCUAAAUGUAGUAGACAAAAUUACAAAGAUGUCAUGAACAAGUAUCAUAAGAAGAUUAACCUUUUGCCUGUCAGAAAUAAAUGUGAAGUUUGAAUUUGUAGAGAGCUCCAAAUCUUCACCUAGACACUCUAGAAACCAACUCCAUGAGCUUUUGUUCUCGGCUUCAACUAUGGCAUAUGCUAGUGGGUAGAUCCGAUUAUUGGAAUCAAGACCCACAACAGUGAGAACCUAUCCAGUGUAAGGUCCCUUCAUGAAAGCCCCAUCGAAACCUAAAAAAUCUCUUAAACCUGCCUUAAAACCCAGUUUUAAUGCACCUAAACAGACAUAAAUUCUCUUAAACAUCCUAGUUUCCAAGUCUGCAUUUGGUUCACUGUAUACAUCAAUCUUCACAAUUGUUCCUGGGUUGCACUGUUGUAAUUCUAAUACGUAAUCCCUGAGAAGGCUGUAUUGCUUUUGAUAAUCUCCAUAAACAUGUUUCUGUGCAAGUUGUUUAGCCCUAAAGACCUUCAUUCUUGACAUCCCCACCUCGUAUAUCUUUUGUAACUCUACACACAAAGCUUUGACUGGGAUAGUUGGGUUUCCUUCCACUUCUUGAAGAAUGAUGGUUGUAAGAAACUUAGGCCUCAUUUGAUAGUUGCCGAUUGAGAAAGUGCUGACUGAGAAAGGUCUGUCUGGGUAAGAAAUCCUGAUUGGGUAAGAAAUCCUGUUGUUUGAUUGUACAUCUGACUGAAUGUGCUGAGUGAUGAAAAAUGACCAUUUUACCCUGCUGUUAUAUAUAUAUAUUGAUGGAUUAAAUUGCUGAAUAAUUAUAAAAACAUACAUAUUGUCAUACAAAAUGUAAAUUACACACAAAUAAAAAAUGUCAUACAAAAUGUAAAUUAAACAUAAAUCAUUUAAUAUCCAAAUAAAAACAUAAUGAAAUUUAAAAUAACAUAAUAAUUUAAUGUAAAGUAGGUGAAAGUAGUCGAUUUGCAAUCUGAUCACGCAAAACACGCAUAUAUUCAACGGCUUCUGGACCCCAUUCUAUGCCUUGUAUGUUUUCUCUAUCAAUUCCCCCACCUUGGACGUCAGGAGUAACCAUAGUGUCCUCCUCAAAAUUUCUAAACAAGUCAUCUUCUAUAUUGUAUUUCCUUAUAAAAUUAUGGACCGCGACACAAGCAAUGACUAUGUCUCUUUGCACUGUAAAAGGAUAAGGAGCCAUUUGUUUUAAGAUUGGGAAUCUCGCCUUCAAUACACCAUAAGCACGCUCAAUAACAUUUCUAAGUUGUGCAUGAGCAUGAUUGAACCUUUCUUCUCUAGUUAAAGGUCUGCCUCUUCGAAAAUCGGCUAACCAAUACCUAGUAUUGCGGUAUGGAGCCAUAAACCCACGAGUGUUUGUAUAUGCGGCAUCACAAAGGUAAUAUUUAUCUGCAAACGAAUGUGACAUAUUAUAUAAUGACACAUAUUAUAUAAAGAAGAUAGAUAAUAAAAAUUAUAUAAAGAUUACAAACCUGGUGGAGGAAAUGGAAAUCCAGAAGUCGAAUUGAAUGCAACUUCUUUCAAAACUCUUGAAUCAUGUGCUAUACCCUCCCAUCCAGCCCAAACAAAGGUGAAUAUCAUAUCAAAAUCACAAAUUCCUAUUACAUUUUGAAAACAUUCUCCUUUUCCUCUUCCUCAAUAACGAGUUUGUUGAUCAACAGGUACAACCGCACGUACAAGAGUUCCAUCUAAUGCACCAAUUGCUCCGGAAAAAAUAUUUUUUAACCGUCUAUGUCGUUCUGAGUUAUGUCUUGUUGGGUUAGGAGUUGUUGGUACUAUAAUUUCUUUUGCAAAACACAUCAUUGCUGUUAGGACCUCGUGAAAACAUUGAUGAAUCGUUUGUGUGGAGUGAUGAAAUCUUCCCUUAACCGCGCGAAAACGUUCAUUAUGUCCUAUAACAUGUAAGAAGAUAGCCAUCUUCUCUUCAAUGCUUAUUGUCCUACUAGCUUGCAACCAAUUUUUUUGGGUAAAAUGGUUGCAUAGUAAUGCAAAUGCCUCUUGUGUAAGACGCAUCAUAUCGAAACAUUGUGUAGGGUCUCCGUAUAUCAAAUCUUAUGUAUACGCAUACCCGCUUGAAUCGUUAUCUCUAAUUCUAAGAAUUCUGAUUAGUCUGCGCCGGUUUGACCUCAACCAAUAAAACACAAGUAAAAGAAAAGCUACAACUUCACCAUCAGAAACCAUACUUGAUCUAUUACAAACAAUUAGGUAAUAUGUUAAAGUAAAAAAAAAAUCAUGCACCAAAAAAAUUAGUAAACAUCAUUAAAAGUAACAAAAGUCGUAUAACAAACGUUGUAUAACAAAAUACUAGUAAACAUCAUCCAAAAAAGUCAUCAAACUAUAUAACAGUAAACCAAAAAGUCAUCAAACAUAGGAUCCAAAAAACUAGUAAACAUCAUCCAAAAAAAGUCAUCAAACAUAGGAUCCAAAAAACUAGUAAACAUCAUAAAAAAAACUAGUAUCCAAACUUUUCUACCCGCACCUAUCAAAGGUAACUAUACUUCCUACCCGCACCCAUCACCCACGACUCACAACUACUAUGCGAAAGUCGUAACCAAACUUUUCGAACAUCAGCACUUUCACCAAAUAGCAAAAGAGCGGUCUUGUGUCUUUCAUCUUCUUCUCCCCAUUCCAUUUUGUUCAAUUUCUCCAUACACGCAUCAACAUCCUUAUCCAUUUCACUUUUUUCAAUUCUUUCAUUUUUUUUCCACUAAUAACCUUACAAUCUUGACAAUCUCCUCUUCAACUUCUAAUGCCCUUGCAUCUCUUUUUUUUCCACCAACUCUUUUGUUUCCACCAACUUCCUUAUUUUUGAACGCCCCGAAGAUUCUUCACUUGCACCUACGUGUUGUGUUGAGGUUUCCAUUAGAACAUCAUCAUCAAAAUCAUGGGGACUAAACUCUUCUACAGGACAAGGGAGUGUAGAAGAUGGCCCCCAACUUUGAGAUCCGGUUGAUGUCAACCCUUCAAAUAGUUGGGUGCAAAGAUCAGGGAACAAUAGGGGUUUAGUUUUCAAUGACAACACGAACUUGUUCAACUGUUUACAAUUUUUAUAAAUAUUAGUAUAUGUUAUAAAAAUAAUCAUAAUAGUAUUGAUUAAAAAAAUAAAUUUAAUCAAAUAGUAUAUGUUAUAAAAAUAAUCAUAAUAGUAUUGAUUAAAAAAAUAUUACCUUCCCCUCUUCUUUCCAUUGUUCAUCGGUCAAAUUAAAUUUAUUUUUUAUAGGAUCAUAUAUAUUGCCGGUUUUGUUUUUGAGUUUCACCCAAGCAACAUACUUUGAUUUGUAGUAGUCAAAGUGGUUUCUCAUUUGCUUCUGAUCAACCUCUUUACCGUGUUCGUUUAUCAAUUUUUCGCGUAUUGUCUUCCAUGAACUUGCCUUAAGCCCAGAACCCUCACGACCAUUAGUGGUUAGUUCAUGGAUACAUGCAUCAAGAAAAGUUUUGUCCUCACUCUCGUUCCAAACCAACAUCCUAAAACAUUAAUAUUUAAAGUAAUUUAUCAUAGUUUUUAUCAAGUUAAAGAACAAUUUUAAACAUAAAGCAAUUUUCAACCAAGGAAGUUAACAUCAUCCUAAAUUAUGAUUUGAUAACUUAUACACAAACAAUUUCAGAUGUCACAAAACAUCAAUAUUCAAGCUAACAAUUUCACAAAAGAUAACAAGCUAACAAUUAAGGUCAACAAUAUCAAAGCUAUAAAAUUAGAAAGAAAAAAAAAACAGCCCAAUUUUUGAUUUUAUAGCUUAUACUUUUGAUACUAAUACAAGCUCAAUAAUUGGAAGACAUGUGAUGUUGCAUGCAUUCCCCCUCUCGCCCACUCUUCAAGGAACAAUUGGAUUAUUAAAAAAGUUAGGUUACCAUUAAUCUUAUAAUAAUUAUUUAUUAUUAAUUUUACUUUUGUACUUUACACAUAAAAACACAACNAAAACCAAAAAAAUAAAAAAAAAAAAAAAAAAAAAAAAACAGCCCAAUUUUUGAUUUACAAACCUACUUGUAUUUUCCAAUUCACAUUCAAUUUCAAUUCACAAGCUAUAAAAUCAAAAUUCAAAAAAAAAACCUUCCAAUUCACUUUCAAUUUCAAUUCAUAAGCUAUAAAAUAUGAACCGGAGAAAAAAACUUCCAAUGUGAAUUGGAGAAAAAAACUUCAAAUUCAGAAAAAAAAACAAAAAAACAAAAACAAAAAACAACUACCAAUUCACAUUCUAUUUUAGAAUUCAUAACAUUAGAAAAAAAAACCUUCAAUUUUCAGUUCUUAUACACAAAGAACUACAAAACAAAACAUAAACAAACUUCCAAUUCACAUAUAAUUUCGAAAUUCAUAUAUUAGAACAAACAAUUUCAGAUUUCAGUUCUUGUACACAAAGAACUACAAAAAAGAACAAAAAAAGCUUAUCAUAUGAACAUACAGGUUGAGAAUUCAUAAUAUUCUAACAUAUACUAAUUUGAUUUCAUAAAGAACUACAAAUUUCAUACCAUCAAAGCAUAAAUGGUAUCUGAUUUUGAAAAUUAUUAACAGAAAAAUUAUCUAACCUGUGUGAUGGAUCGAGAAGGCGUCACUGAUGGCGGUGGCGGAGGUCCGACGAGAUGGCACAGGUCCGACUGGUCGGACUGUUUGGCGUUCAAUGUUGUGGAGUUCUUCCUAGCGGCUGCUGUGCUUUUAGGUCACUAGAAGGGAAGCGAAUGGGGAAAGAAAUAAUAACGACGCAGGGGCAAGAUAAGGGCAAGAUUGUCUAAUUUCCAGUCAGCAACUGUUUAAAAACUGAUCCAGAAAGCGAUUUGGGUCAGCAGAUCUUACCGAGAAAGCUCAAAUCAAACACCAAAGGUCUGACCGAGUCAGCCCAAUUUGCUGACUCGACCCAGUCAGACAUUUAUCAAACACUCCCUUAGAAGUGCACUCUUUAAUAGACCUUGACUGCACACAUCUAUGCUCAUGAACCAAAGUUUUCACCAUCCAAUCGCUUUCUUCAUCAGAUCUAGAAAUUAAUACCACCCAAGGGCAUGUUGCUUUUUGUGAGCUGACUGUUUUAUCCUUGCAUUUGAUUCUACUUUUUGUCCAUGGCCCACCUGUCAUUUUCGGGACCACACCCCUGCAUUUUGCCCUAAUUCUUUUUUUUUUAUCAUUUUUUGAAAAGUAAAUGUUUCUCCUAGUUCGAAUUGAAUGCAUUUUAAUGUAGUCCUUCACUUCUGAUGAGGACUUAAAUAUUUGACCCAGAUGGAAUGCAGUUUCAUGUACUACUCCUGAUGAACAUGUGGUUGGUUUGUUUAACCUUCUCAUUAAUUUCUUCCUCUCAUCUUCUUCUACACCAGUUGAUUCAAAUAAUUGUGUAUCUAUCACCUCCAAAUCCUCAUCAACUGUGACAUCAGGUGCAUUGAAUGAUUGGUGGUUAUCUAGAUUUGGAAAAGAAUAAACACCACUGUGGAAGUCUUUCAUAUUCACUUCGACAUCCUCCACCAUAUUAAGUUCAUCCACUAAAAAGUCACUAUCGUCGCUUAUACUUCCAUCGGUACUAGUCUCAUCACUAAUAACAUCUCCAAUUUCUUCAUUUUCCCCCAUCUGUUGGUAAUCAUUAUGAUCCAUAUAAAAGAAAGGAUCAAAGUCUUCUGAAGGGACAACAUCUUGGGCUUUGUUAAGCUCCUCACUUGCAGGAUGAACUCGAACAUCUUUCACUACAUCUCUAUCAAAAUGUCCAAAAGGUACAACAGACCUAGAAAAGUCAUAGUUCUCAUUCAAGUCCAUUUUUCUACUACAUGAUCCUACCUUUGUACUUGUAAACUUUUUUCGAUUGAGUUCCGGAGAAAUAGGCUCAUUGAUUUCUUCCGAUACGACCUUAUUUGGAGAUAUAAAGUAUGCAUGGAGUCUAGUAGUUCCAUGUUCAGUAUACACCAUAAUCUCUUUAUGAUUAGCAACAUGCUUACUUAACAAAAGUACGUCUGAGUUGUUACCUAAAGGAAGUAACCCAUAAUCGAUUUCAAUCUCAGGAAUCAAGAAGUGGUAGUAGAUAGGCUCACCGUUGAUAUAACCUAUCUCCUUCAUCAUAUCGUCUAACUCAUGUACGGAAAACACGUCCAUGUCUACGUAGUCAACAUAGUCAAUACUCCCACCAACGUAACGUCUUCCUGGGUAUUUUGUGAACAUACCCCCAUGGUGAAUCUUGAAUGUGCAAAAACUACUUAACUCAACUGAAAAACAAAUAAAUAAUGAUAUGAGGAAAGAAUGAAGUCUCAAAAUUGAAUGUGCAUAAAUUACUUAACAAAAUUGAAAGUUGUUAACUGAUCACUCACCAUAAGCUUUGAUCAGGUCAGGAUUUUCUGAGAAUUUUGAACGGACAUUCCACAAAGUUAGAACGAUCGCAAAAGAUGAAAAUGAAAACCCUAGUUUCCGUUUGAUGUUUUGAAGUGAUGAAGAUGAAAAACCAGAGGAGAAAAGAAAGGGAUGAUUUCUUGGGGUAAUGUAAAUGGCAGCUAGAUGUAAGGAUCAUUUAUGAAUAUGAUCAUUUCGUGUAACAAAGCAAAAGACCAAAAUACCCUCGUGUGAGGGUCACGUGAUUUAGAUAAACGGAAACAAUUAAACGGAGUAUGUCAUAAGGACUAUUCGUGCAACAAUUUGGAACCAUAGGGACCAUACUCGUCCAAAAUUCCUCAUAAGGACUAUCUUUGGUCUCUUGUGCCAACCACAGGGACCAUCUGUGUAAUUUUGUCUUUUUUUAAAGAUAGUUCAUAAUUUUUCUAUUAUAUACAUUGUAAAUGAAAUUGAGAACUUAAGUAGGUCCUAGGACCUACCUAAGCACAUGGUGGAUACGCCCCUGUUACCCACACUAACCUCAUACACUUACAACACAAAUGAACUUGAACGGUCUAAGACCAAACCAAGAUAUAAUAUGAAAUGUGUAAGUAUAGUUUAAUAGAUGAAAGUGAGGUGUUGUUUGGGCUUGAAAAGUAGGGGUGAGCAUGGUGCGAUUUUUUGAGAAAACCGAACCGCAAACCGCAAGAUGCGGUUUCUAUAGGGUAAAACCGAUAGGUGUGGUUUUUGUUUCGGCGUGGUUUUACAUGCAUUUUCGGUGUCAUUCGAUGCGGUUUCGGUUUUUAACUGAAAAUAUGUGUUGGUGUGAUUUUUCAUACAUGUGUUGAUCUACCAAAGAAGUAAUAACCCCUAAAGAAGCUAGAGCAAGGCCUAAUUGAAAAUGAAGCCAAUUAUUAAUUGUGUCAUAAAGACCCUCAUGCCCACGUCUCAAUCGCCCUCUUGGAGGGAUAUGUGCAUCUAAAAGAUCUUUCAUACUGUGCCCAAUCCCAAAAUUAGUUCUAUACAUAUGCCCAACAAUAAGAAAAAGAAAUGCAAUAGCUAAAUAAUGAUGAGUCAUAUCAGCAUGUCCAAACCCGACUUUUCAGUUAACUUUCCUUUAUUUCCGGUACAGAUUCUCAUUUAAAUGUAUUUAACAUGCUUGUGAAAUAGUUAUAUGUUAUUCUUAUCAAAAUAUAGACUUCUUUAUGAUAUUACGAUUUUGAGAUUUGAAUUAUAUGUUUGAUGCAACAAGGGAUUUGGUUUUAUAAUCUCAAAUUCCAUUACUUAAUCAUUAUUGUUUAUACAGAUAGAGGCGGCUUUUGAUUCGAAUUGCAUUUUGCUUGUGAUAAGCAAAAGGAAAAUUGUUAAUGGUACGCACUUUGAUACAAAUGUCAAAUUUUAUAAAAAUAUAGCAAAACAUAAGGCAUGCACAGUGGCAAAAAGAACUGAAGAGGUCGAAGUUGAACAAAAUAUACUUUUAUUAAUAAGUAUUAUAAUAUAUUAAAUAUUGUCAGGUUUUUAUGGUGCUGUUUGGCAUUGUCCAAACCGCACCACACCGAAAAAUUACCAAUUAAGGUUGGAUUGGAAUGCAUAAUUAUCAAUUUAUCCUUAAUAAGUCAUAAAUCAACAAAAAUGGCCCAACAAUUUUCUUAAUCUUAAUUGUUGCCUUUGGAUUAGAAAUCAUCAACGAUCAAGAUUGGUUCUCACAAUUCUCUAAUCUCUACUUUUAUGUUGUUUUCAUUUGAACUCAACCCAAAAAUCUCACCAGUAAUCACCACACGAACAAAUCCCGUUCUUGAAAUGAUGAAACCUAUUUGUAUCCCGAAGAAUAAUUUCCCGCUCAACAAUCUUGGAAAUAAGCUUAGCAGCAAUAUGACAAUCCUCACAAACACGUAGAUUUUUAGUAAUCCGUAUAGGCGUAAAAGCUUUAGUAUUUAUAAUCACAAACACAAUAGCAAGCUUCUCACUAUGAACAGCAAGAUGAUUUCCUUUAUCUUCAUCUUCUAUAUCAUGAAGUGCAGAAUCCACUUCAGGAACAUACCCAAAAUCCCUCAUCUUCCCCACAAGUACUUCCAACUCUUGAUAAAUCUGUUUAGAUUGUGGAUGGGAUUGAUCUCCAGCAAGAAACGAAUGAACUUGAUUAUUAAGCUCAACAUUACUAACACCGGGCUCUUUUUUCACUCCUUUUGAUUUCAUUAUUGAACGAAUAUUUGUCACAUCUUUAAAUCUACCUGCUUUUGCGUAUAUAUUUGAUAAUAAAACAUAAUACCCUGCUUGUUCAGGGACCAAUUCAAAGAGAUGAUCUGCUGCUACAAGACCAAUUUCCAUGUUGGAAUGAACUUUACAAGCACUUAACAAAGCACCCCAGAUUCUAUCGUUUGGUUUUGUUUUCAUUUUCUUUAUAAAAUCAUAAGCUUCAUUGAUUCUUCCUGAUCUUCCUAGCAAAUCAACCAUGCACGCCAAGUGUUCGAGUCUUGGAAUGAUGUUAUACUCUUCGGUCAUCAAUUUGAAGAAAUGUUUUCCUUGGUUUAGUAAUCCGGCAUGGCUGCAGGCUGAUAGAACUGGAACGAAGGAAAUGGAAUCAGGGGCGAUUCCGGAAUUUUGCAUAUUUGAAAAGACUGUGAUAGCAGUUUCACCAUCUCCAGUCAUGCCAUAAGCAGAGACCAUGGAAGUCCAGGAGACGACAUCUCUUGUUGGCAUUUCAUCGAACACCUUGCGUGCUUCGUUUAAAGACCCACAUUUAGCAUACAUGUCAAUCAAGGCGUUCUCUACUGUUAGAUUAGGAAGAAGCCUUUUUGUUUUUACAUAUGAAUGAAUCUUUCUUCCUAGUAAUAAAGCUGAAAGAUCUCCACAAGCGGGUAGGAUGCUAGCAACUGUGAUUGAAUCCGGGUCGAUUCCGUAAUUCUCCAUUUGUUGAUAAAGAUUAACUGCAUCUUUAGGCAUCGAGUUGUUGACGUACACAGCUAUCAUGACAUUCCAAGAAAUUAAACUCUCUCGAGCGUGAUUCAUGAACAUUUCUUUCAUAAACAUCACGUUGGUAGAUGAAGUAGAAGUUGUUAAAGCAGGGGAAAGGCUGGCCAUGGUGCCUGCGUUGGGUUUUGAGGUAGAACAUUGCAUCAUUGUCUUACAAAUCUCCAAUGCAUCUUCAAACAUCCGGUUUUGGGCGUAGGCAGCAACCAUAGCAUUCCAGGAGACGAUAUCUCUACUAGGCAUUUCAUCAAACACCUGGCGUCCUUCCAGUAACCGGUUACAUUUUCCAUACAUUGUAAUCAAUCCAUUCCCUACAUAAAGAUUUGAAUGCAGACCCUUCUUGAGAACAGCAACAUGGGUUUGUAAUCCGACCCACAAAUUCUCAGACACGGAACAUGCUUUUAGAACUUGAGGAACUGUAAAAUGAUCAGGGUUAAUGUUGAACUUGAACAUGUUUCUGUACAUACGAAGUGCUUUUUCGUAGAAUUCAUUGUUUACGUAGCUUCUAAUCAUCACAUUGAAGAAGACUACAUCUUUUUGAGGAAAUUCAUCAAACAGUUGGCGGGUAACUGCGAUUUGGCGACAUUCAGAAUAAGCUUUCAUUAAUUUCAGAGCAAUAUGCGAUGCUGAGACGAGGUUUCCAUCAAUAAUUAACCUACAAUGUAUCUUUUUCAAUUGUUUGAUAUCUGGGCACUUGUCCAAGAUUUUGAUACACAAGUCUUCUGUGAUUAACAUGAUUGUUAAGGCGAGAUUUGAAUGAAUUUGAACUUAUAUUCCUUUCGCCAUGUUGUACCUGAGGGGCAAUCAAAUAGAAUGGACGAAGAUAACGAAGGUUUACUUGGUGGUGUUCACUUAAAAACAAGAAAUAUGAAGUUCUAAACGCUAUUUCUUGUUAAACAGAAAAUAUUUUGUCCAAUCUAAAAAUCCAAUUUUUGAGUAAGUUCAAGCUUAAGCUCAAAAAUAGUAAGCAAAACAUGUUUAAAAAAUAAAAGUUCGUUUGAAACUCUUUGGAUAGCUCGAGUAUAACAAUCAUCAUAAUUAUAGUCAAUAAAUCAGGCUCAAACAACCAAACUUGAUGUCCAGCCCUUGAUCAUCCAAUUGCCAACUGAAAUCAACUUAGUUUCCGGUUUUAGAAUCGCCCUAACAUUACAUAAGCACCAACUAGUUCCAAAAGUAGUUUUUAAUUCAAUGUCUCCCAUACCCGUGACUUCAAGGGUUUCCAUGUUACCCAACCUUACCAACUUAAGAUAAGUUCUUUACUUCAAUUACUAUAACAGAUCGAUGAGUCAUGUUCUAAUGACCUCUCGUCAUAUGAUGCAAUGCUUAGACUCGAGUCUUUUAAAGUCAAAUUCUAUAAUGAAAUAUACAUUCCUUCAAGUUUCUAAUGUGAUAUAAUCACAUUCUAGCAUGUAUCACUUCUAGCUACAAGCUUCUUACUUUAACAACAAUCACAAUACUUCUAUUGAUCGCUUUGAUUAUCUUUCAGUUCAAUCUUCUGGCUUAAGUCAGAUGCUACAUCGAUCUUGGUUCUCUGAACCACGUACAAUACUUAUCCUAGCUGUAAUCGAUUUGAUAUGACCACUAGGGUCGGAAUAACAAUCAUCUUCUUAGUCAUUACCGAAAUUAUGGUAAUGACACAUGAACAAAACAGAAUCAAUUACUAGCGUCUUGGUAACUCGUGACUUUCCCUGAUCCAAGUGCGAGUCGUGUGCUUCCAGUAGUAUAUGCCUCUACUACCUUUCACACCUACUCAUACUUGUCCCAAGUAUUGUCUUUCAGUUCUCCAAGUCACCAUAAAAGAAUUUCACAUAGUCAUUUAACACAUCGAAUAACAAAACUAAGGUUUAUAUUAUUUCUUGAAACGAUUACAUAGAUAUUCAAGUUCACCUUAUACCAUGCCUUUUAUAUUAGGCUACACCACAUGAUACUAUCUAUAUGGCUACUUUAUAUCUCGAUCUUCAGAUAUAUAUAGAUCCCUACUCCUAAUCCCUUGUAUCGUCACCUGCUUCAUCCAGGUUAGACUUCGAGAAUCUUCCUUUCUUAUCGAAUCUUGAGGAUCCCUCAAGCUUCUUCUUUUCUCAUGCCUUGUCUUAUUCCAGACCCUUUUUCCUAAAUUAGGUUUCCAUAUUCUUGGUUGCUCUAACGGUUGUCUUCAAAGUAGUUGCCAUUUUUACCAUUGCGCCAAAUUAUGCUGGCAAUCCGUUAGCAAAACUAUCUAUCUUGGAGAGUUCAGUAGCACCAAGUAGGGGAAUAACUUCAUCUGCUCGGUGAAUACGGUGACAUACUCAUCAACACUCAUCUUCCUUUUCUUCAAGUUCGAAACUCGUUGUUUAGGUCUAUCAGAUCUAUCUCUGAGCAGUAUUGCAUUUUCAACUGCUCCAUGAAUGCUUCCCACCUCAGGGCUUCUCCCCCAUGGCUUUGUAUCUGCCAAUAACUUCCACCAACUUAAAACUCUGGUCUUUAGUUGUCUGACUGUAAAGACGGUUUUCUGCUUGUUGCUGCAAUUGCAACUUUCAAAUGUCAUCUCUAUCUCGGAGAUCCAAUCCAUGAUCUCUACUGGCUUCGGGCUUCCAGAAAGACUUGGUGGUUUGGCACCUAAGAAGUUCUUAUACAUACGUUCAUCCUUAUCAAUCGCUUUUUUCGGGUCGUUCCUCCUUGCCACUCGGGGUUCAGCUUGACUCACUGUACGACUGUAAUUUCCCUCCUCCGACAAUUCUUCAUUCAGUUCGGGUUGCACGAUAGGCACAAUAGGUUCAUCCCUAUUAUCAAGAAACAUUUUUCUCAUCUCCUCCCUUUGUUCGGCCAUCAUAGCCCAAAUCAUUGCUUAGACUCUUGCCAUCGUGAUUGGCUCGGGUGCAGCUACUACCUCUGGUGCACAUUUAAUCACUCGUGGUUCAGGCUGUUAGUUUUCAUUAGCAUUUUCUAAUAUGUUGCGAGUUCUCACCAUUUCGAUCUAUACACUCUAGAGAUGUUCAGUGUACAGUGACGAGAAUUAAGAUAUGGAAAGCUUUAUUUACGACAGCCAUAUAAAUCUUCUUAUCACUCGUAAAAGUUAUAUACUAGUUCUAAUACCGUAAUUAAAUGUUUGGAAAUUUUGAGCAAAUGACGGUUCAUCAACAAUAGAGCGAAUCUCAUUUAGGAAUUCGUUGAUAGGUCGAUUUCCUUUAGGAUUUUUAGCAAGUUUGGAUUUUAAAGAGAUGAUUCUUGAGCAGGAGGUGCUGGCAUAGCUUGUGUUGAGAUGCUUUCAUGCUUCUUUUGUGGUAAAUACAGAGGUAAUGAUAGGUUGAAUGAAUUGCAUCUGAGCAUGAACCAAGAAUUGCAUCGAAUACUACAUGAUCUUGGCGAUAGCAAGUCGUGUAUUCAUGAUUAGGUUUGGAUUUGUCUUUGUCGAUAAUGAAUUUUGUGGUAGGAUCAGUCACCCAUGUGAUGUAAUCUUCCAGACCUAGUCCAAUAAAUGUGGACUGCACUUGUCGCCUCCAUACAUGGAAGUUGUUGGUGAGUAAUUUGGUAGGAAAGUGACUUGAGGCGGUGAUUUGUAUUUGGGAUGAUUGUGUCAUGGUGAUGUUGAUGAAAAGGAUUAGAGGAGAAAGGCAAGAUGAUCGAUUGACUCUUUAGAGUGUGUGUGCUCUGAUACGAUAUGAGAUUUGAGAAUCAAUGGGCUCGAAUGAAUAAUUUCAUUUACAAAGAUCGAUACAUAUAUAGAUGGUAACGAGAGUUAAAGAGCUAUACAUGGAAUUUACUAAGAAUAGAUUGCAAUUACAUACAAAUAGAAGAGAUUAUUGUAGAUUAGUCAUGAAGAUGUGUACGAUGUUAUAGUUAGAUUGCUUAUUUGCAAUCCAUGUUAGCUAAGUAUGUCAUGUUGAAUACAAAUUGUAUUAAAACAUUAAAGUUCCAACCAUUAUAUGUUGAAGAAGAAGCAAAUACGCCUUAGUCACACCCAUUCUAAAUGAUAUGGAUGUUAUGGUUGUCGUUUCUAUGCAACCAAAUCGUGAUUCCAAGUUGCAGUUGUCUUACCAAUAUAUCAUGUUAGGAAAAGAUGACAUAGCAUGAAAUAUUGUAUGUUACAACAAAAAGAUAUAUCUUAUAGAUGUCUUGCACAUGGGUUAUUCCUUUUUAAGCACUUAUAUAAAAAUAAUAUCACGUAUGUAUGAUAUCUAUUUUGAGAGAUUUUUAGCAAGCAACUCUUUGUCUAUUAUUGUUAUUGGAUAGAAAAAGUAUCAUCUUCGUUGGGAAGAUUUUACUAGGAUUAGAUUCAUAAUAGUUUGUCAAAGAUUUUACUAUUAUGUAUUUAUAAACCCAUGAAGUUUUCUAUUAAAUAAAUAAAUAAAUAACCAUUCACCAUUUAUAUCUUUUUGGAAUAGAGUUUGUUAAAUUCUAAUAUAAAUAAAAAGAGUAUUUAUUUAGAUUCACACAUUACAAAAUUACAAACUCCAAGCAUAAAUCCGAAACUUAUUUUUAAACUUCUUCAUUUAUAUUACAAGUUUUAUUCUUUUUUCCCAACCCACUUGGGGUUUCGAAACCCUAAAAAAGUUCUAUCCAUGGAAGUUCAUAUUUAUUUCUUAUCUUAAUGAAUUUAAGGUCUAAAUCAAUAAAUGGCAAUGUAGAAUUAACCGCAUAUAUUAAGUUAUUUUUGGAAGCUUUCCAACACAACACAGAAAGGAAAUGAUGAGAAUUUAUGGUACCAAAUAACAAAAUAAUCCCGGUUCCUAUAAAAAUUUAUUAAAGCUCUACUCAUGAUUUCAUAAUCUCCUCUAAUAUGAGGGUUACGUUAUUGUAAUAAUAACUAUGAUAAUGUAAAAGCCAUAACAUAAAUCGUCUUAAUUUAAGAAAUAAUAUAAAUCCCAAGAUAUUGUUUUUAAAAUAAAAAGGAAAAAAGUGGGAGUCCAUUAGAAGGAGCCAAGCUGAUUAUUUGAGCCAAGAGAGCACCGAUUUGUUAUCCUUCCACUGUUCGAAGCGAGAGGUUAUCGCAGCUCUGUGAAGCCAGCCUAACGCAUUGCCCUCUGCUCUAGGAACCAAGAAGCCCAAGCCUUCGCUCAAGCCACUUGAUCCAACUCCGAACUUGGAACGGGCAAACCAGAUUUUGCAACAGCUUUGACCCAACCAAACAAGGCUCGAUCUCAGUCCAUCCCACUUUAGAGCCCUCACUUGAGUCACAAGCUCGCGUUACCAAGCUCGGCGAUAAACGAAGUCCAUUUGAUGUAUAAAUAAUCGGAAAAACUUUCUCCUCCAAGCGAUGUGGGAUGCGAAACGAAAUAUUUUCAUCUUCAUUCUCUCUUUAUCUCUGUCAAAUACUGUGAUUACUGAUUACUGACUACUUAAACACCCAUGCAACGGAUUUCAAGUAUUUUUUUCAAUCCAUGGAUUUAGAACUGUAAACUGAAAAAAGAGAUUGUGGAAUAGUUUUGGAAACUGGAAUUUGUUUACAAGUUUUUCGUGAGGUGUAAGUGAUAAGAUAUGAUAUUUGAGUAAUUGGAAUCAUUCUCUCGAAGAUUCAAGUAUCAAGUAUGAAACUUAGACAAUAUAUAUACCUGUUUUCUUCUCUUUUUUCUGUCUACGAACCGAAUCCAACAUGAUUUCUCUACAAAAUCCGUGUCUUAAUCCUAAUUAACACUCACUAACCGGUUACCCCUCCAGAUGUUGCAGAAAUUUUCUUGAAUUAUCUCUUUUGUUUUUCACAAUUCAAUGUCGGUUGCUCCCUUUCUCUCUGAUUCAAGUAUUCAACCACCGCCAAAGACUUGAGAAAGUGGAGGAGUUUAUCAAUUAAAUGAGUUUAUAUGCUUUCCAACUUUUCGUAAAUUGCAAGUUACUCCCCGUACCUUUCGAAAAUCUUCCUUUAACAAUUGUGGAAAGUUGUUGAAAUUUGAAAAUAAAAUAAAAAUUAUAGUCAAGGGGAUCGUUUUAAAGGUUUCCAGGAGAUACUUUUGUUGAUAUAUUUUUGAAUAAAAAGUUAAUUAUAUAAUAGAUUUUUACCAAAUAAUGUGGAUAGCUAAAAAUGUGAUUAUGGUUUAAAAAAGAAAUCUAAUAAAUAAAGAUUAAAUAAAGAAGUUAUGUUUUAAUAUAACUAAAUUAAUGAUGGUAUUGUGUUUGAUGAAAGGACUAAAACUGAACAAAGAAAAAAUAUUUGUGUUUCACUCACAGAUACUAGCAAUUGAUGGGUCUUAAAUGAAAAGGAGUUGGAUAAGGAAUAAAAACCUUGUAGACGUUCACACUUUUCUCUUUUGAUCAAAAUCUUAUUUAUAAAUUUCAAAAUUUGAUUCAAACCUGUUGUAUAAUUUUAAAUAAUUAAACUCAUAAUUAAAAUUAUACUCUUAUCCAUAAGUUAAUAGAUAUCUUGACUCAUUUAUAGUAUUAUAGAUUACAAGAUUGUUGUGCACGUCACAAAGUAUCAUCCAUAAUAUAUAACAUGAUAUUUUACUUAAUACUAAAUAUACGACAAUUCAAAAAUCAUAUUUUACUAAAUACUUACGAUAACAUUUUUUUUUAAAUGGAUGUCUAUUAUAACAAAUAUGCAUGAGACAACGUAGUCGUCAAGAUAAAUCAUAAACAAAAUAAAUGUCUACUGUAGAAAACAUAUGUUUAACAUAUAUCAAUUGCACUUAGAAAAUAUUUACACUCUCAUAGUAUGCGUUCGAUAGGGAGAAAGCAUCAUAAUCAAUUGGUGAUUUUUUUGGUUGACGUGGUUAUGUGUUUGAUUAGAGAAGAAAGCAAAUAGUAUGAUGUCGAUUGAGGAUUUCUUGAGUUACAAAUAGGGUUAAUGUCAUAAAAAUUCUCAAGCUUUCAGGGUUUUGUCGGUUUUGCCCAAAGUUUAAUUUUAUGUCCGUUUUUACCCUAACAUUUUCCAAAAAAUGUUCGUUUUUACCCUUUUACCGGUGAUAACAGGUUACCAUUAUAUUAGUUUCGCAAAAAAACCCUUAAGUUUAUAGUUUUUUACGUUUUUACCUGUAAGUUUAUAUUUCUUUUACACUUUUACCCUUUGUAUUUUUUUUUUUCAUAUUAUAUGUAUUCAUAAAGAAAAAAUAUAUUUAUAUACGAAAUUUUUUUAAUUAAAUAUUGUAUUUACAUUUUUAUAAUGUUAUUUCUUCAUAUAUAUAUAUAUAUNNUAUAUAUAUAUCAAUAAAAAACAUAAUGAAUCAUAAACAUGUUUAUAUAAGUAUAUACAUAUAUUUUUAGAAGUGUAAAUAUGUAUUUUGAUAUAUGUUUUUUUUUAAGUAUAAAUAUAUUUUUAGAAGUAUAUAUACAUAUUUAUAUAUAAAAAUGUAAAAAUAUGUAUUUAUACUUUUAAAAACUAUAUCUAUAAAACACGUAUUCAUAAUCUUGUAAAAAAAUGUGUGUUAGGAUCUUUUGAUCGCAUUCCGAUCUUAUGAUCACAAUCUUGUAAAAUACAAAAAUAAUCGUAUGUAAGAUUUCAAUUUUGACAAUCUUUAUUUGAAGGAAUAUUAAAAUCAUAAAAUUAUGUUAAUGUGUAACUUGGAACUUGGUGACCCGACCCAAAACAAAGUCAAGAAACCCGACAUCAAAUAUCGAUGGGAUAAAUGUUUGGAAUAAGCUUAGGGUCGAUAGGCCCUAAGUCGUUGGUAAUAGAAGAAUUUUUCAGUUUCCGGCUCCCUACCUAUGAAGUAUGUCAUAUCGACCAAAUCAUAUUAAAUCUAUGUGUCAUUUUAUUGUUGCUUUUUUGCAUAACAAAUUGAAUACUUAAUCUCACAAAAUCAAAAACCUAACUUGAAUAUGAUCAUUGUCGUUGAUACAAUAAAAAUAUAAACCAACAAAACCUUGGAAUUCGGAUUGAAUCCACAUGGAGUUCGUAGUUAAAUUAUGUGUUUGAAAGAUUCAAUUAGCUAACCAAAGAUGCAAGAAAACUAAUCACUUUUGGAACAAUCAAAUUUGAAAUCCAAAGGACAAAAAUGUGCCAAUCAUAAAUUAGGAAUUUAGAAAACCAAAAGUGUAUUGCAAUCAAUUUCUAAAUUGAAUGACCAAAAAUAAUGACCAAAUCUCGCAUUAACUAAACAUUUGAAUGUAGUUAUUUAAUUUUUAUUGUAGCAUAGAUACAUAGACAUGAUCAAUAAAUCUUCUUAUUCUAAUAAAUGAAUAAGUUUAUUCUCAUGUUGACAAGUCUUCUCUAAUAAAUGAAGGUUUUUUGUCAUUUGUUACAUUCUCAUUCAAAUUGUUAAAUGUCAUUUUGUGGUUAUUUUGAAUUAAUUUUUUUCCCACAUAUCAUUUUAUGAGUUUUUCUAUUUUAUUAAAUUCCACAUAAUAUUUUAACAUAAUAGUUGUAAUAAAUGUAGUAAUAAACGGAUAUUAAUUUCACUAAUAAACUUACCUUUUAAUUUCAAAAUUCCCAAAAUUAAAGUUCAUUCGUUUCUUUUCUUUAUUUAAAUUAUGUGUUUAAAUUUAAAAGAUAAAAUACAUUUCCAUUAUAAUAAAUCAUUAUUUUUCUUAUUUUCUUAUAAAUUCAAAGUUCUCAAAUAUUUUGACAUUUAUAUUUAACAUUUUUUUUAAAUAAAUUCAUAUAAUACAUGGGUCUCGCAACUAGUGGCAUACUGUUAGAAAUCUUCAUUAAUAUUAUAUGUCAUCUAUCAUGCCACAUGUCAACCUAUUAAUUCUCCAUUUUAAAUUUUAAAAUUUAAAUUUUCCACUCUAAUUACAUUAAAUUAGAUUAUUUAUUUCAAAUUUUAAAUUUCACAUUCUAAUUACACUAAAUUAAUAACAUUAGAAUAAAAAAUAAAAUAAAAUUAAUAUAUAUUAUAAGGUGAUAUAAUUUAAUGUAUUUAUUUAAAUCAACGAUUAUAAUUUAUAUAACUAAAAAAAUAUCUCUUAAUUAAUAAUUUAUUUGAAGUAAUUGAUUAAUAAUUUUAAAUUUACUAUGUUUAUAUUAAUUUUAUAAUUAUAAUUCUCGCAGAUUAUAAACUAGUUAGUAGAAUAAAAUGACAAACUUUAGGCAUAACCCUUGAUAUGGCCGUAAAAUAGUGUUAACUCCAAAUCUAGGUGGAGCUCGGCACGAUAUAUCACAAUAAUAUUAACUUCAAACAAUUUAAAAAUAAAACUUAUGCAUAAAGUACGAGAAUAAAUUGUUGGGUUACAAAUAAAAUAUUGAAAGAGAAGAGGUUAAAAAUGGCCAACUAAAUGUGUUUGACCAUAUUUAGGGAGGAAGGAGUUGUUUCCCUCCUCCUGCCGAAACCGCUAAACCUUAGUCGGAGGGUAUCGAACCCAUCCAACCCCAAAACCACCGACCCCAUCUUCUUCAACUUUCCAACUUUGAGUUGUCUCCCCAGUGGGUUUCUCAAACCGUUAAACCCCUCUCUUUCUCUCUUGCUUUCAUCCCUUUCCUCCUCUAACCCGCUAUGACUCCUUCAUCCCUUAGUCACUCAACUUAUUUUUGUCUACUAAGAUAAGAAACUUUUCAAAAUCAUCAACUUUUAUCCAUUCAACUUAUUUUGUCAAUUUUUAGGUAAUGAUUUUAACUCAUUGCUCGCCUUUGUGCUUCUAAGAUGAAGUAUCUUGCAUAUUUUGGAGAAAGCAAAUAAGAAUAAAGUAUGUUGCUAAAUCUGGUCCCAAUAAACAAAUAUUUACUCAUAACAAUCUCACACAUAAGAAUUAUGUUAUCAUUAAAAGAUGAAUACGAAUGUUUUGUACUUAGCCUUUGCCAAGUUAUAUAACUUAAUUAAUUAAUUUAUAAGUCCAGACUUUACAAAGAAAAAUCAAGUGAAGUUAAUAAACACAAACUUAAGCAUCAUCAUUGGGUUGAUGCUCUUUUGGGUGUCUCGUCAAAGCUUGAUUAGUAAUGAUUGGAUCUCAUUCAUUAUUCACAUGUCAUCUUGAAACAAAGCUUUGUAAACAGAAUUAGAACCACCACCCCGUUCAUCUUUCUUGUCUCCUCCGCCGCCUAUCAUCGGAGUCUCACAAACCACGCUAUAACCAGCCCUCCGUUGUUUCUUCCUUUUGGAUUCUUUAUUAGAUACGGGUCUAACCUUGGUUGUUUGUAAUGGCUUCGGAGCCCAAACCCUCUGCAAAUCGGGCAUUCGGCCUGUGAAUACGAACCUUUUAGCCCUCUCUCUCCUCUCACGAGCCUCAAUUAACUUUUGUUCAUCAUCCUUUUCUGUCUCUCCUAAAUCCAAGUUGUCAAGCGGAGGAUGCGAUGGUUCGUCUUCUAAAAACAAUGAAUCGUGAAUCAUCAUCUUAUUAGCAGCAGCCAUCUCGUGACUGCUAUCCUCGCUGUUCAACAUCAUACCCUGAUCUUCGUUUUCUUCACCAAAUGGUAACAGGUCCAUUUCAUCGUAGAUCUUCUUCACCACGUCUUCCAGAUUCUGUGAAUACCUGAAAAUUGAAUUUAUCAUAAGCAAAUUAUCAAACAGUUGGUGUGCAACUGAGAAAUGGCUAGAAUUUGGAUACAAAAACUGUGGAAACUAUCAAAUAAUCAAACAAAUAAACGAAGUACCUGGUUUUUAUGGUUUUCUCGACGUACGCAUAAAGACUGAUAUCACCAUGAAAGCCUCCUUCCACAAGGUAUUGGAAGAUCUCCAAUAGCGAACAAAUCUGUUUCACAAGCUUCGUCUUCAAACUCCCCUUCAUACUCCCUGCAUAUUCGGACUGAAGUAUCUCCAUCCGGAGCAAAAUUUGUAAUUCGUAUCUUUAAGUUUAUUAAGGAAAAGAUUAGACCAAAUAAAGAUAUAUUACCAAUUUACCAAGAAUAUGUAAAAGAAAUAAAAAGAAUAAAAGGAUACUCUUUGACUAGGUAUUUUGAGGUAGAACUUGGAUCAUUAUCUUUAUGUUCCUUCAAAUCUUUGGGCUCUGUUAGUAGUAACUGUAUGAUUUCAGCAACUUGAGUAGAACAAGAUUCAUCAAGAUUUUCCAUCUUUUUCUGCUUUUGAGAUAACCAAUAAAUGGACGAGUUUACAAAACUCUCUGCCAUGAUCUUCAAGUCCACACCAUCAGAUUCAAGCCCCUGUUGAAUUCUCUUAGGCAAACUACUGAAAAAAGCUUCUGGAGUUUCUGAACAAGAUUCAAAAUCAGCAUCCCCAUGGAUUCUUGACUGUUGAGAACUAAUAGCCAUUGUAAGAGGUCCAUCGCUUUCUUGAUGGCUUGCAGAAAUAUCUUCAUUUACAUCUGUUUCUUUUUGCUGAAUUGAAUCUGGAGCCAUUUUGCAUGAUCUAUCUAGUAUGUUAUUGGAAGAUAAGCUCUUGUUUUUCACUUCUGUCAUCCAGCAUUUCAGAAACUUCAACUUCUUUGACUUUUUCAAGCCAUUGGCAAAAUAAACCUCUGUUAAGUCCACAUCUAAAAACUCAUAUGCAGCCUUGCAGAAUGCACUCCAUGUAAGGUCCCGAUGUGUGUGUUUUUUAAUCUUUCUUCUCUUUCCACCAGCUAAAUGAACAUAUUUUCCAGAUGGGGAAGUACCCUUUUGAGAAUCAAAGUCACCUUGAGAAAGUUUAUUCUCUAUCAAGAGGUUUGAUCCACCAUCUUUUUGAACAAGAGCAUUGUUAUGAUCUAAGAACAAGAGAACAGCUGAAUGAACUGUGAAGGGCUUGAGAAUCCCUGUGUGAGAAUCCCCAUUGUUAUUUGAUAUAGAUAACAAAGCCCAGUAACCCUUGCUAUAAAGAAAACUAAGUAAAAUCUGCCAUGUUGGAACCGAAUGCUUCUCAAAGAACUCAGAUUUUUCACUGGCUAAUUGUCCAAGAACCUUAUCAGCCAAAAAAAUGUCUAAACCAUCUUUCUCCUUUUUGGCAGAUUUUGCAGAUUGAACUAAAAAAUGAUCUGAAGAAAAUUCUUCAAGUUUUUCACACACAGUGUACUUGUGAACAGAUGUGAUGUGCAACUUCAUAAUUCCAUUGUUUAAAUUACCCAAAAAUGUGCUCACAGAGUUGACAACUUCAUCUUUUGAGCUAGGCUUUGAUGAUGCCUUUAGAUGCAGCACAUUAAGAUCACAGCAUUUCCACUCUAUGGGCUUACCAUGGACAUCCAAAAUCUCGAGACCUAAUUGCCCACGGAUCCUUUUAUCUAAUUUAGGAGAAUCUAGCAACUUAGAUGAGAUCCCAAUAACUGGAUAUAUCAACCCGAAAGAAACAAGCGCAGAACCUAGAACAAUGGAAUCCGCAGAGCAAAAUCCCCAACCAAAUUUCCUAAUUUCAUUUCCAAUAAUAGCAGAGUGCUUCUCGGAUUUAUUGUUUUUGCCUUCUUCUUCUUCGUGGCUAUGAAUGUCAACCCAACAGAAAUGUAUGUCCUUACUAUUAAAUGCAUCAUUAACAGCACCAAAACAAUCACGAAACCUAGCACCAUAAAUAUCUAAAUUCCUCAAGCAAUCAUUAUCGACAUCCACAGACACAAAAUCAGCUAAGGAUUUCAACGAUCUACAAACUGGCGACAACAAAAUAACCAAAUUUGAUCGGACAUCGAUGGGAUCAGAAUGAAUUUUACCUGGAAGAUUCUCAAUAUCGAACUCCCAGCCAUAGUCGCGAGCGAGCUGAAGCAAAGAGCUGGCUAUAUGUGAAGCGUUUGAAGGGGAAUACGUCAAUUUGGUAGAAGAGAUGGAAUUAAGGGUGUGGGAGAGAGAAUCUAGGGUUUGCGAAGGAGAAUUGAAGGAUACAGAAGCAGAAGAAUAACUGGGAAGUAGAUUGCGGAGCGUAGAGACGGAAUCGAGAGAGGAGAGAGAAGAGAAGAAGAGCUUGAAGGAGAAAAGAGAAGAUGAAAGAGGAGGGAAAGAUAAAAGAAUAUUGGAGGUAGCAAGAAUGGAGGUGAGGUAAUUAGGGUUAGGAAAUUGGGAUAGAAAUGGAUUGAGGUCUACGAGAAGAACUAUACGCUGUGUUUUUGAGAAAUCAAUGGCGUCCGCCAUUCAAGCUUGAUAUUUUAAGACUUUCGGGGAGAGCACAGAGAUACGGGGUUCUCGCUGUAGAAGUAGAAGAGCAGAUAUGCUUAUUGCAGAUCCAGGAUGCUAACUUGCGCCGCACCAACGUGGAGAGAGAGGAUAGAGACCGGGACAAUAUGGGCGGCAAUGUAGCAAUGGCGGGAGAAUUAUAUGAGUUUAAAAGUCAUGACCGGUUUAUACAAAUAUAAUUAAAAAAACGACGUAUCAUAAUUGUUAAAGUAAAUGAAAAAAACAAUUAAAAAAAAACAUUGUUAGACGAGAAUAUACUUAUUGAAUAACAUAUAUGUUCAAGAUGAAACUUAAUCCAUUAACCUCAUGGAAGAAUGACAUUUCAUUAUACUGAUAGGUUAAAAACUUGUUGGUUUUUGACUUUCAAUUGUUUAGAUGUAUGUUUGUGAUUCGGUUUCUUAUUUAAGUGUGACAAAACUAUAACCAUCAACUUUUCGUUAAAACGAUUAUCUUACAAAAUAAACUUCACUACACAUAUCCUACACUACACUCUUUAUUCAAUAUUGUUUUAUCCUAACAGUAAGCAAGAACUUGGAACCCUAACUAAGAGUUCUAAGAAAACAAAGAGCAUCAAAUAAUCUAAAGGGCGUAUUAUGUGAUAAUGACAUAAAACCUAACUCUCUCCAUUUAUAUAUAGCGUACAGGAAUAUAAUAUACACCUCAUUAUACAAGUUUGAACACAAGUGUGUCAUUUAAGAGCAUACAAAUGUCAUAGUACAAGUUCCAAAGCCAUUAGUGCAUUUAAUUAAAGCUCCACACGUACAAACAUCCAAGCUCCCACAUAAUAAUCCUUUAAAGCUUCAUCUCUACUUUGAUAAUAAUACCAACAGUCUGUAACAUCUUAAAAUUUAAGACUUUGUUAUUAAAUAAAUAAAGUGAAUAAAAGAGAGAUGAUGUAUAUAGUUAGAGCAUUAAGGAGUAAGCAUAUCAUUGGUUGAUAUGAAGUUUGGAAGAUUAGAAGUGAAAAUUAUAACAUCUUAAAAGUUAAAGGAUUAUUGUGACAGUCGGGUGAAACUUAGGUUUGACUAGAGAUUUGACCAGCUUAAAUAACUUGGAUUAAGUUGUGAAGAUUAUGAUGUUGAGGGGUCAUUUUGGAAGUUCAUUGAAGCUUCUAAGUUAGUUUGGAGUUAUUUUGAAAGAGGUUUUGAAAGGAGGGACCGAAAGUGGCAAGUUGAUAAAGUUCAAAAUUAGUUAAUGGGUCUUCGCUCCCAUUUGCUUAAAAAACAACGCGGUUGAGAGAAAGAGAGAGGUAAAUGGCGAUUUCUAUUAAGCAAAGGAAGAUUUAGAGUGGUCGUUGAGUAAUCAAGCUAGAAAUUGAAGAUAUAAAGCAACAUCAAGCUUAAGAGGUAUAAUUUCUUAUCCUCUAACUCUAUACUUCGAAUUCAAGGUUUGGGGAAAACCUCGAUGUCGAAAUUAGUUUGAUUCUUUGAUUAGGGUUUUGGUUUCUAACCUCUCUUGAGUUGUUUUGAUGAUCUCAAUCUCAAUCUCAAUCAAAUCAUCAUAUUGAUGGGUUUGAGGAUUUUAAUGAAACCCCUCAUGAACCCUAGAAAUUCAAAUUAUGGAUUUCAUGUUUAUAUGUUAGAUUGUAAUGGAUUCAAUGACCUAUAUGCUUUUUGAUGUCAAUAAACCCAAUUGGAAUGCUCAAUCACAUCCAUGAUGGUAGAAUCAAAGUAUGAGCGUGAAUUUUAGGUGAUUUUAGGGAAAUUGUGGUGAAAACAACAUAAUUAUUUAUAUAUGAGCAUUUGAUGAGUACAUGAUACUCAUAAACAUGAAAUGAUACUAAUAAUAUGAUUUAAAUGCACGAACAUGAAGGCUUGGGUGAUCUAUAGUUGAAUUUAUGGAAUAAUUGGCCAAAAGGGCCUUUUAGGAAAUGUAUUGACAAACAUAUAAUGAUUGACAAAUAAUAAGUGAAUGGCAUUCAUGAACAUGAAUUAACACUCUAGAUAUGUUAUUGGAACAUUAUGUAAUAUCCCAAAAUUUAAGACUAAAAAAUUUCUUUUAAUAAAACAUUUCUUUAAGCAAAUUCAUCAUUCCAAAACAUGAAUAGAGUAUUAAUUUCCAAAAUACUUGUUCGUUAUCGGAGUAAACAUUCCUAGGCUAUCUAAUCUGUGGUGUGUGUGCCAUGCGAUCACCCCGAGCUCUUCCCUCCGCUACCGGAAGUACCCGAAACCAAAACUGAAAACCGUAAGCACGAAGCUUAGUGAGUUCCCCACCCUACCACAUACCAUACAUUCACAUAUCAUACACACUGUCGGGCAAUUAUGGGGUGCCCGACCUACCCGGNNNNNNNNNNNNNNNNNNNNNNNNNNNNNNNNNNNNNNNNNNNNNNNNNNNNNNNNNNNNNNNNNNNNNNNNNNNNNNNNNNNNNNNNNNNNNNNNNNNNNNNNNNNNNNNNNNNNNNNNNNNNNNNNNNNNNNNNNNNNNNNNNNNNNNNNNNNNNNNNNNNNNNNNNNNNNNNNNNNNNNNNNNNNNNNNNNNNNNNNNNNNNNNNNNNNNNNNNNNNNNNNNNNNNNNNNNNNNNNNNNNNNNNNNNNNNNNNNNNNNNNNNNNNNNNNNNNNNNNNNNNNNNNNNNNNNNNNNNNNNNNNNNNNNNNNNNNNNNNNNNNNNNNNNNNNNNNNNNNNNNNNNNNNNNNNNNNNNNNNNNNNNNNNNNNNNNNNNNNNNNNNNNNNNNNNNNNNNNNNNNNNNNNNNNNNNNNNNNNNNNNNNNNNNNNNNNNNNNNNNNNNNNNNNNNNNNNNNNNNNNNNNNNNNNNNNNNNNNNNNNNNNNNNNNNNNNNNNNNNNNNNNNNNNNNNNNNNNNNNNNNNNNNNNNNNNNNNNNNNNNNNNNNNNNNNNNNNNNNNNNNNNNNNNNNNNNNNNNNAUAAACCAUUCCUUGGGCACCCGCCCUCUAUCAUUGGACCUCGUCCCGAAUAUCAUACUAGCAUACUGUGCUUAGGGCUAACCCCCGGGUCUUCUACUCAUAACUACAUGGGCCGGCAUUGUGGCCGUAGACCCAUUCAUACAAAGGGAAACUCACCUACAUUGGCUGAACUGGCUGAUGAACCCACUAGCUGCUACCCGACAACUCUCUGAAUUCCUGCUCCACUCGCUCCUUGAGCUGCCAAAAUCAAUGCAACAUUGAGUCUAACUGACUCCCGAAAGACAACCAAGUCAAAUCUGGUCUAAGUCAGAGUCCAGGUCAAAGUCAACCUCCCAGGUCAACCCUACUCGUCGAGUCUUCCUACUGACUCGCCGAGUUCAUGCGCUCAAAGUCCUUCCAAUCGCGACUUGAUUCGCCGAGUCAGUCCAUGACUCGUCGAGUCCAACGAUUUUUGAGUCCUGACCUGUCCAACUCACCGAGUCUCCACUCGACUCACUAAUUCGAGUCUUAACUCGAAGGGUUUGGGGUUUCGCGACCUGACUCGCCGAGUCCAAGAACAGACUCGCCGAGUCCAAGGCAAUCUUCAACCAACUCGCCGAGUUGUUCUUCAAACUCGCCGAGUUCCUGCCCAACUUCAUCUGACUCGAUGAGUUGUUCAUCCCACUCGUCGAGUUCCUCCAAAUCUUCAUGCCACUCGUCGAGUCCACUCAAAGGACUCGCCAAGUCCAUUCAGACCUCCAUACAUGCAGAGGACUUUUGAGUCAUGCAUGGACUCCAAACUGUAGAUCUACCCUUCCCAAGCCUAUUCCUCACGUAAAGUUGCAAACUUUACGUGUAGAGAAGGAGAUCUAGGCAAAAUACACCAUAAACUAGGGUUUAAGGCAAGGAGGCUCCAUAAUCANNNNNNNNNNNNNNNNNNNNNNNNNNNNNNNNNNNNNNNNNNNNNNNNNNNNNNNNNNNNNNNNNNNNNNNNNNNNNNNNNNNNNNNNNNNNNNNNNNNNNNNNNNNNNNNNNNNNNNNNNNNNNNNNNNNNNNNNNNNNNNNNNNNNNNNNNNNNNNNNNNNNNNNNNNNNNNNNNNNNNNNNNNNNNNNNNNNNNNNNNNNNNNNNNNNNNNNNNNNNNNNNNNNNNNNNNNNNNNNNNNNNNNNNNNNNNNNNNNNNNNNNNNNNNNNNNNNNNNNNNNNNNNNNNNNNNNNNNNNNNNNNNNNNNNNNNNNNNNNNNNNNNNNNNNNNNNNNNNNNNNNNNNNNNNNNNNNNNNNNNNNNNNNNNNNNNNNNNNNNNNNNNNNNNNNNNNNNNNNNNNNNNNNNNNNNNNNNNNNNNNNNNNNNNNNNNNNNNNNNNNNNNNNNNNNNNNNNNNNNNNNNNNNNNNNNNNNNNNNNNNNNNNNNNNNNNNNNNNNNNNNNNNNNNNNNNNNNNNNNNNNNNNNNNNNNNNNNNNNNNNNNNNNNNNNNNNNNNNNNNNNNNNNNNNNNNNNNNNAAUAAUAGACUCGGUUCACCCUGACCCUGAACAUCCUGGAAACACAACUUACUUACCGACAAUCCUUCUGGUACUCACCGAGUACUGCACUGAACCUAUAGGGGUUCACCCCUUCUUUCCUUGCACAAUUCCUUGCCUUCCCAAGGCAAAGCUCCAUAACCAACUAUUCCUUCUGUCACUGUGAAGGCCCUAUCCUUCACCAACUCCAUCACCCCCGCUAUUUCCAGUACGGGUCAUAUCCGUCAGUAACCACUGACACCUCCUCUCUGCCAAAACUUGGUGCCGAGCACCCCUCGAUUCAAGUAACUGAAUUCCACCAUACGCUGCUUACCCGCAAUACCACUGACUGAAAAUUCUGCUAUUCCUUGUCUGCCUUCCGGAUGAACUGAGACCACCCUGGUCCCUACCAACCUAUCAAUGACUGGAUUACCGGCUCCCACCGGUAGUUGACCCAACACAACUACUAGUCGCUCCCAGGGACUUCCGAAGAAACUUCGACCACCUAUAACUGCUCAAUCUAUUCUGCUAUUCAGGCACUACAAACAUGGGAUCCCCGAUCCCCUAACUUGACACUAAGGUCCCUACCAGAUCCCACCUGCGCUGCUAAGACCCACGGGCCUCGCCCACGGGUCCCACCCGUCUCUAUCCUUCUAGUCCCACUAGUCUAAUCACUCUCGCUCGGGCCUCGCCCACGGGUCUCACCCCAACCAUAUCCUGGAGCAGCCUCUCCCAAGGUCUCACCUCUCUAGAGCUAAAUAGGCAAACUCCCUAUCAUUCUCAUCCACUACCCAUUCCUGAUCCCUGACCGAUCACUAGGAGGUAAGGGCCUCGCUCCAACUCCGCUAUCGAAGCUACUAAGGAAUGCUAUGGCUGCCCCGUAGUCUGACAACACUUCCGCCACUAACUGCUAAUACGAAGGCACCCAUGUGCCAUUAGCUCUCAAGAUCCUCAUUCUGACUCCCUCGAGUCCUACGGGCGAUCCACAACCUGAAUUCCCAACCACGUACUAACCAUUACCAUCACACGCACUAGUUGUUGGGGAGUUUCUCAAACUCCCAACCCUGAAAUCCUCAAUCCAUCAAAUGCUGAACUACCUCUUUUCCUUCUCGGAGGUUGCACCCUCAUUCUGGAUCUGCGUGCUCCUACCUUUUCACACUCGGAGGAUUCUCCCCCACUUCGAUCCUGCUUACCCCUUGUUGCUCAAUACUCAAAAGAAAUCCUUGCUACCAUUUCAUAAUCAAUCUGCUGAGGGACCCGUGCUUACCAUAGCUAGGGAUCUAACCAAUCCAUUUCUAACACUAUACAACUCCGAUCUUUUCAAUACUCAAAAGAAAUUCUUUUUAAAUGCUUUUAAAAAGAAUGUCUUGAAGGCAAAAACGUUUUUGAAAGUAAAGAAUGUUUUGGAAGAACAAAUGUUUUGAUAUGUGAAAUGUAUCUUUUCAAAGUAUAUUUUUCUAGUAACAUAUGCUAUUGAAAAUUAUGAUAUGUGUAUUGAUAAUGGGGAAUAUGAAAGCUAAAAAAAAAAAGUAAAAAGACACAAUGAAAACUACUCGGACCAUGAUACCUCAUAAGAGGCACUAGAGAAAUCUAUCGGGAUGACACCUCCCUCUUGCGAGAUAGAUGUCCUAAUUGAUAUGAUGCCUUGAUAAAUUGAGUUGCUCUUUCCACAUUAGUCUAGACUUGGGAGUGGUUCCUUUAUUGGGCGUAGACCCUAAGUAUAAAAAUGACAAUGAUUUAAUACCAUAAUUAGUCGUUAAUUAAAUAAUUGAAUGUAAUGUGUGUAACAUCGAAAAUUUCAAAAUAAUUUUUCAUUUAAAAAUAAUCGUUUAAUUCUUAAAAAAAACACUUUGCUUAAAAUCUCAUUCAUAAUCGAAUUACAAAACAUGACUCCAUUUCCACUUGCAUAAUAAACCAGGAUCCUCAAAACAUGACUCUUUCUCUGGUGUGUACAAUCGAGCCGGUGCCGUCCCGUGAUCCUGAGAGAAACCUGAAACACAUAACACAAAACACUGUAAGCACGAAGCUUAGUGAGUUCCCCAAAAUACCAUAUAUAACACAUAUUAGCCACUCGAGGCUAUAACUCUGUGGGUCCGUGCACCCAACUCUGUGAACCCUCAGGCUCUAUCUCUGUGAACCUUCCGGUUCUAACUUUGGGAACCUUCCGGUUCUAACUCUGUAAACAUGCACAUCAUAAAUCACAUAGAAAUAAUGCAGUACAACACAUAAGAUACAUAGCAUACAAAUACUCUGUCACAUAACUCUGGUUACCUAUUCAAGGUAAGGUAUAGUAAGAAGACUCACCUCGCGUAUCUCGGCAACUCAUAAAUCCCGAAAAUCACUAGUGCUCGAUCUCCCGAGUUAUAGUCCUCCUAUAACACAAGUAUAUCUCUAAUUAACACUAUCCCAACUAUGGUUGACUAAUUCUACCAAGUCAACACCAGUCAACUCUGGUCAAUGGUCAACGGUCAACCCAACUCGCCGAGUCUGGCGUGGACUCGCCGAGUCCCUACGGGGACCCGAUUCCUCUGAAUCCCUUCCGACUCACUGAGUCACUCACCCAACUCGGUUACUCAACCCCUGGUUCGAAAACACAGAACAACUCGCUCCAACUCGUCGAGUCUGCCAAUGGACUCGACGAGUGCAUUCCAUGCACAACCCCAAACGACCUUCUGAGGUCAGAUCUGUUCCACUAACUCAUAGAUCCAGUCUUUCCAAGCUCAUUUAUCACGUAAAGUUUAUGUCUUGGCGCUCAUAUCACACCUAUUGACUCAUAAGUGGUGUUUUAACCUCAAACACAAUGAUCCCAAACCAAAACCUCCAUAGACUCAUAUAAAGCUUGGAUAAAGAGGCACUCUAGACCUCCAUGGGUCCAGAUCCAGAACCUAAUUCGCUUAAGGGACCAUGGGAGCACUAGAUCUAGUCACAAAAGGGCUCAAUAAGCCCUAAAUCAACAUGAACAUCACCACAACAUAAAAUGGUUCGAAAAUAGUACCUCAAACGUGAUGUUCUGGACCUCAGAUCUUCAGGAAGUUAACCCUCUUGCUUCCUCUUGGCUAUAGCUUCCUUUCCCUUGCUAGACAACACCUCCAAGGUCGACAAUGGCUCCUUCUCUCACUCUGAACGCUCAAGCUCACUAGGGUUUCGCUCUGGGGGCUGGUGAGCACAAAUGACGGCCAUAAGACCCCUUUAAAUAGGUCCCAGACCUGAGAAAUUAGGGUUUCAUUAAACAGCACGGACUCGCCGAGUCCACCAAUGCGACUUGGCGAGUCCGGUCAUUAAUCCGGGUGAGAAAUCGCGUCUCUACUCGGCGAGUCUACGCACCAACUCGCCGAGUUCUUCCACAAAACUUGAAAUAAAAAGAAUAGAUAUAAUACCUGAAAUUUCGGAUGUUACAAUGUGAAAUGAAAUGCCUUUUGAAUUAUGUUAAGUCCAAUAAAAUGUUUUGAUAUGGAAUAGAAUAUGGAAAAUGUCUUAUGAAAUGAUAUAAUAUGAUAUGUUAUGUUAUGUAUGAGACAAUUUACAUGAAAAUACUUUGAAAUAUUUUUGAUAAAAAUAUGAUAAACGUUUUGGGUCGCAAACCCACGUAUCUCAUGAGAUAUUAUUGUUAAGUAUCUUUUUUUAAUGUCGUAUAUCAAAGGUUGCACUUAAGGAGAAAAUAUGAUAUAUGAAAGUUAUAAGUAAAGAGAUAGAGAAUGGUGUGGAACUUGUUAAGUUCCUUAUUUAUUGUAUUGAUGUUAUCCUUAUUUGCUUGCUAUUGUUUUAUUGAUGUUUAAUAGUAUCACACAAUGUUUUAACUGUAAAUGCUUUUAUGGUACCGAGUUUUUAUUAAAUGCGGGUUAAUUCUUGAAAAGAUUUUAUAACCAUAACUUUGAAACAGUUUGAAAAUUUUGGGGUGUUACAAUUUGGUAUUAGAGACAUAGUUUAAGUGAAUUAGGGGUUGUUUGGCAGGAUCAAAAUUUUAAGAGGUAUGAAUUCUAAAAAUGUCUGAAUUUUUAAGAUCCGAAUUUUAACAUGUUGUUUGGUUGGAACCUCUGAAUUAUUGUGUUGAAUGAUGAAAAUGAUCAUUUUAACCUUCUCUAUUAUUAGUUUUUUGCUAAAUUUAAUGCUUCCAUUUUAAAAAAUAACUAAACCAAAUCCUCGAAUAAUUACAAAACAAUUAAACACCAUACAAAAAACUAGACGGUGCAAAAACUUAUAUAAGGUUCAACAUCUAAGAUUUAAAGUAUCGAAUAACAAAUAUCUUUCUACUCAAACAUGACACCAAAAAAUUUCUUCAUACAAUACAUCAUACUUCUCAACUUCAACCAUUUUACACACAACGAACGUCCUUUAUUGAUAAACAAAAACCUUAAUAAUCUACCGGUUUUGAAUUUGAUUUUUUGAUUCAAUGAUAUGAAUGCUUAAGCAUCAUAUAAAGAUUGACAAAUGUUUGUUAAAUUUCAUAACAUUCAAACAUAAAAUAGUUACAAUUUUGGACAAAAAUAAUGAAAAAUGUUGUUAACAUAAAGGAAAAAACCCACACACAACAAGUGAAAGUUGAUCAAUUCCUUGCAAAUCCCUGUUGCUUGGGGUGGUUUCUAAACAACUUGCACAAAGCAUGUCCUGAUAAUCAUAAAAAUGCACAUAAUACACAUGAAUUCAUAAUAUAUCCAAAUCAGUAACUGUGAAACUCUAAUUUAAUUAUGAAAUGGAGUCAAACAUAAGUAUGUUACUCGAAAAGAAACAAAUAAAGAGUAAAGACAUCCAACAAUCAAUACUAUACUUAAUCCUACCGGUAGAUCAUCCAAUUCAAACUUCAUGAACUUUUUUGCAAAAUCAACAAAUAAUUUCAUCAAAUCUGGAGGAUAAUUUCAAAUUUUUUGCACUAGAACAUAAUUCGGCCCAGUGAAAAAAAAUUCAACAAAAUCAACACAAAUUCCUUAACACCAUAACAUAACUCCAUCAAAUAAUUUUAGCGAUUCAGCAAAAUCAGCACGAAUAAUAGCCUGAUUUUAACCAGAAAUCGGCGAUUCAGCGUAUUUGGGGGAGAGAGAAAAAAGUAAAACUGAAGAACGGUACAUACCUAAAGCGACUUAUUCUGCCCUUCGACCUCCUUCUCUAUUUGUGUUCCUGUUUCUACCGUACACCAAAGAUCAAGUAGGAGUCAGUUUUCUCCCAUGCUCAAUUGAUGGUGGCCGGAUUUGUGCGAUGGGCGUCGGUGCUAUGUGACGUCAGAGAUACAGGAAGAAGAGGGAUGGAGGCUGGUGUUCGGUGGAUGAAAGAAGAAGAGAAAGGGACAACAAGGGUAGGGCAAAAAGGGCAACACACCUUUUAUGGUUACAUGUCUGACCGAAUAAAUGAUGAUUUUAAGAUUCAGAUGCCAAAAUAAGUUAUAAACAAACACCAAUAAAUUCAGACCUAUAUCUUAUUAAGAGGUAAUACAAGGUAAAUAAAGAGGGCCUGAGGAUUGUAUCAUUUCACUCCUUGGCUUAGACUUUAGUUAUGGAAAGUGUGAAUGAGUUACAGGAUUGCUAUACCUUAAUUAGAUAGAAUCUUAUGCAACAUGUGACAGAACUGAAUUAUCAUGCUAGAUGUUUUAUGAAGCUCUAGAUAAGUUAGAUGAACUUAUAGAAUGCUAUAUUGAAUGCUUUUUAAAGUGAAUUUUGGACAAUAUAGACCAAUGGAUCAAAGUCUUUAAGUGGUAAAAUCAAGUUCGGUUAUAUAUAUGAUUUGAGUAUAGUAUAGGGCCAUACUAUUAUAAAUAAAUGAUAGAUACCCGAAUUGAAUAUAGCGGUACUCACAUUUUUUAUGAGAUAAAGUGAUAAAUAGGAAAGCAACAAUCGUGUUAUGAAAACUGAAAAGUACAAGUGGUAUUCAUAUUUCCAACCAAUAUCAAAAAUAUGUUGAUGGUUAUACAAUAUGAAAACGGAGACUAUAGCAUUGUUCUGAUUAAAUGAGUACCUUAAACUAUAACGCACAUAAUAAUAUGCUUAUAAUUCAAAUACAAAUAGUCUUCGAAGCAUAACUCAGUGAUUACGAAAUGCCCUAAGAUAAUUUAAGAGUUUAUAAUAGUAGAGACUAGCACAAAACCGACUUUUCUUCCUUUGGGUAGUUUGUCUUUACACUAAAUGCACUUCUCAGCAUCCAAAAUCAUCGUCAACAAAAGAGCAGCAGAACAACAAUGUUUAUCCAUCCUCCAAAUCUGCACUACACUCCUUAAUCUCAACCAAAUUCAUGCACAGAUUCUCAAACUGGGUCUCCAAAACAACCCACUAGUCCUCACCAAAUUCACUUCAACAUCAUCCGAUCUCAAUGCCAUUGACUACGCUUCAUCCAUCCUAUUCUCUCCGGAUGCUAAAACACAUCUCUACGAUACUUUCCUUUACAACACCGUCAUUAGAGCUUACGCGCAAACCCAUCAAUCCAAGAUCACAGCUGUUGAUAUUUACAAAACCAUGGUUUGGAAUGAUGUUACCCCUAAUAAGUUCACAUACCCAUUUGUCCUCAAGGCCUGCGCGGGUGUGGGGAGGUUACGUUUAGGCGAAUCGGUUCAUAGUAAGGUUGUGAAGUUUGGGUUUGAUGAGGACAUACAUGUCUUGAAUACUAUGGUUCACAUGUAUUGUUCUUGUGGUGAGGUUGAUAAUGCACGAGUCGUGUUCGACGAAAUGCCUAAGUCGGAUUCUGUAUCCUGGAGUGCAAUGAUCGGUGGGUACGCACGCAUGGGAAGGUCAACCAGUGCUGUUGAGUUGUUUAGAGAGAUGCAGAUUGCUGGGGUUAAACCCGAUGAGAUCACCAUGGUUUCUGUUCUCUCUGCCUGUAGUGAUUUAGGCGCUUUAGAGCUUGGAAAAUGGGUUGAAAACUAUAUAGAAAGAGAAAAGAUUCCAAAAAGCAUCGAACUUUCUAAUGCCCUUAUUGAUAUGUUCACUAAAUGUGGCGACAUGGAUAAAGCUUUAAGGCUAUUCAAAACCUUGGAUCAUAAAACCAUCGUUUCUUGGACUUCUGUGAUUGUGGGCAUGGCAAUGCAUGGACGUGGGUUAGAAGCUGCUUCAUUGUUUGAAAAAAUGAAUCUUUCUGGGGUCCCACCAGAUGAUGUCACUUUUAUCGGGUUGCUUUCAGCUUGUAGUCAUUCAGGUUUAGUCAACGAAGGCCAAAAGUACUUUGACUCCAUGACUUCAAACUUCCAUAUAAAACCCAAAAUCGAGCAUUACGGAUGCAUGGUUGACCUUUUCAGUAGAGCAGGAUUAGUCAAAGAGGCACUAGAAUUUGUUACCAAAAUGCCCCUUGACCCAAACCCGAUAAUCUGGAGGACGUUGACCGCAGCAUGUCGUCUCCACGGUCAACUCAAUCUCGGUGAAACCAUCACAAAAAAGCUGAUCGAAUACGAGCCGUUGGAUCAAUCUAAUUAUGUCUUGCUUUCGAAUAUAUACGGGAAAAUGUCGGAUUGGGAAAAGAAAAAGAAAAUCAGAGACGUGAUGGGCGAAAAGGGAAUAAAAAAGAUUCCCGGGAGUACAAUGAUAGAACUAGACAACAAGAUGUAUGAAUUUGUUUCGGGUGAUAGAACACAUGAUUUAGAUAAAGAGAUUCAUGAGAUGAUUGAUGAAAUGGGGUGGAAGAUGAAGAUGGCUGGAUAUGUUGCUACUACUUCAGAGGUGUUACUUGAUAUCAAUGAAGAGGAUAAAGAAGAUGCUUUGAAUAGACAUAGUGAAAAAUUAGCUAUUGCAUUCGCGCUUUUGAAAACGCCACCUGGCACUCGUAUACGCAUUGUGAAAAACUUGCGUGUUUGUAGCGAUUGUCAUUCUGCAACAAAGUUUGUUUCCAAGAUUUAUAAUCGGGAGAUUGUUGUUAGAGAUAGAAAUAGAUUUCAUCACUUUAGAGAUGGGAUUUGUUCAUGUAAAGACUUUUGGUGAAACUUGAUGUAAUUUGCAUAACAUACUAAACUUGCAUUUUACAUGAUUACAUAACAACUAUCAAGAUCUUUCUUUAACUCGACAUAAACAUUAAUUCUAUAAUUAAUCAGCUUGAUCCUAACCUUAAACCACGAACAAUGUCGGGUUAACACAAUGUAUAAUUCGUGCAAACAUUUAAUGUAACAAACAAGUUGCACUAGGUUCUGUAGAAGAACUUGCCCCAUAAGCAUUGUUGCAACGUGCAAUUGUAUUUUCUCCAGUCACAGUUGAUGUUAUGUUAAUCUGAUCCAAAGAAAUACCAGAACAUGCUACUUUGUUACUGCAGUCAAAAUUUAUUGCAGUUCGAGAUGAUGAUGUUCCUUGAAAUAAUCUGUAAGUUAUAUCACUAAUCUCCACUGCUGAACCCUGCAAAUCAAAAAUUAUAAGCUCAUAAUUCAAUUUUUUAAGUGAUUAUUAUUUGAAAAGGUUUUACCUCUGUAGGGCAAUUAUUUCCACUAGGACAAUAGUAUUGAUCCACAAGUAUCGGGUUAUUCACAUCAUGAAGUGUAAUUUGCUCAAAUGUGAUAUCUCUGGCAUAUCCAGAUCCUCCCUAUAUGAUUGUGGAUAACAAUGUUUAACAUUGACUAUUUAUGAUGAUGAGAGAAAAAAAUUGUAAUUUUUGUCUUACUGACACCGAUACAAUUUAAGCUGACAAACACAGUAUACCCUAUUACCUGCCAUGUUUUGAUUCUUGCUCCGUUUUGUGUUCCGGUGAAGUUGCAAUUUCGUACGUAAACACCUUCCACAGUAUCAUAUUCCCCAUUUAUGCCUAAACUUCCGAUGCUACAAAGAUUAAAGAAAAAAAUAACAAUAAGCGACAACAAAUAUUUGACCCAUAACAUUGAUCCGACCCGACUUUGAAUUUUACCUUAUACCAUGGCCCGGACCGCAAUUUAUGCCCGUAAUAUUGAUUUGAGAGGAUCCGUUGAUUAGAGCAAUACAAUCGUCACCUAACAUUUUAUAGCACGAAAUGUUGUCAUGUAAUAUAACAAAAUGUGAAGGUAAACCAAAGACAACGAAUAUUAUAUGAAGUAUGUACCAGUUUUAAUAACGGAAUCGUUUAUUUGUAUGUAGGUUGAGAUUGAGACGUCGAUUCCAUCAGUGUUUGGGCUAUUUGCAGGUGCAACUAUGUCUAAAUUUGAAAUAAUUGAAUUACUGCAUCUGUAUAGACCGAUAUGAUUUCUAGGGCUAUCAAGAUGCUUAAGUUGUCUUAAUCGAAGCCCAUAGCAUUUUUCAAAAUGUAACGCCUACAUACACAUUGCAAAAAAACUUACUAUUAUGGUGUCAACAUUCACAAUAUAGUAAGUACAACACUGUUAUGUAGCAACACGUUUUUAGUGUAUGUUUAAUUAAUAACGUUUAUUAAACAAGAUACUUACCGUUGGUGGUAUUGAACAUGUAGAUUCUUCUGUUAUCUACAAAAAAAAAUAUAUUAAAUCAGUAUAAUUAUAGUUUUAAAAAUCAAUGAUUGUGAAUAUUAUCUAAAAAAAGAAGCUAAAAUGCAUGUACAUCAGACAGAGAUUUGGUCCACCAAGCACUGCCACGACCAUCGAUAGUACCACCACCAUCGAUAAUAAGAUUGUUAACGUCAUAAAAUAAUAGCCAUGCCCCGGUUUCACAACUACCCCAUGAACUAGGGUUUUCAGGGGCAAUGAUUGUACCCAAUAUCUGCUCAACAUAGUAAAUGUGAGUUUAAUGAUGGUUUGCGACUUUGUGUGUUUUUUGUUCUUUUAUAACAAUUUGAUGUAUUUGAAAUAUAACAAAAAGAUUUUGUAUGUGAAAUAUAAGUUUGUAUUUUGGGAGGGGGGAUAGGAUUACCAGAAAAUGGAUAUUUGGAGAUUUACACGGGCCUUGAAAGCUGAUCGGGCCCACUAAGAAGGUUUGGGCCGAUGGUAUGAUCAUCCUUGACAUUGGUCCAACAUCAUUACAUAACUCUUGCCAAGCUUCUUCAAAAGCCUUGUUGCAAACAUUAAAUUAAACAACAAAAAGAUAAACUCAUUGUAUUUUAUUAGGUAAACACUUGGGAUUUGUUAAAAGCUUAUUCAAACAAUUACUAUUUUUAAUGCUUUAUUUUAAAAAAUAGAUUAUUCUUUUGAAUAAUUUAUUUUUUAAGACAUGAAAUUUAUGGAAAAGAAGUGUAAAUGAUCGUAUAUACCUUUGUAUUAUCAGUCAUUCCAUCGCCCUUGGCGCCAUAAUUCAUUACAUUAUAAGCACCACCAUGGCUAUGAUGUAACAAACAAAGCAAUAACAUGAUAAAAAGUAGCAUUUUUAUUCUACUUAUUAUACACAUAUAUAAUAUUAAGAAUGACUUGUGCAUGAAAUACAAUUCUCUGGUAUUGUGUAGUUUCUUUUCUUGAUCAAUAGUUGGUGAAUAUUUAUACAUAUUUGAUAUAUGUAUGUGUUGAAUGAAGUGAGGGAAGAGUCCAUGAUUUUGACUUGAAAUUUAAUGUUUUAAAACUUCCAAAAGAGAAAACAAGAUGUUGAAACUAGAAUCUAAACUUUACAUAUUAAAGAAUAUCAAGUAUCAACGGAUAUUCUCCAUUUCACCAUUUUUUGUUUUAUUACUCUAUUUGUUUGAAAUAUCAAACGUCUUUAAUUUCAAAAUCGUGAAAUAAGUAAUUUUAUAUGUAGUUCCAAAAACGGCAUUUGUCUAAUGAAACUUCAACACAUACUUUAUUUGUCUUAAAGGAAUAAUACCAUUUGGGUAAACUGUGAGAUUAUUUGUAACACAUCUAAAACAUCAUUCACUAAGUUACUAAAAGCAUUGUCUUUUACCUUUUAUGAAAUGUCAAAAGCGUGAAGUAUUUCGAUUUUUAUUCAACAAAAGUCGAAUCUUUUUUUGUCAUUUAUGAUAAAUCAGAAAUAAUGACCCUUACCUUGUUUUCUUUUACUGUUAUUUGGAAUAUAUGUUUCUUAUUGCAGCCGAUAAAAUUAUGCGUUAAAUUCAUAAAGAUUUUGUUUAGGUAUCUUGUGAUAAUACUUAAUUUUGUAUUUUUCAGGAUUAAUAAGUUUAACAUAAUUAGCUAUUUAUAAUAUCUAUUUUAGUCCAUACCAAAUUUACUUUGCUCUUAAAGUCCUUUUAAUUUAGUUUUUCAUUUCAAUUUAUGUAAAAACAAGAUUUGAACUGAUCACACGAUGAUUUAGCAUUAGCAUGACUGUUAUCGACACAACGUGACUAUCUUUUGACAUGAAUUAAUCUUGAUGUAACAUUUCACAUUCAAAUUUUGUUUUAUUGUUUGUUACCAUCAUUAAACAAAACACCACAUCUUUAUAUCAUCAUGUUAAACCAUUGUAAUAACACAAGUAAGAAAGGAUGCUAAAGAUCUACAUUUCCAACUACAUAAUACAUUAUAAACCAGAUAUGAUCACAAUGUCAAUCAAAAAAGGGAAAAAAGUCUACAAAUGGUUUACAAAAGUUGCUACAGAAUAAAACAUACGAAAAGGUGAACAUAUGCAAAUUGAUGCAACAUCAUAAACCAUUAAUUGUCAACUAUUCCUAAGAAGCACUGCAAGGACACAACUAAACAUCAGUCACAAUUUCCGUAAAAAAAACUGUAAAACAAGUGCAUUAGGAGUGGCAGAAAAAGUAAUUUGAUGGGUAAAUAAUACGUACUAUAUGUAUAGUAUUUAUCUAAUCAGGAAGCUCUUUAAUAUCCACUUCAACUUUUCUUGAAUCUAAUCAUCUAUAAUCACUUAGAAGUUGUUUGGCAACCUCUGAAUGAUUCAAAGGUUUGGAUCCGACUCUAAAUGAAAACAUGUUGUUUGGUAAAACUGCUUAACGGAUAUAUUGAACGUGAAUAAUUAUCAUUUUACCUUAUUGUUUAAAAGUAUUAACAAACACCAACAAACCAUCCAAAAAAUAAAAUAUUCAUACCAUCUUAAAAUUGACAAAAAGUCAUCACAUGAAAUAACAAAAGGAUUCUUUCAAUUCACCAUUCAUGAACUGCUAUACUACUAUUCCAUACCGAAUUACCACAUGAAAUUGCUAUACUACUAUUGCAUACCGAAUUACCACAUGAAAUAGCAAAAUGAUUCUCAAUUCAGCUUUUAUGAAAUAACAUUCAUACCACACAAAAAAUCUCUCUUUCAAUUAGUUUUCAUGAAAUAGCAAAAGGUUCCGCAAAUGGAAAGUAUAACAAUCACCACUACGAGUGAUAUCGUUGAAACAAAAGGACCUUUGACGAAGCCAUGCAUGCUUACUCAGACAUGAAAGUUCAAACUCUAUCGACAGAUAACUAAGACAUGUGAAUGCAAUGGUGCUCUAUCACAUGAUCAAAAAAUUCAUAGGAGGAAGGCGAAGAUAAGCUUCAAGAAGCCGAACAUACACCCAACCUUUCCGCUUGGAGAAUACAUGAUACUUGCAAGAGUAGAGAUGUCUACGAUGUCUAUCGACGACAAUUAUAGGGAAUAACACACUCUAUUGAAUUCGGAGUAACCGUAGACACAACGAUAACUAAGUGAUCACCAACCAUUAUCAAAGAAUCCGAAGACGAGCAUCCCAGAAAAAACAUAGUACGUAAAUGGUAAAGAAAAAAUAACUAAACUGAUAGAUUUUUUUUAUUUAAAGAGGGGGUGAUUUGGGCGGUACUAUGAUAUCACGCCCAUUAGGCCAUUACCAUUGAUGUGAUGAGACGACCAUUCCGUAACUGAAACAACGGUUUGGUGUCCCAUGUGCACAUGCAUUAAUACACCUUAGAAAGUGGGUACAACUGUAAAAGAAACAAUUAAAAAUGGGCACACUCUAGUUUCGAAUAACAUAGCACGAUUAACACUCACUUAGGGGCUGUUUGAUUUAAGCUGACCGGGUCCAGUCAGUGUUGACUGCUGACUCGGUCAGCAGUCGGAUGUUUGAUAAAUACAAAAUAAAGCUUACUCGGUCAGCCCAUUACUCUUACCCGGUAAGCCAAAAAAACCCUCCUGACUGGAAAAGCUACGCGUUUUCUUUUUGUCAUUUGCCCUCACUCGCCUCCUUCGCUAUCGGUAAUAACCUAGACAGUAGACAUCAGCCGUCUUCUUCUUCUCCAUCGCCAAGUGCUGAUCGCCUCCCUCCUCAUCUUCUCCGGCGACGACGCAGCCCAUCUUCUCCGGCGACGACACUGCGCGACUUCUCCGGCAACGACAAGGUAACUGCGUGUUUUUUUUUUGCUUUAUUUGAUCUGAAAUCACAAAUUGCUGCUCCCUAAUACAAAUUUCUUCUCCUGCUCCUGCUUCCCUAAUAUAAAUUGCCGCUCGUUCUUCCUCUUCCUCUUCGUUUUUUUUUUUUCUGAAAUCACACAACCCUUCAUGUUUGCUGUCAAAUUGAUGAUUUCAUUUUGAAAUCAAAGUUUGCAAUGUGUGAAACAUCAAAAAUCACAGCCCCUUAUAUAGUUGUUUUAUAUAGUUGUUAAAUCACAGCCCCUUCAUGUUUACUAAUGUGUGAAAUCAAAGUUUGCAAUGUGUAUAACAUCAAAAAUCACAGCCCCUUAUAUAGUUGUUUUAUAUAGUUGUUAAAUCACAGCCCAAUCAUGUUUACUAAUGUGUGAAAUCAAAGUUUGCAAUGUGUGUAACAUCAAAAAUCACAGCCCCUUAUAUAGUUGUUUUAUAUAGUUGUUAAAUCACAGCCCCUUCAUGUUUACUAAUGUGUGAAAUCACAGCCCUUAUAUAGUUGUUUUAUAUAGCUGUUAAAUCGAAUGAAUUGUGUACUGUGUGUAUAUGUUAUGUUUAUGUGCAUAUGUGUGUAACAUCAAAAUGCUCAAGACAAUGAUUAGAAUUUGUUACAUAGGUAUAUAUGCAUUACCAAACUGAUAUAUGAGAUCUUGUCUUCAAGUUAUGUACUGUGUGUAUAUGAUAUCUCCCAAGUCUUGUCUUCAAGUUGUAUUAUCUUUAGGUUAAACAAAAAAAUAUAUGUUUUAUCUUAUUGACAUCAAACAAAUAGUGUUAGCUAUUUGUAAAUGUGUGUUAUGUGGAUGAUUAUUUUUUUUUCUUUUUACAAUAGACAUGACAGAUAAAAGAAUUAGGGUUAGUUGGAAGUCGGAAUUGGUGGACAAAACUUUUUUGGAAGCAUGUAUACAAGAAUUAACAAGCAAUGGCCGGGAGGGUAGCGGACUAAAAGCAAGCUCAUGGGCUGUGGUCGCGGAGAAAUUGAAAACAGAUCAUAAUUUUAUUGUCGACAAAAAACAAAUGAAAAACCGAUACGACUAUUUAAAAGCAAAGUAUGCAGUGUGGUUAAAACUUAAAAACAAAACAGGAAAUAUUUAUAAUCCCGUUACGAAUUCUUUUAACAUGACUAAUGAAGAAUGGGAAGCGGAAGCGAAGGUACAUAUAUACAUAUUUUUUAAAGUAGAUUAUUUUUUUACUACUUUAAUAAUAUUUAUUAAAUUUGUCAAACAGUUGAACAAGUAUGUAGAUAAGCUGAGAAAUGCACCCCUCCCUUGCCCUGAACUUUGUACCCAACUAUUUGAUGGGGCAACCUCGACCGGUGUUCACAGUUGGGGGCCAUCUUCGACAUUACCUCAUCCCAAUGAAACCUUCAGUACACAUGAUUUUGAGGAUACAGAGAUGGAUGAGCCAGCACCUCAUGCAGAUACCCCAAGCUCAACAAUACCUCAACCUACUAGUGAGGAAUCAUCUGGGCGGACAAAAAACAAGGGAGGCAAACGAAAUGGUCCUAAAGAAACCACACUUGAUGAUGAGUUGAAAGAAGUUGGAAAAGAGAUUAUCAAGGCUGCACAAGCAUUCACCGAAGCAAAUAAUCUUGACAAGGAGAUGGAUGCUUGUAUGGCGAAGUUGACAUGCUUGGAGUGGGGAGAAUAUGAUCCGAAAUACACCACUGCUCUUAUGUUAUUUGCUGAAAGUGCUGGUAAUAGGAAAAUUUGGUUGCGCCUUAACUUGUCAACUUGUGAGUCGUGGGUAACAAAUGCGGGAAAAAAAUUUGGAUUAGUUGGUUGACUUUAGUAUUUACAUGUUACGUUUGACUUUAGUAUGUUAUGUUUCAUUGUUUGACUUUAGUAUGUUAUGGUUUAGUUAUGUUAUGGAUUGUUUUUCUUAGGUGCGGUUAUGUUAUAUGAAUUUAUAUGUUAUGGAAUGUUAUGUUUUUCGUAUUUACAUGUUACGAUUUGUUAUGUUAUGGUUUGUUAUGUUAUUGAUUGUUAUGUUAUGGAUUGUUAUGUUAUUGAUUGUUAUGUUAUUGAUUAAAAUGUAAUUUGUAUUUGACAUCUAACAGGACACAUGGAUAAAGAAGGUGACUUUUUAUAUUUUCUUAUAUUCUCGUGGUAUUGGUUGAUGUUGGUCCGACAAAGGCAAAGAAUAAUUAAAAGAAUAAGAGCUAGCGAACAGGUAGCAAAGGGAUAUGUGUAUACGCAAGAUUUGAUACACGGAUGUCCUAUACAAUGUUACGAUAUGAUACGUCUUUCACAAGAUGCAUUUGUACUAUUAUGCAAUCACUUUACACAAAGAAAUUGGUUGCAAUCUAGUAGGACGAUAAGCGUUGAAGAGAAGAUGGCUAUGUUUUUACAUGUUAUAGGACAUAAUGAACGUUUUCGAGCCGUUAAAGAAAGAUUUCAUCACUCCACACAAACGAUUCAUCAAUGUUUUCAUGAGGUCUUACGUGCAAUGAUGUGUUUUGCACGAGAAAUUAUAGUACCAACCUCGUCUAAUUCAACAACAAAUACCUCAGAACGACAUAGACGGCUAAUGCAGAUAUUUCCCGGAGCAAUAGGUGCACUAGAUGGAACACUUGUACAUGCAGUUGUGCCUGUUGAUCAACAAACUCGUUAUAGGGGAAGAGGAAAAGGUGAAUGUUAUCAAAAUGUAAUUGGAAUUUGUAAUUUUGAUAUGAUAUUCACCUUUGUAUGGGCUGGAUGGGAGGGCAUAGCACAUGAUUCUAAAGUUUUGAAAGAAGUUGCAUUUAACCCAACUUCCGGAUUUCCAUUCCCUCCACCAGGUUUGUAACUUUACUAUACGUUUUAUUAUCUAUAUUAUUUAUAUGAUAAAUUUGUCAUGCAUCUACAGAUAAAUAUUACCUUUGUGAUGCCGCAUACACCAACACCCGUGGAUUUAUGGCUCCCUACCGCAAUACUAGGUAUUGGUUAGCCGAUUUUCGAAGAAACAGAGCUUUGACUAAGGAAGAAAUGUUCAAUCAUGCUCAUGCACAACUUAGAAAUUACAUUGAACGUGCUUAUGGUGUGUUGAAGGCGAGAUUUCCAAUUUUAAAACAAAUGGCUCCUUAUCCUUUUCCAGUGCAAAGAGACAUAGUCAUUUCUUGUGUUGCGGUCCAUAAUUUUAUAAGGAAAUACGAUAUUGAAGAUGAAUUAUUUACGAACUUUGAACAAAACACUAUGGUUAGUCAUAAUGUGGGUGGUGGAGGAAAUGAGGGUCAAAACAUAGAAGGCAUAGAAUGGGGUUCAGAAGCCGUUAACUAUAUGACUAAUUUGCGUGACCAGAUUGCUAAUCAGUUAUUUUCAAAUGGUUCACGUUAAAUGGUGUACUUUUUUUAUUAUGUAUGACAAUUUGUAUUUGGAUUUUGUAUUACACUUUGUAUUUGGAUUUUAAUUGAUGUAUGUUUAAUUUGGAUUUUAUAUGAUAAUUUGUGGUUUUAUAAUUUUUUUAUCCAGCACAAGAGACAACAUAAGGGUAAUAUGGUCAUUUUUUCAUUCAGCACAACCAUUCAGAUAAAUAAUCAAACAACAUAAACUCAGUCAGAUAUGGACUCAGUCAGCAUUUCUAACCCAGUCAGCUUCUAACCCAGUCAGCUCUAACCCAGUCAGCAACUAUCAAACGACCCCUUAGUCAUCCUAUGGGACUUGAUAGGGCCCUACCUUCCGGACAUCGAAAAUCUUGUUAUUCCCAUAUUUAACCCCAACAUGUGGACCUAUUCCUGAGAAAUAAUAACAGGAGUAACAUGAGUUGGCAUACAAUAAGUGUUGAAAUAAUUAAUAUUUCAUUAUUAUUCUACAAACUAAACAAGGUGAAUCAAAUAUUAUAAGAUAUUGAUUUAUUUUGGUUAAGUGUAGGAAAAGAAGGACCAAAAGUGUUCAAAUAGGAUGUUGUUUAAGCUGAAGGUUGUUGAAACGGGAUGAAGGUGAGUAGAAGAUGGAAUUCAUGGCAUGCAUUGUUGGGGAGCAGUAAGUAGGGUGAUGGUGGAGAACCAGAUUCCUUAUAGAUCAUGUAAGUUCACUUACCAAACUGAUAUUUUCACCUUAUGUCUGGGUUACAGGAAAUCAAGUCUAGGAUAAUCCAAAAAAGACACUUGUGUAUCUUGGUACAUAAACACAAGCCAAAAGAUGAGUCCUAUAUAUGCAUGACAAAUUAGGGUUUCUAUCUUCUAAAUUAGUUAGGAGAGUCACAAAUUUAACAACUUAAUCAAUGGUUUCCAAAACUUACAACAAUUUUCAAUCUUACCGUAAUUACCCUACUAGAAUUUGGUUUUUCCAUAAUGAAAAUAAUUCAAAUUUCCGAAGACCUUUUAAGGUGUUACCCUAAACCCCUUAGGGACGUUGACCCUCGAUCGCCAAGGGCUCUGUCUCUUGGACCCUGAUAGGGGCGUGACCCCCUUAACCCCCUACGUUUUGCCGUAUUGGCUUAUAAUUUGAUCUUUUAUAUGCAUGCAUUAUGCGUUCACCAAACAUAUAAUAUAGAGUACAAAUAAUAAGCCUUUUAGUUCACAUGUUAGUUUCAAUUACCCAAAAUGCCCGAUAACACUAAAAUCACCAACAUGCAUCUCAUUAUCUCAAAGUUGUGAAGAAUGAAAAAGGUUAUUUUCGAUCCGGGUCAUAUUGUUGGAUCAACCUUUGAAUAUCAAGAGAAUGACUUAGGAUUAUCUAUAAUUAAAUUAAUAAUCAAUUAAUUUAAAUUAAAAAUAAACCAAUUGAUUUAAGAUUUAUCUAUUAAUUAACAUUUACUUAAAUAUAUUAAAUCAAAUAAGGAUUAUCUAAUUAAAUUAAUCAAAUAAUUUAAUCCUAAUCCUUACCCUCUAAAUUUUCGAAAACAAGGGUAUAAGAUUUAUUCCAAUUUUAAUUAUCUAUAUUUAGGCAAGUAAAAUGAUAAUUAAUAAAAUUUGAAAAACCCUAAUAGCCUACCAUAUUUCAAAAAUACUUGGGGGGGAGGCUAGGGUUUCAAAACCCUAGCCCUAAAUUUCGAAAACUUGGGGAAGGGGGCUAGGGUUUCUUAAACCCUAACCCUAGUCGAAAUUAAUGACCUUUUAAGGUUUAAUUUCUAUAACCCCUAAUUGAUCUAUUCUUUUAUUAUAGUUAUUUAACAGAAAACAAACCAAAUGCUCUAAUACCACUGAUGGGUUUUAGGCAUAACAAACAAACCUAAAACUCUUAAGAGUGCAUGCAACCUAAAACAAGAUCUAUGUUUUCUCUAUUGAACCUAUAACUAAGAACAUCAAAAAGAAACCCUAAGAACCCUAGUAUAUUUUCGAAAAUACUAAAAAAGGUUUAGGAUUUCAUACCUUUUAGUUGUUAUAGCAAACAACUAGAAAUCUCUUUGAAGAUCUCUUGGAAGUAAGCACCACGAGUCUCGAGCCUCUAAUGGAAUCACACCCAACUAUCAAGAGAAAAAAUUAGGAGAGAGGAGGGAAUUUAGUCCAAAGCUUGUGGAGGAAAGGCAUUGAUAAAAUCAAGGGCCAAGAAUCUCUUUAUAUAGUUGAGGAAACUUGGUGCCAUAGCUAGGGUUUAAGGGAUAUGCCCUGGAUCCCUUUGCUUGGUGACCAAACAACACAAUCCCUUUACCUUAGGGUCUUGAACGAAAUCUCCUAGGGUUUCCCAAGAGAUUUUUUGUCCACCUCUUUCAAGAGGUUCUAGAGCCUUCCUUUCUCAAAUAUUAUUAAUAAAUAACAAACAGUCCCUGUACUUUUAAUUAAUCAAAUUAAUCCCAAAAAUAAUUCCAAUUAAUUUUUGAUUAAUUAUUAAUUAAAUAUUACUAUUUAUAAUUAGAGAAAAUGACAAAAAUAGCCAUUUACACUAAUUACAUUACAAAAAUAGCCAAAGAAAACCGAAGUUGCAAAAAUAGCCCUCAAUUUCGCAGAUGGAAUUGCGCCAUCUGCGAAAUGACCAUUCUAUCUGCGAAUGUACAAGCAGCCAAAACACAACUGUGCUUUAGCCGCUUGUACAUUCGUAGGUGUUUUUUUUUUUAAUUUUUUUUCUAUAUAUAUAUUGAAAAUGUAGGGUAAAAUCGCAGAUGGAAUAGCCCCAUCUGCGAUUUACUCUCAUUCCAUCUACAAAUUUGUGAUUUUUUUUUGUUUUAUUUUUUUUAGUUUAACUAUGAAAUCAAUUGGUUUGACUACGAAAUCAUGUUGCUAUAUAAAAAGUUUUGUAGAAAAUUAUCAGUUUGGUUGUUAUUUGUUUAGGAAGUUUCUCUAAAAUUUGUUCUAAAAAAUGAUUGAAUAUUUGGUUUGUCUUGUAACCGGUGGGAGAUGGCAAGUUAAUGGAACUAAUCUGGAAUACGUAUGUCCACAUGGAGGUAUUUCUGAAUUUGCUUUGAUAUUUUCUGAGUAUAUUAGUUAUAGUGAUUUUGUAUCUUUGGUAAGAAGCAAAAUUGGUUUGUUAGACAAAUAUAGAAUUAGUCUUCGUUUUCACCAUCCUGAAUUAAAUUAUUAUAUAGCUAUAGUUGAAGACAUGGAUGUUAGAAUGUUGAUAAACGUAAUCAAAUGUAGUGGAGGAAGGGUUGUGAAAAUGUUUGUGGUGGUUGAUGAAGUUGAGGAGGUUAAUAGGGGUGGUCAAACUAGAAAUCAGUUUGUUGGUAAUUUAUGCAGUUAUAAAGGGAGCAACGAUCUGAUAGGUACUUUCAAUACUCCUAGUGUACCUCAGUUUCACAGUGUUGCUGAAAAUGUUAAUAUUAGCUAUUCACCUAUUCACUAUGUGGAUCAUGAGAAUUACAAGUCUGUUGGUGAUGAUGAUGUUGGUACAUAUCUUAAUGAUGUGGGUGGUCGUUGUGAUGAUGUUGCCGAACAAGAAGUUAAAGUUAUGAAUAGGCGUGUGGUAGAUAAAACUAAAAAGAAAAAAAAUUCAAGUCAAAAAAAUGAAAAAAAUCAUGUUUACGGGCAUUAUGUUGAUGUUGGUGAUGUAUGUUUAGAUAUAACCGAGCUACAAAGUAAUUCCGAUAGAGAUGAGUUGGGUGAUGAAGUUAAAGCUAAGUUUCCCGAUAACCUUUUUCACGGUAUGCCCCCUGUACCAGCAUGGCCAGUUGAUAUUAAUGAAGAUAUCCCAACACAGAUGGUAGACAUGAAUCUUCAAAAGAUUCAAUGUGAGAGUAUAUUUAAGAACAAAGAACUUUUAAAGCGGUGUAUUGGUAAAAAAAUGUCUUCGAGAAGGUUUCCAGACGAGGACAAGUAGAUCCACCAAAUCAAGGUAUGAAGCUGUGUGUGUUUCGAAAAAUUGUUCUUGGUUACUAAGAGCAAAAGCAAUUAAAAAUUCUGAUGGACUUUUCCAAGUGAAUAAAUUUGUUGAUGUACACACAUGUUCUUCAACAUUGUUGCAACCUAAUCAUCGACAAGCAAACAAAUAUGUUUUGGGUGAAUAUGUUGCUGAUGUUUUGGCUGAAGACUAUAGUAGAGUUUAUCGGGGAAAAGAAAUUGUUAAUGAUAUGAAUGCUCAAUUGAAUAUCAAUAUCUCAUACCAUCAGGCAUGGCGUGCGAAGCAAUAUGCAUUGUUGUCGUUAAGGGGUACGAAAGAGGAUUCUUUUACCAAACUUCCGGCGUAUUGUCACAACUUGGCCAAACAUAAUCCGGGUACUGUCACACAUAUUAAAACAGAUGCUGAUGAUCGGUUUGAGUUUUUGUACGUCGCACUCGGUUGCUCGGUUAGUAUUAUCAUGUCCUAAUUUUUUUUUAAUAUUUAUUUUGGUGUAUUUGAAUAGAUAUACAAUGUAUUGUAGGUACGAGCUUUUGUCAAUUUUUGUAAGCCGACCCUAGUAGUAGAUGGAGCUCACCUAAAGGGCGAGUUCAAAGGUACCAUGCUACUUGCAGUUACUAAGGACGGACAAAAUCAAAUAUUACCGGUUGCAUAUGGUAUAUGCAAAAAUGAGUGUACUGAUUCUUGGACAUGGUUUUUUCAAAAACUACGUGAUUGCAUAGGAAAUAUGCAGGAGCUUACAAUUAUAUCUGAUAGGUCUCCAUCUAUAGCAACAUCCGUUGCCAACAUUUUUCCUCACGCUCAUCAUGGAAUAUGUGGUGUCCAUUUGUAUUUCAACAUAGUAUCUAGAUUCGGCAAGAGUAAGACGGUUAAAGGAAUUUUUUGGGAGGCGUGUAGGGCGUACACAGUUGAUGCUUUUGAUGCUGCCAUGGAUGUUAUGAAAAAGACAAAAGAACCAGUAUGGGAGUACUUAAAAAGUAUAAAUCCAGAAACCUGGUCAAGGGCACAUUUUAAAGGGAACCGAUACAAUCUUAUGUCGUCCAACAGUGCGGAGUCUAUAAAUGCAUUAUCUAGACACGCACGUAAGGUGCCAAUACUUAUGUUGAUCGAUUUUUUUCGUGUUACAAUGCAACAAUGGUGGUUUCAAAGACGUAACUUUGCAGGUAUUAAGUAAAUUUUUAAUAUUAAUGUUUUAUUAAUUUUGAUGUUAUUGAUCUUAACUUCUUCAUUUUGGUUGUUUCUUUAGCGGAAGCAACAACAAUACUUACCCCUUAGGCGGAUGAAAUUGUAAAAGAAAACAAGAAAACUUUUAGUAAAUGGGAUGUUCGCAUGAUCUCAAAUACGAAAUGCGAGGUCAAAAAGGGGGCACAAAAUGUGAUUGUUGAUUUUCAACAUAUGACAUGUACNGCACACCUGGCCGCACACACACAUAUAGUGUGUAUUUUGGCCAUACACCCUCUUGUAUAGCCUUAUAAACCCUCAUACAAUCAUAUAUGAUUGUAACACUUCAUUAUAAGUGUUUAGUAGUCCCUAAGGUGGUUCCAAAAUCAUUAUUUCAGUCGUUCAUAACACUAAUUAUAUUCAUAUAUAUGCCAAUAUAUGCUAAAUAGGAUUCGCGUGUGUACUUAAGCCACCACUUGAUGCUUAGCAACUGAUCCAACGUUUUCAUCAGAACCACUCACUACAGGUGAGUUCAUACCCCUUAAUCAAUGUUUUAAACUAUUUUUUAAAUGUUUUAUGGGGGAGGAUACAAGUAGAAUUAUGCUAAUUAUUAUAUCAAUCACAUGUGAUUAAUAAGCAGCAUUCAAAUGAUUGGCUACUCAUUAGCCGUUUUACUAAACAGUUUCCUUCAAAUGUAUUUCAUAAACACUUUAUGUGUCUAAAACUCCUUAUUUCUCUGUACAUUUUACUCUGUAUAUUACUUUUCAAACUUAUUUACAAUUGUGAUUCAAACAAAAGUUUCCUUAUACUAAAGUUGUUUUAUCAAACCCAUGCCUUCAAAACGUUUUAUAAAUUGACAUCAAGUCGAUCUUUUCUUAGAUAAUAAUUAUGUUCAAAGGUUUUACAAAACUUAUUUUAUGCUUUUAUAUUAUAAAUUGCAUGCCUCUAUAUGUAUAGUUAUAUAAGAAAUAUUUAAAAGACUUAGGACGACUAUCCACCCUAUUUCCUUUUCGCGCUUGAGAUGUGGUCUGUGGGGAUAUCGGGUACUCGUCCGAAGGUCAUUUAAAUAUUAGUUAUAUAACAUAUAUACAUAUAUAGUCAUAAAGGUCCUUCCAGUUCAUCCUAUGCCCUUGGGUAGCAAGGGUAUACAUCCAUGUCCAUACGUACCAGUUAGAUUACUAGUAAACUACCAUAGGGGUAGUUUAGGAAGAUACUAGAACCAUUACUAGAACGAAAUAUUAUACAAUGAGCCAGUUCAUUCAUGAGUCUUACUUUCUAGAACAUUACAAUACAUUACUAUACUUACUAGAUAGAGAGCACGUACACUACAGCUAGAACAUUACAGUACCUUACUAUACUAUUACAUAGAUAUGGUCACAUGUACAUGAGUACACUUACAGGAAUUACUAGUACACUUUAUAUGAAUAGAUUCUGUUAUAUAAUCCUUGUUCUUAUCUUUACCUUGUGAUUCAAUCACACAAUCGACAAGAUAAAUUGGAUUUAAUAUCCUAGUACCCAAGGAUACGUUGCGGGACUGACCAUUCCUAGAAUCUCUGUUAGCUACAGAGGUAAAAGCACAUCCACGGAUGUCAACGGUUGAUACCAUUACAGGUAUACUUUUGGAGACUGACUAUUCCUAUACCCAGCUGUUAGCAACAGAGGUAAAUGUACAUCUACGGAUGUCUUCAGUUAACAUUGUUAUUUGCCCGAGUACUAAAGGGUAAUACUAUUACAGUUAGGUCUUGGUAGAAGACUACAAUUAGAACAGUUAGGUCUUGGUAGAAGACUACAUUCAGAACAGUUAGGUCUUGGUAGAAGACUACAUUCAGAGCAGUUAAGUCUUGGUAGAAGACUCCUUUUGUUACUAGUAGGAAUCAUAGGGAUUUCUAGGGUUUUUCAAACGUUUACAGUUGUUUUACAAACAUGUUCAUACUUACAAUUCAUAUACAUUUUCAUACUUACAAUUCAUUUACAUUUUUAAUACUUACAAUUCGUAUACAUACAAAUACUUACAUUUCAAAUACAUACAAGUAUUUUCAUACAAAUUAAGACACUAAAAUUACUUAUGAUCUCACCAGCUUUAAAACUGAUACUCUCUUUCAAAAUUACUUGUAUCCUCAGGUCAUCAUAGACAGGUACCGAUGCAAGGAGAAAGGAAGAUGGAGCUUGUUCAAGACUCAUUUUUCAUUUUGAUUUAUGCUUUAGUGUUUAUCAAAAUUUGACAGAACACACUUGUAUCAAAAUUAUAUUAUUAAUGCAAUGGAUGAUGUUGUUGCUUGUUUACUACUUUUCAUUGUUGUGAUACUGUACAUGACGUCCUCCGCCCCAGAACGUUUCCACCGUUCAAUGGUUUUGGGGUGUGACAGUAGAAUCUAAAAAACAGUAUUUGAAUAGCUGUAUUGGUUGUUUAGUAAACUAUUUAUUUAACUUAAUGUCAAUUUAUAGUAGUUUCUACACAAAAUCGCAGUCCAAUCUUCUAAUAUGUCUGCAAUUCAUAGUCAAAAUUAACUGACGAAUGCAGUGUACUAUACUUAUAACACAACAGAUCAUUGUUCGAGUUGACAAAUCAUCCCCCGUCGAAUGACAACACAAUACAUUGCUACUUGAAUUGACAAGUCAUUGCACCGGGAAAAUAAGGAGUCGUUAUAAAUAGAUUUUAAUAUCCGUUGUAAUUGUAUCGUAUUACUUCCUCACUUGCAAUUAUUGACUCACCACAUAUAUGGAGGAACGAAGAGGAGGUCACUUUGGUUCAAGCUUGGAUUAUAACUGUAGAGGGGGAUUUUCCACCGGGUCCCCCACAAGUUCGUGCUGGAUCAUUUUGGUCUCGUGUCUGUCAUUUGUUUCACCAUUUAAUGGGGCGUACUCAAUAUCGAAGAAGAAGAGAUGUCAAAGCGAAGUUUCUGGAUUUGAAAAUAAAGGUGAAACAAUUUCAACGUAUUUAUAACGAGUUGGAUAAUGAACAUGCAAAUACGGAUGAAGACAUUCUACGGCAGGUGGCUUUGGAACUAUACCGUUUUGAAUAUGAUGGUAGCGAGUUUACCCACUUAGAUGCAUGAAAUCUUUUAAAGAAUGUCCCUUAUUUUUAAUAUGCAUGUUGGUUAAGUUAAUUGUUUUUCGUUAUUUUAGUUGCUUGUUGUUGUAUGUGUGUUUUGUUACUAUUUAAUAAAUGUCCAUUUCUUUUAAUGUAUGUUGUUUCCUCAAUCGCCAAUACAUAAUACGACAUAAAAUAAAUAACUAAUAUAUAAUACGCCAUAAAAUAUAAAUGGGGUACAUAAGUAACUAAUACAUAAUCCGACAUAAAAUAUAAACAGGGUACAGGAAUAACUAAUACGUAACACGACACUAAAAUAAAAACGGGGUACAUAAAAAACUAAUACAUAAUACUACAUAAAAUAUAAAGGUGCUACAUGAAUAACUACUGCAUUGAGGGAGGUAACAGGACCAUCGUUUCAUUUGGUAUUUCCCAAUGCACAUGUGAUGGUAUAGUAUUCACCAACUCAGAUCCAUAUGCAAGUCGAUACAAAAAAUUAGUGAACUUGUAAUCAACCAUUCUGUGAAUGGAUUCAUAUGUAUGGGUUCUUAGACAUGCUAUAGCGUGGCCACAUGGUAUACCGCCUUUUUGCCAUUUACCACAAGUACAUACCCUUCGUUCAAGUUGUACGUUGGUGGUGGCAAAAUUGUCAUCGACUUCAAAUGUAUCCCCAUACAAACGUCUUGCCUUCCAAUUAAAAGACUUGUUGAGACGUUUUUGAACCUUACUCUCAACGUAAGGGUUCAACCCACCAGACAACCUCCUUGUAAAAUUUGAUAUUUUAAUAAAAAUAAUAGCACAAUAAAAAAACUAAAUAUAACAAUCUCCCUUACCCGCCACUUCAGCCCAUUCACCAUACUUUGAUUGUAUUGACGUAGUGAUUAACUCAAUUAUCGUUGUUAUAGGAAACUCACGUAUGGAUAUAAUUUGCGAAAUUUCAGGGACGUCAAUCGAUUUAACAUUGUAACGUACUUUUGGGAAAAAUGCUCGUGUCCAUUUUGAAAUCGGUAUAUCGUCAAGCCAGUAAAUUGGACUCCUAAGCAAGGUGCAGAAAGGUGGUUUCCUACAUGUACUUUGCAACCUUUCCAAACACAAGUAAAAAUCAUCAACGCUAUAUGCAUUGCAUGACUUCCAAAACAACGAUUCGACUUCCGUAUUGUUAUGUCCGACAGACUCACGUAUCUUUCGAGCUAUAUCUUUAGGACAAUAUCCAUGAUAGGAAUCCGGGUAGGCACUCUGAACACCAAAGUCUAUUUUAUCACAUAGGUUGCUUAUGAAACCAACCUCUAUGUCCUCACCUAAACAAUCUUUUAACCUCAUCAUGAACCAUCUCCAUGAUUCUUCACACUCUAAGGUUCCCAAACCAACUGCUAAGAGUAGUGGUUCAUGAUUUCCAUCUAAAACCACUACGAAGUACAUUGUUGUCAGAUUGCUCCCAAGAAGGGGUAAAUAACCCACAUAUAUCAACGGCAUCAUGCACCUAAGGAAGGUACGAAUCUACAUAAAAAAAAACACAUAUUAGUGAUAAGUAAAAAGUAAUCGAGAUACGUUACCAUGAAAUAUUAUAUAACUCAAUAAAAGAAGUAUGUUAUACCACGCAACCUAAAGCCACAAAACAGAAUUGAAAGCGGUUGGUAUCGGUUUUCUUAAUGGCUGUGAAGGUAUUAGGAUUUGUUAUUUGAAGGUUAUGCAAGAAUAUUGGUAGCUGAGAAAAGCUUCUUUCGGUGUAAGUACUCAUUUUCAAAACCAAUGAAAGUGUUUUACAAUCAUCACACAAAUGCAAUAUCACACAAAUGCAAUUAUAAAUAGAAAAUAUUGUAUCUCUACUGUUCAAAAUUCAUAGUUUAACUUUUAAAUUCAUAGUCAAACCAGUUCAUUUCAUAGUCAAAUUUCACUGACCGGCAUGACAAUACUACAGAAUGUACUUGUCUGCAAUUCAUAGUUCAACUUUUUAAAUUCAUAGUCAAACCAAUUCAUUUCAUAGUCAAAAAUCACUGACCGACAUGACAAUACUACAGAAUGUACUAGACUACAGUUCAUAGUUCAACUUUUUAAAUUCAUAGUCAAACCAAUUCAUUUCAUAGUCAAAAAUCACUGACCGACAUGACAAUACUACAGAAUGUACUAGACUACAGUUCAUAGUUCAACUUUUUAAAUUCAUAGUCAAACCAAUUCAUUUCAUAGUCAAAAAGAAUUGUCUGUAAUAUGAUUUCUUCUGUAAAUGGGUGUCACUCAUUAUGAAAAAUUUAACUGGGAAAGUAACUCGAUUUAAAAGAAAAAUAAGGCUAAUGGCAUACUGUAAUUGCGGAGGAGAACGUAUUGUUAGGAUUUCGGGUACAACUAAAAACCCAGGAAGAUUGUUUUACGCUUGCCCAUAUUUGGUAUCAUGUUGUUAACGUCAUUUAAAUUUAAACCCUCGUGUUUACAUGACAAAAAUUUAUUUUCUUACUGUCAAUGUUAAAUUUAACAGGGACCAAAAUGCGGGUUUAUCAGUUGGGUUGAUGAAGAGAAGGACCAAUCAUCUAUAGUAAUAGCUAAAGUAGCUAACUCUAAUAAGCUCUUUCAAUCAGAAAAUAAGAAGUUAAAGAUAGCAUUGGUUUGUAGUUGGGUGUUGUUUGUAACACGCGUAGAUCAGGGCUAGUCAAUUUAUAGACGAUAGGCGUCAAAAAUGAAUUUUUGAUGAAAGAUUAUUUAUAAUAAAUAAUCUUAACUAAGUUGUAGUAUAUGUUACAAGGAUUCUAUACAUAUAAAGAACACCGAAAUCCGAGUUAUAACGAAGAAGUUAUGGUCUGUCGAAGUUUCGCGACAGAACCGGCACGGCACAGUGCGACGUAAAAAAUGAAUUUACGUUAGAGUGAUAUUUAGCCUUAGCAAUCUAAAUGAAAGUCGUAGAAUACGUUAAACCAUGAGCGUGCAUAAAAAGAACGCCCAAAUCUGACUUCGUAUGAGGAAGUUAUGAUUUUUCGAAGUUUCGACUUAGCGGUAUGCAGUCCGAAUACUUGAUUUGAAACCGAGCGGUUUUUAGCCAAAACAAUCUAAAUGAGAACCGAAUAUCUCAUUAAUUGUAGUAAAACGAUAAAAAGAUAGGCGAAAACGGACGUCGGAUGAAGAAGUUAUGAUUUUAUAACGGAGUUUUCCUGUCCCGGCCUACUAAAAAUAAAUAAUAAAAAUAAAGUCAAAAUUAGCCGGCGGAGUCUAAACGAAAGUUGUAGAUCGUAGUCUCACCUACGCGUAGAUAUAAAGAACGUCGAAAACGGAGUUCGUAUGAGGAAGAUAUGAAUUUUUGAAGUUUAUUAAAUAUUUUCGAUAUUUAAUUUAAAUAUAUAUUGACCGAUAUUAUCCGAAGGGGGGGAGUCAGCGACCUUAUUGUCAUUACGCCCAGCGUAAUCUCAAGUUACGCCCAGCGUAAUUCGACCUUCCAGCCCCUAUAAAAGGGUGUCGAGGGCAGCCGAGUAGUUUGCUCAUUUCUUCCAUUUUUCUCGCGUUUUUGCAUCGUUUUUCGUGCAAGAAUUAUCCCGAAGCCCCGGUAUCAUUCCCGAGCCCCGAAGCAAGUCCCGAGGCCCCGAAGAUCCCGAGAAGUGCAAUUCCCGAGCCGAAGCUCUAUCCGCGAGGAGUCCGGUUUUUGUGAAGAUCUUUCAGAUCUGCCGAAGAAUACUACUUCUACAAGCCGUAGUGUUGUUCGAUCAUCUUCUAAUCAAGUGAGUGUGUGAUUACUUUCUUCUAACGCAUAAAUAUUAAGUAUUUGCUAUGAAAUACAUGCUAUGUGUAUAAUAUAAAGUUGUUUAUAUGUGUGGGUGUAUAGUCCAUUUCAUAAACACGAUUUUAAUACAAGUAUUGUUUGAAUGUAUUAAAUAUAUGUUUGGUGUGAAUGUGUAGUUACCUUCUUCUAACACAUAAAUAUGAAGUAUUUUCUAUGAAAUACGUGCUAUGUGUUUAUAUAUUAUUUGUCUAUUUGAGAUGGACGUGGAAUUGAUGUUGUAUACAAGUGUUAAAUGAUUUAAACUGUGUAAGUAUUUAUAUCUACGAAAAUGUUGGGUAGAACUUGGGUAGAUGGGAUAGUUGGUGAUUAUGGAGUUAGCGCCUAUUGUAUAAACCUUGACGACUAUGGAGUCAGCGCACGUUGAGUAAACCUUGGCGACUAUGGAGUUAGCGCUUGUUAAGUGAACCUUGGCGACUAUGGAGUUAGCGCUUGUUAAGUGAAUCUUGGUGACUAUGGAGUUAGCGCAUGUUAAGUGAUCCUUGGUGACUAUGGAGUUAGCGCCGCUUGAGUAAACCCCGGCGACUAUGGAGUUAGCGUCUGAUAACUAUGGAUUUGGUACCUGAUAGAUAAACUUUGGCAGCAAUGGACUUCGUUUCAAUUCCUUAGGUAAAUUCUUAGGAAUGAAUGAAUGAAGGAUAAUGGANUGAAUUCAUAGUCAAACCAGUUCAUUUCAUAGUAAAAAAGAAUUGUCUGUAAUAUGAUUUCUUCUAUAAAUGGGUGUCACUCAGUAUGAAAAAUUUAACUGAGAAAGUAACUCCGAUUUAAAAGAAAAAGAAGGCUAAUGGCAUACUGCAAUUGCGGAGGAGAACGUAUCGUUAGGAUUUCGGGUACAGCUAAAAACCCAGGAAGAUUGUUUUACGCUUGCCCAUAUUUGGUAUCAUGUUGUUAACGUCAUUCAAAUUUAAACCCUCGUGUUUACAUGACAAAAAUUUAUUUUCUUACUGUCAAUAUUAAAUUUAACAGGGACCAAAAUGCGGGUUUAUCAGUUGGGUUGAUGAAGAGAAGGACCAAUCAUCUAUGGUAAUAGCUAAAGUAGCUAACUCUAAUAAGCUCUUUCAAUCAGAAAAUAAGAAGUUAAAGAUAGCGUUGGUUUGUAGUUGGGUGUUGUUCUUGGCAGUUCUUGUUUACAAGUUGUAAGCUUUUUAAUAUUGUUUUUAUGGUUUUGAAGUUGUUAGGUCAAUAAAUUGUUGUAUUUAUACUUAUGUUUAGAACAGUGUACUUGUAACGUUAAAACAAAUGUUGUAGUCGUUCUUAUGUUGUAAAUAUUGAUAAAUUAUUAGUAGGUCAUUAAUUUGUUGUAAUUGUCGUAACGUUAAAUUUUUUUCUAUCCGUUGACGAAACUGUAAAAAUAAACUAAUAAUCAAAUCCAACAUUAAUUUAGAUAUACAAUUAUAUAAUCCAACUACAUAGGACCAAGACUAGACCCCCAAAAAAAUUUUGUCAUCCGUUGACGGAACUCUAAAGCUGCGUUCUUUGGGUCAAUAAGAACACGUAUUGGUUGACCUGAAACGAAUUGCUCCAUAAACAUACAAACAAAAACACCGCAAUCUCCCAAAUGACUACUUUGUUGGGGAACAUUUUCUUCAUAAAUGAAUUGCAUAUUCAAUGAAAUCCUUCGGAUGUUCCUCCAGGCCCAAUACCUAAUCUUGUCCAAAUAAUUUGCCACCCGACGUUCAAAUUUGGAAAAGAUUCCUUCGGAUUGGAAUUUUUCAUAAGCACCUCUACCAAGACUGUCAUAAAUAUGCACUUCCAUUGACGCUAAUCGUAGUUCCCCAAAUAGCCAAUGAUUAGGGGAUGAAUGAAUCGGCAAUAAGACCUGUAUAAGGAUCAGAAAAUAAAAUUAUGUUUAUUUACAUCACAAUACAAAAACAUNUCAUUUUGUCUUCCAAACGAUCCUUUUUUACCAUAAUGUGUAUCAACUGCUCAUCCUUCUCAGCAAGCCAUUUUUCAGUCGUUUUGAUUGCCUUCUUACUCUUUUUUAUCCAAUCUUUAUGCUCUUUGAUUUUGUUUUUAUUGAGGUCUAUCCAUUCUUGAGCUUGUUUGCAUUCCGAUGCAAUAUCAUUAGCAAGUUGAGUGAGAAGUCGGGAUGAAUCUUUGUCCUCUUCUUGUUGUUCUUCAGCCUUCUUCAAUUCUUCAAAAUUUUCAUGUGACAUAUAUGGCCCGACUGAAGAGGGUGUAAAAAAAGGGUCUACCGAAUCACAGUAGUAACAAUCUACUUCAUUGCAUGAGCAAACUUCGAAUUUGUGUGAGGAACUCAUAAUAAAGUCGACAUUGUAAUAAACUUGUGCUAUAAGUGGUAUUUAUACAUACUAGACAGGAAUGACAAGUCCAACUUUGAAAUGACUAAACAGUAAUGACAAGCCACUGCAGUAACCUGCAAAUCGUAGUGGAACCCUUAAGUGACAAGACAUAAAUGACAAUUUGACAUGAUAAAUCACCGCAUAAAGCUGAAAAUCGUAGUCCAAAUGUAACCAUUUCAUAGUCAAAGUUUUAAUUCAUAGUCCUGUAUUUAUUUAUAUAAAUAGAUGUUUAAGAUCUAAAAACCAAACACCCAAAUCACCUAAACAAAACGAACUCCAAUUAUUAGAAAUGUUGUCGAAUGCAGCAAGUUCUUCGAAUGAAGUACCUGGUUCCAAUUCUGAAAGGCCAUGGACGACAAACGAGGUGUUAGUUCUUACACGAUGCUGGCUAAGUGUUAAGGAUGGUGUAUCGUUACUUGCUCCCCCGCAUUGCCUAAUUGGUGAUGAAUGGACUCGCAUAACAUCUUUGUUUAACCAUGAGAUGGGAGAAGGACAACAAAGAGAAAAAUCAGAUUUUGUUACUAAGUGGAUGGAUGUAAAGGAAGAAGUGACAUGGUUCAAUCGAGCAUGUAAUUAUGCGAAAAGUAACAAUGUUCGUUAUCGGAACGAAGAAGAGUUCUUGGAAGUUGUUACAGAUUUUUACAUCUGUGAGCAUGACGGCAGAGUUCUUGGAAGUUGUUACAGAUUCUUGGAAGUUGUUACAGAUUGUUACAGAUGUUUCAAUCUACUAAAAACAAAAUAUAAAUUAAUGUAAGUAUAAGAACCUCUUUAACUUCACUAUAAUCAUUUACAUCAAACAUAUCAUCAUCAAAUUUGUUCCCCGCAUAGUCAUUCCUCUCCUCCAACACCUACAUUAAAAAUAAAACUUUAUACUUAAUAACGAAAGACACAUUAAAAAGUAAUUAUUAAAAUCGUAAAGGUAAUAUCUAUAACAACCUUGUCGUCUUCAAUAUCACCAAAAAUAUUUUCAGUUGUAUUGUUUUUAUUCAUCACUUCAUCUUGUACAACCUAUAUUUUCAAAUAUAAAAUAUGAACACAGGUAUUCAUAUAUGUUAAUAAAAUUUAAAAAAUAAUGUAGCGUGUAACUAACCUGGUCAUCAUAUUUUCUUUGUGACACUAUAGGAUCAUCAAAAGUAAUGUCAUUCCAAAAUUGUUCAGUAUUCACUUCUUUAACAAAAACAUCUGUAGGUUGUCGGUUCAUAAACACAUGCUGCUCCAGUGCAUGUAGCCGUUUCAACACAUCGUCUAGGUUGUGUUUCUCACUGCCCCUACCUCUACCAUGAGAGCAACCACUGGACGAUAUACUAGACGAAGAUUCGUCUUGUCUCCUAAAAUGGUCCCACUGAAGAUGNCUGGUUUCCCUUCACCAUAUACAUACUCUUGAAAUGACAUAUAAUAACAAGAUGUCAUCUCACCAUCACUCGGUAACAUGUUUUGUCUUGGUGUUUGCCCCUCCUAAAAAAUCAAACAUAUUAAAAAUGCAUAUAAAAGUAUAAUAAUCAAGUUUAUUAAUAAUAAACGAAAAAUUUAUAAACCUGUAUCUUUGAAAAAAUCUUGUUCACGUCAACCCAUUUCAAUUUUUUUGUUCCACUCCAUCGUUUCAUCCGAGGCAUGUCUUUAUUUUUUCUCAAUACAAAUCCACAUGUACGAACAGCCAGAAUCAUCUCAUAUAUCUAUAUCUAUAAUUUUUUACAAUUACAGUAAUUAAAGUUAAAAUUAAAAUAAAAAACAUAACAAUAAAACCAUUUAAAUAUAAGAAAAUUUGUAUACCCUUAUUGGAGCCGUAAAUCCUGAGACGGAGUACUUUAAAGUUUGACGACGCUCAGUAAGUGAUAAAUAAUUAUUUAUUUUGUUUCAUGUAUCCUCAAGGUCAACAUAAGUAAAAUCCCAAAGAUAGCUACCCUCAAGCGAAACUAGCAAAACAAAAAAACAAAAUUGGUUUUUAUAUAAAUUAUAACUUUAAUAAAAUAAAACUUUUAACGUAAACAAAAUAUACUUGUUCCAGAGAUCCAAAUUCUCAGCUAAAAAAAAAAACAAUCUUGUGGCACCCGAUCAUUAAUUUCUUUUCCCAAAAAACCUUCACACAAAAUGUAUAUCAAACAUGCUCUAACUGCAUCAACGUCGUCAACUUCUAAGAAUGUUAGAUUUAAAAUUAAACGUUUCAGGUCGUCGAUUUUCACCGAACUAUUGGUAUGGUCCGGAAAUAGCCGCUCACGCAAUAAACAUCUUUUUUUUUACUAGUUAAUAAUUUUUCCAACGCUUUUUUCCCAAUGUUUUUUGGAUACUCCCCAAAAUUGAAGCCGAUUAUCAAACAAAACUCUUCCGGCCCAUAAACCAUUUUCGUAUUGCCUACUCUAAAAUAUAAUCGUUUUAUUCCAUCUGGAGAUAAAACAGGGUCCGGCCGGAUCUGAUGAAGGAACAUUUUAUGGAACAACAAUGUGUCCCCUUAUAAACGAGGGACAUCCAUAAAAUAACCAAAUACAGUAUCUCUGAAAAUGACACGCCUGACACCAUCUAAAACUUCAAAUACCCAUAUAUUACCGCCCGAGCCUUUUAAGUUCACAAUUGCUUUCAUAUUGAUAAAACUAAAAUCAUGCUGCAAAAAAAACACAAAAACAAAUUAGAGAACUAAAAAAUAUUUUGUUUUUAAAAUAUAUGAUUAUGAACUGCAAUAAGUUUAUAAACAAUAAUAAUUUUAGUAAUGCAAAUACAAAUUCUUAAUUAAUAAUUUAUAUAUUUACGAUAAAAAACAAUAACAAACACAUAUAUAAACAAUUUUCCAAGUUAUAUAACAAAUAUAUUUACGAUAAAAAAACAAUAUCAUACAUAAUUAUAUAAACAUUUUAUUAAACAAAUUUUCAACUUAAACGACAAAUAUAUAAACAAUUUUUAUCUUUCUAAUUAUAUAAACUAACAUUUUAUAACCAUAUAAACAAACAAUUUUUCAAAUAAAACGACAACCAAAUUAACAAUUUUGCAAGUUAUACGACAAAUAUAUACAAAUUUUCAACUUAUACGACAAAUACAAACAAUUUCUAACAAUAUAUAUACGACAAAUUUUCAACUUAUACAAAUGUUAUACUUAUACGACAAAUAUAUAUACAAACGACUAUUUUGCACAUACUGUAAUUUAACUAUUUUUCACUUUAUAUAAACAAUUAUACGAUAAGAAUAUACAAGUUUUCAAGUUAUACAACAACUAAACAAACAACAAAAAUAACAAAUUGUAAACAUUAUCUACGCAGUCUCUACUUGUACAUUCAAACAACCACUAACAAAAUAGCAUUUAAAGUUCAAGUAUACUAAAGAAAUAUUAAAACUAUCAAACACAACAAAAUUACCCUUUCACAAACUUUAUAAUUUCUAUUUUUUUUACACUAAAUAAUAUAAUAAAUGAUAAAAUAAUAAAUAGUUAAAACAUUAAAAGAGUUAAAAUCUAACCAUAUUUGCGGGAUUGUUGACAUAAUCCUUCAUUUUCUUCAAAAACUAGCCAAAAUCGCGAGAAUAGCCCACAGAUAAAGAGAGUUUUUGUGUAGAGAAGGGUGAAAAAUGGAGAAAAAAACGUUUAUAUAGUCAAAACUAGGGGAAAUCGCAGAUGGAAUACUCAUUUCGCAGAUGGAAUGGUCAUUUCGCAGAUGGGGCAAUUCCAUCUGCGAAAUUGUGGGCUAUUUUUGCAAUUUCGAUUUUUUUGGCUAUUUUUGUAAUGUAAUUAGUAUAAAUAGCUAUUUUUGUCAUUUUCUCUUAUAAUUAAUAUACUAUUAUCAUAAUAUAUUAAUAAAUUAUUUAUUUCAAUUUAUUAAUCAAAUAAUAAAUCAGUCUCUCUCCAAAAGUCAUCAUGUCCAAUUGUUGGGUUUGAGGGCAACCCAAAAGGACCGUGCUACUAUCAAUUCAAGUAUAUAACAAUUAUAGUUAUGGUCUUAGACACCUAAUCCAACAUAUAUAUGGGCCCCACCCUGGGGUAUCUUUCAACCCAAUAAUACAAUAGUGGGCCCCGCUUUGGGGUCUAUUUCAACCCGAACAUACGAUAGUGGGCGCCGCCAUGGGGUAUAUUUCAACCCAACAUACAAACACAUAUAAGCUAUCAUCCGAGAUACAUAAUAAUGGGUCGACAUUGGUGCCUUCAGCUCAUUGAUACAAUUAGAAAACUCACCUUACAGACGAGUAAAAAUUGAAACAACACACUGCCCCAAAACCAACUCUACCGGUCACUUUACAAAUAACAGUGACCAAAUCUUAGAUUACAGGAUCAAAAUACUCGAAAUACCCCUAAGUCAAACUUGAUCAAAAUCCUGGUCAAAGUCAAAAGUCAAUUGGGUUAAAUCCAUUGGACAAAAAUCCUAAUAUAAGGUCUUACGUCGUGACUAUUCCUUGGUCACAUCGUGAGAGUCGACCAAGUACAAUUCCAACAACUCGUUCCAGGCUCAGCAACUCGUUGUCACUUCGUGAGACCUUAUGUCUCAUAUCGUAACUUCAGUCUGCAUCCAAAAAUCAAUGUUUUAAGUCCUUAUUCCGUUAAGAUAUUGAAUCCAUUUCAUCCAGAAGCUAAAGGGGACCCCUAAGGUCCAUAAAAGUGUUUGCUUUAUGGCCAUGCAUGCACAAUGCAUGACCCAACAUAUUCUAGGUCAAAAAGUGGAAAAUAUUCAUAAAACUCAUGCAUGGCUCUUAUACCACACUAACUUCUAGGUCUAGACAAUAUGAUGAUCAAAGAACCUUUGGAAUCUAUAAAGUAGCUAACUUUAUGGAUUUACUUCACUCAAGCAUGCUUAACAUGAAGAAAUAUGGAUAGAAUCCUAGAUCUACCCAUAAUAUGCAAUAAAGCUUGAAGUUUUGAUACUUACAAAGGUACAACAACAAGAAAAGAUGAUGAUGAUGAUGAUACUUUGUCCACUCCACCACUAGAACACUUCUUUCCUCUUAUUUUCUCAUUAUUUAAGCUAGAAAGUGCACCAAAAUGACUACGGGCUUCAAGAAUGAUUGAUAUCAAGGUUUAUGGAGGCUCAGAGUGUGAAGGAGGUUGAGGGUGAACAACCCUAGCCCUCUCAUUUCAUUAAAUACCAAAAAUAUAGGGUUUUGGUUAUUAGUCCACUCUCACGUUGUGAGCAACACGGGCUCACGUCGUGAGAAUCAAAGGAAGCAGGUCAACAAGUCAACACUGCCUCACGACGUGAGAGACAUUGCUCACAUCGUGAUUACAUCAAAAUGCUAAAGAAAACCUCGAAAUCAUGUACCUCAAAACUGAAUGUUACAGAAUAAAGUUUUAGGUUUAAUGAAAUAAUUUUUUUUGAUAAGUCGGGGAAGAGUAACUUAUCCAGAAUGACUUUUCUCAGGUGUGAGACUGCUAUAAGUUGUUUAAAAAAAAUAUUAUCUAAACUUUCUUUAUAACUUAUAUCGGUUCCAUACUGAUUAUAAAUUAAAAGUUCAUUUUUAAAACUUUCUUAGACAUCUUCUUAAUAUUCGUGUCAAAUAAAACAUAAGGAGUACAAAACAAAAUUUACACUUGGUUCUAGAGUUAAUAAGCAAAGGUUAAAAAUAAAAGGAAGGAAGAAGAAGGAACAUAAAAGAAGUGGGAGGGAAUUCAUACUUAUAAGGUUAAACCAGAGCGGAUAAAUUUCAAGAGAAAAAUAUAUAUUCUUUCUUUUUAUUCUUUUUUCGCUCACCUCUUUAAAAAAUCGAAAACACACCUUUUUACCUUUUCCUUAAAAAGAAACUCAAGAACACACAUUUUCUUCUAUUUUAUUCCACUUUUUUCUUUAAGUGAAAAUAGAGCAAAAUAGAGCAACAAGGUUUUCAUAACUUUACAGAUCUACCCUGCUAUUGCACGAAUGACGAGAUUUUUAAAGGGUUGAUAAAUAAUCACAACGAUGACAAAAUGGGGAAGGGAGGGGGGGUUGAUAUAAUAUUUCAAUCAAGUGUUUAACAUCUAUUAAGAAUAUCAUUGUUCUAAAAGGUGUAUCAUGACACGUCAAUAUUUGUGAUGACGGCAACAUGUGACUCUAGCUUCGCGAAUCGCAACAAUGGUGUUAUCUGGGCCUAGUGUGCCCAAAUGAUGGAGGGGCGUGCUAAGGCAAUAGUUUUUUCAAGAUGUUUUUUUUUUCCUUAUUCAACGAUAAACCCUUGAGUUUUGUUAAUUUAUUAUUAGUAGUUGUUGAUAUAAUAUUUUUUAAAUAUAAUAUAUUUGAUAUAACUAUAUAAUUGUAUGAUCUUUCUUUUUGUCUAUUCGAUUUGUUCAACGUAAUUGAGUAAUAUUAGAAUAUAUAAAAAUACCGACUUAAGUCGUAUUUUAAGAAACAAUAUGACACCACGUGACUCGUAAACAUUACAUUUCACCUCACACAUUUAAAACCUUGUAAAAUACUCAUUUCGUCCAAAAAUUAUAGUCCAUAUUUCCUUUUUGGUUUGUCCCAAAAUAAUAGUCAAUUUCUAAAAAUAAAUAACAUUUUUACCAAAAUACUCCCUCAUUAUUACUUAACCAACUAAGUAUUUAAUGGAACAUUAAAUGCAAAGUAAGGACAAAACUUUCAUUUUAUUAUAUAAAGUUAGUGAUAAUUAAUGCUUUUCUUAAUCUGUGUGUUUUUUGUCUGUGGACAAUAAUAUUGGGACGGAGGGAGUAUAACGUAUAUUGGGUUUUUGCAACUUGCAAAAUGGAAACGAUUGGUCUUCCACUGUAAGAUUUUUUUUCUUUUUGACAUAUAUUGUUUAACAUCCCGAUUUUCAACUCAAAAUUUUCCCUUUUUAUUUAUUAAAAUAUAUCAGAGUAUUAUUACAUUGUGCGGAAACAUGUUGCGAAUGUGCGUGUGUACAACUAAGCCUUGCACUUCUUACGAAUCAUUUGAAGUUCUUGAAAAACAUUUAUAUUCAACUAGGUAAGCACGAAGAUUAGUGAGUUUCCUAAAAUGUCAUAUACCACAAUAGAUAUGUAUAUGCAUAUAUCGAGUAUCUAGGCUCAUAAUCGCUUAAGUUCUUAUUGUCAUCACCUCACCUUUUGAGUAUCUAGGCUCACAAUCGCUUAAGUUGCUAUUGCCCUUUUCUAGGCUCACAACCACUUAAGUUGUUAUUGCCAUUAACUCACCCCUUUGCCUUCAGCAUAAAGCUGAUUCGCUACCUUGACUAUCCACAUAACANNNNNNNNNUAUAGCAAGCAGAUAAAUAGUCCACAAACAUGAAACUAACUAAACUAAUCUAAUUGCCUAAUAACAUACUGCAGCCACCUCCAACUAACUUAAGCAUAACAUUAGUCCCAAAGAUACUAUACUACCAACAUAUCCUACUGGUUCUUAUAUCCUAACAUACAUGGAUAUAUAUUGUAGUACACAAUAUAGUGAGGUAACUCACCUGGACAAUUACUUGGAAGUUUGACAACUAUCUAUGGAUAUAUAUUGUAGUACACAAUAUAGUGAGGUAACUCACCUAGACAAUUACUUGGAAGAUUGACAACUAUCUGGGCGAUUCUACUGACGAUUCAACUGGAAGAUAGUGUGCCAAACAAGUAUUAACCUAUAAUAUUUUAUCCUAUUAAUUUGUAUAAUGAUCUAGUAAUGAAAACUAGAUUCUUCACUAAUCCCAAUGAAUACCGAAUGUUCUAUCAAAUAAGGAUCAUGCAGGUCGGUCAAUCUGGAGGCAUGAUCAUUUCGGAGUAUAGUCUUUCUGAAAUCCAACAACCAAGCCAACGUCACCAUUCUAGAUACCUCUCUCGUAAGUAAAUAAAUCAGUAUUAUAGCCGGAAUUAAUGAUAAAUCUUAUUUAUAUAUUCAUAACAACAACAAUGAAUAUAAAUAUAAGUUACACUAAGAAUAUAAAUAUGUGUAACAAUCGACGAGAUCUACAACUUUCAUAUGCGUAACAACAACAAAUAUAAAUAUGCGUAACAAUCAACGAGAUCUACAACUUUCAUUUAGACUUCUCAACUAAUUUUGACUUUAUUUUUAAAGUUGUAUUUUUACCAGACUUAGACUGUUAACAACUGUAUAAAAAUCAUAACCAUCUCAUAUGAAUGUUAUCGACUGCCUUUAUAUCGAAGAAAUCAUAUGGACGAGAUCUUCAAUUCUUGUUUAGAUUGUUUUUCCUAACAAUCGACCGAUCUCUAUUUCAGUUUCUGUGUAGUACACUGUUGCACUGAAGUUUCUAAAAAUCAUAAUUUCCUCUUAUGAAGUCAGAUUCAAACGUUUUCUCUACGUAUGCUCUCGGUUUUGUGAUUACUAUGACUUUUGUCAGGCUUCUAUUAAAGACGUCUAUUUAUGUGACUGAUCUUUUAUACUAUAAGAUGAAAAUAGGUUGGUACAUAUUGUGGACCAUUCCAAAAUUCUGUCUCCACACAUUUUCAUACAUAAGUGAAUAACUAUUUAGAUCACAAGUCCAAAAUGACAAUAUGUUCUAACUUUUUAACGGUCUUAAGCCCAACAAUAAACCUACUACCAUGUAACCAUAACAUGAGUCCAAUACAAUAAAAUAAGCCCAUCAUUUUUUUGGGGCUAAUGCACAUCUUCUGUUAAAAAAACACAUAUUUUCAAACGUUAGACCAAAGAGCCAUUACUAGAUCCAACACUGAGUAAUCUUUGUCCAUAAUGCUGACCAACCUAUAUGAAUAAGCAGUUCCAGUAAUUAGGACCAAAAUGUGUAAUGGCCAAAAAAAAAACUAAAAUGGGUCCAACACAGGAAGUAGGCUCAAACUGCAUUAGUCCAAUACAUAAGUUAAAUGAACUUAAAAUAUUAUUUUGGAUAAAAAAUAUACUACUUAUCAAUCAUACUUAUUCUUUUAAAUAUGUUGGCUUUAAAGAAUGUUAAUCAUCUAGAUUAUCCAAAUUACUCAUUUUCAAACCAUCAAACCUAAAUGUCGUCCUAUAGUAAUAUGUACUUCAAAUCACAUUUAUUCGUAAUUUUCAUUCUAGACAUUUUUUUCUUUCUAAUUUCUCAGAAAAAUGCAUUUUUAACAUCAUGUUGAUACAAUUUAAAGUCUCAUUAAAAUUCCUUGAGCUAUUCACAUCCAAAUAUCAAAUUUCUAGUCCAAAUACUAAAAUCAUAAUCAUAAUAAUAAUAAUAAUAAUAAUAAUAAUAAUGCCAAAUCAUAAAAUAAAUGGCAUAUAAUGUGCUAGCUCAUAAAAAAAUGAGAGUUUGUUGUGUUGUCCUAAAAACCCAAUGAUCUUUUAUAGGAGGUCAAAAUGGUUGAGUUGAAAAUAAAGCCAAAAAAUUGUUGAUUUAUUUUAGAUUGAAAAAAAAUCAUAUNNNNNNNNNNNNNNNNNNNNNNNNNNNNNNNNNNNNNNNNNNNNNNNNNNNNNNNNNNNNNNNNNNNNNNNNNNNNNNNNNNNNNNNNNCAAUUGGUAAAAUAAAUAGAGAAAAUCAAAAAAUAAUAAUAAUAAAUUCCACAUGUUAUUAUUUGAUAUAAGCAAGAAGAUAAAUAUAAAUAAAAAGUAAAAAAUAUUUAAACAAACGUAAUUUAUUAAUUUAAUUAUCAUUGUACAACGAGUGAGAUGUCAAACGGGCAAUAAGUUGCGUAAGUAAGCCUUUUUGUAUGGUAAAACUAAUUCUUUUGAAGACUACCUCUAUAGAUCUUAGAGAUAUAACAUUGCUAUGCAUGAUCUGUUGUACUCUAUUAAGAAGCUCUAACGCAUCCGACGCGAGGAAACCAAAGGUAUCAAAUGCAAAUGGUAUGAACACGUGUUGAUUUUCCAUGCACGAUUUCUCAUAUUCUGUGACUUUGCUUGUAGCAGCUUUUAAAGCAAUCUGUCCCGUCGUGAAAUCCCUAACCCUCAAGCCCACAAGAAUGGAUACCCCUGUAAGGUCCACACAUGCGUGUUUCCCUUCAAACCAUCCAAAAAUCAAAAUGUCAGCCGGUAUGAGGGUUGACCUUCCUUCUGCCGAGUCAGUCAAGAAAUUCACAGGUGCCUCUUUCUUUGCGGAAACCCCGACACACUUAAAUAUGUCAAACAAAACAUCCCUAACCAUAUUUUGCCUGUAUUUGAACCCCAAGAGUUCUUUACGGUGAACUGCAUGCUCUCCAAAAGAGUCCAAACAUGCCUUGCGACACAUCAGACAUAUCUUGUCAGCUGAGAAUAUUAGGAUCAUGAGUCGAUAUUUAAGGAUAGUACGAUAAUCCACAUGAGACAUAUGUUGGUCAAACCCAUCUAUAAGGAUAAACUAGAAUAAAAUCUUGAGCAUGUGGUGCACGUAAGCACUGGAAAACCACUUUCUGUUGAGCUGUCAUGUUGAGAUGCACUUCCAUAUCUUGGAUAAUUUUACAAAAAAAGGGCACUCAAUAGUGUAUUUUGGGAUUUAGGGGGGGGGGGUGUCUUUAGUAGUAAAACUGCUAAGGUUAAAAUCCGGAAGCCUGUUGCUAAGAGAAGUCAAUGCACAAUCAUAAUCAGAAUCCAUACCAUAUAUGUCGUUAUCCCGUAAGAUGUGGUCUUAAAAAAUAUUUAGUUUUUCUUUCUUUUUCUUAGGCCAUCGGGUAUGAUAACGGGUGAACAUCUCUCCACAUCAUCAUCAGACUUGUUCACAAUUCAUUCAAUAUAGGUUGGAAAUGGCAAUGUUUUAAAACCUGGGUUUUUAGUUGACCCGGUGUGAUGACCGGUUCACGGGUCAACCGGUUCAACCGCCAAGUCAACCCGGUUUAUAGUCUUUUUCUAUUUUCUUAUAUUUUUAUUUUCCUACAUACUACAUAGACAUAUAAUACCAAUUAUUUGAUGUCAACAGAGUUUAAUCUAAACACAACAAACAAUCUAAAGACAACAAACAACCACAAAGAGUAUUAAUAACAUGUUAUAGAUCAAUAACAAAACAAACAACCACAUAGAAACCAUAGUUACGACCAAUCAAUCUAAACACAACAAACAAUCUAAACACAUAGAAAACAUACUUGUAGACAAAUCCAAACACGUUACGACCAAACCAAAUCAUGGAUCUUGAGAAAUUGGAGUAUUAUAAGCAUCAAUCUCACGGUCACUUAGUAACUGAAAUUCACUAUCAACUUCAUCAUCAACAUGGUCACCUUGUGAUUCAGAAGUCGGUUCAUGCUCUUGCUCAUCAAGCAUAUUUUCCAAAUCAUCAUAAUUAAGUUCUCCUUCCCGCUCUUCUUCAACCACCCAAAAUCCUAUCUUAUCAAUAUUUUCAUAGUCAACAGGAUCGUAAGACCUCAUAUCAACCUUCAAUCUACAAAAACAUUCACAAAAAAUCUCAAAUAUAACUUGGUCCUUUUAUAGCAUAGUAUAUCUUAGCAAGAUACCAUACCUAUUUUGUAAACGCAAGUUGUAAUGAACAAAUACAAGAUCAUUUAGCUUUGAUGUUCCAAUCUAUUCCUUCGUUUCAUGUGAAUCCUUUCAAAUACACUCCAAUUAUGUUCGCAACCGGAAGAAGAUGCCAUUUGACUUAAUAUUCUAAUAGCAAACUUUUGCAAAACCGGAAUAUCUCCGCCAAAUAACUUCCACCACUCAUCUACAAAAGAUAUAGUUAGCAAAACAAUAUAUUAAAAAAUACAAAAUUUUAUAUAUAAUAAUAACAAAUUAAAUUUAAAUCAUACCUGGACGAGUAAGAUUACGAGAAGCAAUGACACUAAAUCUACCAAAGGUACCUUCAGCAUCACGAAACCUGCCUAAAUUCAAUAUAAUAUUUAAAACAUCAUCACCUUUAAAAGUCUUCUCAACCAUUUCAAGAACGCCUUGAAACACCUCAUUCUUCUUACAAAGAUUUGCAUGAUCAUAUUGAAAAAUAGGAUUCAACCAAUAAGCCGCACAAUAAAUACUUUUUCUUAACAUCAUAUCCCAACGACUAUCAAUUAUGUUAGUGUAAGGCCUAUAUUAUUUCUUCUUCUUUUUAAACAAUUCCUUAAUCCCUCUUCUUGCCCGACACAUUCCCUCGUAAACAUAACUAACUGUAGGUUUUUCAUCCGAAUCACACAAUCGCAAAAGCUUUAACAAAUGAGUCAUUACUUUCACUGUAAUCAAACAAUUCUUCCAAAAGAUUUCAUUCAAGACAAUUUGUUUACAUUCAACCACAUUUCCCACUUUCAACAUCUUCUUAAACUCAUUAGAUAUGACCAUUGCUUGUAAGUCUUCUUUAUGAUCAUAUAAACUUUGCAAUGCAAUGAACACGGUACCAAACUGAGUAGCACCUGGACGGAUAAUUUCUUUCCAACCGGGUCUUUUUCUUAACCAAUUCAAGGGCCACUUAUGAUUAUACACAAAAACAGUAACCCUCGAUGCAAGAUUGACCAAACUUUUCACAUUAUCCAAUUCUUAAAGAUCCUUUAAUACAAGAUUAAGACAAUGUGCUGCACAUGGAGACCAAGUAAUAGAAGGAUAUCUUUCACAUAACUUAGUACCAGCAAGCUUGUAAUUAGCAGCAAUAUCAGUUACCAUUUGCACCACAUUUUUUUCUCCUACCAUUUCAACAAUCUCAGCAAACAAAUUACACAAAUUUGUAGCAUUGCUCUCUAUAUCAUAUGCAUCAACAGAUUUAAGAAAUGAUAUCUUUUUCGGACAAUAAACCAAGAAAUUAAUCAAAUGUCGUUGUGAAACAUCCCUCCACCAUCACUCAUAAUUGUGCAUCCAGUAUCAACCCAUUGACUUCUUAACGAAUCAAUUAUCAAUGAAACUGACUUUUUUGCAUCUGUCAAUAAAUUAACCUUUAGAGCAUGAUAAUUAGGUGCUUUGUAUCCAUAAUCAGUACUUGCUAUUUUAUCUACCAUAAGUUGAAAAAAAGGAGAGUUGCAAGCAUUCAUAGGUAUAUAUGCAUCAUAAAACCACAUAGCAAUAGCUAAAUCCACAUCAUGUAUUUUUGCCUUACUUUGCAUUGCAGAUUUGAUAGUGGUUGGGAAGGAUCAUUUAUACCUUUCAUAAAAAAUGGAUGCAAGUUUGAAGAAAUAUUUCAUUUUUCCUUUUUUCAUAGUUGAAAUUUCUGCUUCCUCCAUCUCUUCAUCAUCAUCCAAGAUAGUAACACUAGUGGUACGUUUUUCUUUUUCUUUUUGGGCAGUCUCUUUCAAUUUCCCUUGCAUAGUAAACCGCACUUCAGGACUAACUUUUGGGCAUGCUACAACCUCUCCUUUAAUACCAACAAGAUGUUUCUUAACCCUAUUUAUUCCACCACCACCUAUAACUUUUUGACAAAAAUUACAUAUCCAUGCCUUUUUCCCCUUCUCAUCAACGACUUGAGUAACAUGUUCCCAUGCUAUAUCCGUGUUUGUUCGUACAUUUGAUUGAACCGAAGAAUGGGAUUGAGCUUGAGAUUGUGCUUGCAAUGGUUCUUCUUCCCUUGAUUCCAUAUUUAACUGCAUUGAAAAGUAAUGUUAUAAUCAAUAAACAUAUGUCAAUUGUAUCCUAAUUACAUAAUCUAUACAAUCAAAACCUUGAAACAAUGAUCAAUUAACAAUAAAUGAACUCUAAACUAACCAAAUAUGUCACAAUCACAUAUUUCACAGUCAAAAGAAAAUUGAUUUCAUAACUAGGUAGAGAAGCAACAUUCGAAUGGUCAACUAAAAACCCGGGUUUUAAAACAUUGGGAUUAAGUACACAAAACAUAAAAACAAUACAUUACGUGAUCGAAAUUUACAUGUGUUGAUUUCAAAAACCUUCACGUUCCAAUGGUAAAAAAUAUACAAUAACUUAUUCAAAAACUAAUAAGUUUUAUAAAAUCUACAUCGGAGAUGAUCUUAUCAAUUUCUGGUUUCCAAAUUUGAAUUAUAAAAUAAAUUGAUAAAUACAAACAUCUUAAAAUCAAUAAAUUAACUUACUAAAGAUUAUUGUUAUAAGAAUUACCUAAACUUGAUCAAAUUCCACAUUGGUAUAUCUACCGAUAACAAGGCAAUGAUACCAAAAAGAAAAUGUUUUUUUUAUUGAUUACGUCAAACUUCAAAAUGAAUAUAAAACAUAUAUAAUUCUUCUAUUAAUACAACUGACUAAUUAAGUGAUAAAUAUUGGUUGAUAUUGACAAAUAGAUUUGUUUACAUUCCACCCACUUCACCUUUGAUUUGUUUUUAGAUUUAAACUUUUUCUCAAUAAAAUUGACAAAUUUAAACAUGAAACAACCAAUAAUUUUGACAAAUAUUGGUUGAUAUUCAUAAUGAAAGUAUUCCAUUGUUAACUUCAGUGAUAAAUUGAACAAGAUGCUCAGAAAGAGAAGCAACAUAACCUGUCACACCCCAAAACCAUGAAUGGUAGAAACAUUCUGGGGCGGAGGACGUCAUGUACAAUAUCACAAACAAUGAAUAAUAGUAAACAAGCAACAACAUCAUCAAUUGCAUUAAUAAUAUAAUUUCAUACAUGUGUGUUCUGUCAAAGUUAUAAACACCAAAAAUAUACAUAUCAAAAUAAAAGAUGAGUCUUGAACGAACUCCAUCUUCUCAAAAGCCUGGCACCUGUACCUGUCUAGUGGUGACCUGAGAAUACAAGUUAUUUUGAAAGCGAGUAUCAGCUUAAUGCUGGUGAGAUCAUAAGUAUAUUAAUGUCUGAGUUUGUAUGAAAACGUUUGUAAAAUGUUUCUAUAAGAUGUUUUGUAUAAUGUUUGAGCUCUCCUAGAAAACCCUAUGUUUCCUACUAACUAUAGCCUUCUACCAAGGCAUCUAGUGUCUGUGUAUAUGUCUCUUGAUAGAGUCUGUGUUUUCCCCAAUUCAGACUAUCAUUAACCAAAAAUAUAGAUUCUACAUUAUCGUGCAUCGUGUGAAUAUUCACGAAGUGAAUGUUAAUGGAAAAAAUGAGAUAGUACUAUGGUGUAGUGUCGUACUACAACCGUACUAAUUACCUUAAGUCUAGGGUAAUUCUUAUAAGUACUGUAGUAUUUGUAAUAAGUGACUAACUCUGUACUCCUAUUGCCUUAUUUGAGGGAUAAGGCCUAAUGUGAUGGCUAGAUCCCAGGCUAGNCCCCCCCCCAAUCAAAGGGAUUUUGGGACCUUUACACGACUCCUGCAUAUUUGCACGCCGUGAACAUCCACAUUACUAUGAUCAUGUAUACCCGAUAUAACUAUAACACUACGUUGUGAUUCAUCGGUAUAGUUAGAUCCUGAACUUGUUCUAUGCUAUAGCACCUAAUGAUGUCUGUCCUAUUAUCGUAUAUGUAAACGCACUCAUGUAAACAUAUCUAUGUAAACGUACUCAUGUAAGCUUACUCAUGUAGCGUAAUCAUGUAAACAUAUCUAUAUAAUAGUAUGGUAAUGUACUGUAAUGUUCUGUGUGUGCUAGCUGUAAUGUGUGUUCUCUCUCUAUCUAGCAUGUAUAGUAAUGUACUGUGUGCACUAGCUGUAAUGAGUGUUCUCUCUCUCUUUAGCAAGUAUUGACUCAUGAAUGAACUGACUCAUUGUAUGUUUCAUUGUUCUAGUAAUAAUAAUAGUAUCCUCCUGUGUUACCCCUAUGGUAACUUAUUAGUGAUGUACUGGUACGUAUGAACAUGGAAGUAUACCCUUGCUACCCAAGGGUACCGAAUGAACUAGAAGGAUCUUUUAUGACUAUAUAUGUACACAUGAUAUAUAACUAAUAUUUAAACGAACAUCUCAAGCGCGAAAAGGAAAUAGGGUGGAUAGCCUUCGUAAGUCCUUUAAACAUUUCUUAUAUAACUAUACAUACUUAGAUAUGCAAUUGAUAAUAAGUAAAACAGAGUUAAGCAGAUGUAUUUGAUAAGUAUAAGAACUUGUAAAACAGUUUGAAGCAAAACAGUUUGAUAAACAAUUUAAACAAUAAGGAAAUCAUUGGUUUUGUAGUUAUUAAUCACAUGUGAUUGAUGUAAUAACUAUAAGUAUUUGACUUGUAUCCCCCCCUCUCCCUAUAUAAGCAUUUAAAAACAUUUAAACCAUUGAUUAAGGGGUAUGAACUCACUUGUGGUGAGUGGAUUGGAUUGGAGUGUCGGGUACGGUGCUAGGUGACAAAUGGAGACUUGUACACACGCACGAGCCUAGUUAUCAUAUAAUGAACAUAUAUAUAACUAAUUAGCCAAUUUAUAACUAAUAAAUUAAGUUGGGACACUCUAGAACAAGAAAACACUUUGUUUCAAGUGUUAAAGAUCACAAGGAUUGCAUCCAAGUGUUGGUAGGGCAAAGCUAGGGUGUUUAGAGUUCAAGGGUAAACUCUCUUGGAGUUCACGGUUUUGAUGGUCAUAACCCAAGGAGUUUACGACAGUAAACUCUAGGGUUUACGGUCGUAAACUCUACUCCUAUUGACCAUGUGUUGUUUUGUGGUUUAACAAGCCUUUUGAAGCAUUUCUACUAGGUGAUUUGGCCUUUGGAAGGGACUAGGGCAACAAAAACACUCCUUAGAGGAGUUUACGGCCUCAUGGUCAUUCCCCUUUGGGUUUACUACCGUAAACCCUUAUGGAAAAGGGUAUUUCCAUGUUUUCAAGUCCUUAACACAACUAGAUAAUAGUCUAAGUUAGUUUUUAGGCCUAAGGAAGGAAAAUGACCCAUUUAAACACACUUUAGGGUGUUUACGGUUUUGGGAGAUCCCCAAACCGUAAACACCUAUAAAUGUUGGUCUUUGGUGUUUUUCAAGGCUUAGACACAAUAAGGGAAGGUUUAAACUUGUCAAGGAUGGCUUAAACAUCAAACUAGGACUUAGAUUAGGGACUUAGGCACCAUUUGUGCCUUUCUUGGUGUUUACGGCCCAAGAACAUUCUUGGACCGUGAACACCUUUAACCUUGUGUUCUUGGCAUAAUUUCUUGAUGUUUAAAUGUAAUACUAGCUUAACAACACUCAAGGAAGGAAGUACUUACGAUUAAGAGGCUUGAUUUGAGCUAAAAGUCCAAGAACACUUAGUGUGUGCUCUUGGUGUUUUGGAAAUCUAGACAAAAUACAUAAAUGAAUGGAUGAAUAGAUGUACAAACACUAGAUUAAGUGUUUUACUAACUUAAAAUGGUUAGAACACUUACAACUUUGAAGAUUUGGAAUCAAAUCUAGGACGAUACUUAAAAGCCUUUUUGGAGUUUACUUUUUUGGGUAUUUGGGGAGUAAACACAUAAUGACUAGUCUUGGGGAGUAAACUCAUACAUAUGUAUGAGUUUACGGUUUUUGGGAUGAUUUUUCAACCCAAACAUAAUAGUUUGGCCGGGAACUUCUAAGACACGAGGUGUUUGCGGUUUUUAAAAUUCAAAACCCGAGACGACACUUUCUUUCACCCGAUCGUUUAAAAAUAAUAUUAAAAUAAUAUUUCUUAAAAAUAAGAAAUAAUGACAUUAACUUAUGAUACGAAGUGGUUGACUUUUAGGGUUUGACCGAAUGGAAAUUUCGGGUUGUCACAUAACCCAAUCAACCACAAACUUGUAAUACCAAACAAAGAUAUGCUUCAGAAAUCGCAAAUCAUUAACUAGAUAGACUCAAAAUUGGAUGAUUGGAGUAAGUGGAUUAGUAAUAGAGGGGGAAUUGGUCGCUGUUUUGCAGGAAAAUAAGGAUGCAGGAAAACAAAAAAACUCACCUGGAGAAGAAUGAAAUCGCUGUGCUCGCUGCUUGCCUGCUUCAGUUGCUCCUUCAAUCUCCUUCAACGACUAUAGUUCAAUCGUUGUUGAUGUCGUUCCUUGGUCGCUGCUUUGUUUCUUCCAGUUGCUUUUCUUUCCCAGAGGAGACGAGUUUGUUUUCCCUGGAGAGAGCCGAUCUCACUUAAUUAUCCAAACCCUAAUAAACGGGCCAAUCCGGGUUUUUAGCGGUUCGAGAUACCCGGUUCAACCGUGAUUUAGUGUAAACCCGGCCGGUUCGAUCCGGUCGGUAUUUUUACAAAAACCCGCUCUAAUUUGACCCACCUUUUAUCCUGGAUCACGGUCCAACCGGUUGAACCGGCCGGGUCGACCCGAGUUUUAAAACAUUGGGAAAUGGUACUAGUGAACAAGAGAGAACAAAAGAGAGAGAGAGAUAAAUGGUUUUGAUUCGAUGCGAGAACCUGUGAGUGGUUUCAAUCCACACCACCAUUACACCCCACCAUUACACCCAUUGAGGAUGAUUUACUAGUGAACAUCUCUUUCACAUACUUCAAAUGAAGUCCAUACCUCAUGGCCUAUUAUUAAAAUUUUGUGAUUACCACCCAAAACAAACCAUCAUAGAUCAUAUAUUUAACAAAGGCAAAAAAGAGAAAAUGACAAAUGAGUUCUCUUUGUUUUUAGUGAAGCUGGCCGGUUUAAACCUCGGAAACAUGGAGAAUAUUCGUCGCGAAUGAGAUCGAUCGCCGAAUAUCCUCCUUGAUUGUUUCAAUCCAAUAUUUUAUCCAUCCAAGCCAUUGUCAAACCUCUAUUCCUCUCUGUAUAUAUACGUACAUCUGGAACAGACGUGUGAUUUAUACCAAGUCAUCCAUAUUCCCAAAUUUCGACUUGUUUUCUAGGGUAAGAGGUGGAAUCAUCGAACAAGAUGCAAUUCCGUAAGCUUCUGAAUAAAUUGAUCGACGAGAUGAUGCCGGAUUGGAGAGAUAAGUUUCUGUCUUAUAAAGAUCUGAAGAAGCAAUUGAAGCGGGUUUACUCCAGAGACGGUCGCUGUAACAAGAGGAUGAAAUUGAGCACCGGUGACGACAUUGAGCCGGCGGUGGACGAGAAGGCGGUUGCUGAUUUCGUGAAAUUGUGCCAGGAGCAAACCGACAAGCUUAACGAUUUCGUCCUUGAAAAACAAGAGUGGUAUAUCAUCAAACUGGAGGUAAUUUUGAUUUCUAAAUUUCGAAUUGAAUCGUCAAUACCUGCAUCUCGAUUGUGCUGUUAUCAAAUCCUAUAAUUGUUCCUGUUUACAUCUUAAUUGCUAAAUGUUACGUUAUCUCUUCCAUAAACAGAUGGAAAUUCGAUAUUCAUCUCAAAUUUCGAAACUUCACGGAUGAUCAUUUCUGUUAUUGAAUUCGUUUCAGUUGUUGGCUCUUCAUAUGAAUCUAACCAAUUAGUGUUAUAAUGUUGGGUUAUCACUUUAUUGUGCACAAUUCAUGCAUACUGUCACAUAUCUAAUGCAAAUCAUUUUAAAGGUGCUAGAAGGUAACUUGAUCGCAGCCAAGGAUUCAAGUGAAGAGUUGAGGAAAGUUGCUAGAGACCUCGCAGAUUUACAUGGGGAGAUAGUUCUCUUGUUAAAUUACAGUGCACUCAAUUACACAGGUAUUCACUAACCUCUACAGUCUUCAUUUCUCCAAACAAUUUAGUAUCUCCUUCUUUACAGUUUCAAAUCAUGUUACAGGAUUAGUUAAGAUACUGAAGAAACAUGACAAACUAAGCGGAGCUCUUCUUCGUGUGCCUUUCAUCCAAAAAGUUAUGAAUGAGCCAUUUUACAAAACUGAUGUUCUAAACAAUCUUGUUAAGAAGUGUGAGAUGAUGCUGGACCAAUUUUUAUCCACGAAGCAACAAAGUUCAUCCCCAUCUGAAUCAGGAAACAGGAAAGAAGGAAGGAGUUCUGAACCAAAUGAGGAGUCGUCUUCUGUUAGGGUUCCUGAAGAACUGGUUGAUAUUGAGAACAGGGAGAACACAUACAUGAAACAAACUCUUUCAGCACUUAGAGUUUUGUCAGAAAUUCGAAAUGGAAGCUCGACUGUAAACUCGUUUUCACUACCCCCGAUGCAACAGAACAAGGAGAGGGAGGAGGUAUGGAAGAAAACUUAUGUUGUUGAAGAAGUUGCUAAGUGAAUCAACAACACCCAUAACUUUGUAACAAACAGCCUUUGAUUUUUGAACAAAGGAGGAAUAAGAUGAACAGUUGGUUUUUUCUUGGGACGAUAACCUGUAAUUGAUAAUUAGGAAUCGAUAAUGUAAUAUAUUUUCUUUUAUAAUCACAAAAUUUGUGACAUCUAAUUAAGUUUAUUUAUACCAGUUUGGUCUCGGUUUUUUUAAUGGGGACUAGCUGAAACAGGUCAUUUAGUUCACAAUAAAAUGAAACAAAGAGGACUAUCCCUACAAGAAAACUCAAAAUUGGACUGGAUAUGUCAUUUUCACCAAACAACAUGGAGCGUGCGAAAGAGGACUCAAUCUCAAAGAAUAGAAACAUGCAAACAUUUUUUGUGAAGCGUGACGGAGCUUUUUCGCAAAGAUAUAAAGUUUGGUGAAUACCAAACAAAAGACAAAUUAUGACUAAAAUUUGUGACGUAAAACAAAAUAGUCAUGGAAUUUAAUAGAAUGUAUAAGAAUUUGUGCAACCAUCGAAAAACCCGUCAAAGUGAUAGGACACAUGUUGACUAGGCACUUCAGAUAUACGGAAUAAAAAUAAAAAUAACGAGAAACCUUCAAAUUUUUAUUGAGUUUUGGAAAGGUGCUGUAAAAAGCCCAAAAUGGAAUUUGGUGGAAACAAUGGAUCAAAAUGCUAGUGUUUCAAAACAUUUAGACUUUUGACUCCAACUACACAACUUUUUCGGAAGCUCGUGUUAGGGUUAACCUCGGCUUCGGUGAUGACGAGCUUGAAAUUGAAGCAAUUAUAAAGCCAAGAAGAAAGGUUCUUCCUCUACUUUACCGGAAGAUAAGUUGGACUUCCAAAAAAUGGCUAAUUUGUUCGACCAUUUUAAUUCCAACUUUAAUGUGUAUAUGGAAUUUGAAAAAGAGAAGCUACAUCUAAAAGACAACACGUGAAGAAAAGCAACGGGUCAAAGAUAUAAAAUUGUUGUUGGUGAGGAACGGAGUGAGAGAAAAUGACAUGACGUUGAUGUGAUAGACAAAAAAUAUAAAAAGUAUGAUACCACAUCUCAUAGCCUAACCCCUAUAAAACCUAAACAAAGGAAACAUUAGAUACCAAAACUAGGAUUUGCUUUGUGAAUUUGUCUUUUCUGAUCGACAAAUCCACCACAAAAACAAGAGAAUUGAGAAGUGGCGAGAUCCGAAAGCAAAAAGAGAACUAUAGAGAGGAUCACCACCAACUUGUGUAAAAUCAAGGUUGUAAAAGUCGUUAGGCGGUGGUCGGGCGGUCGAUUAAGGUUAAAGGACUAAUCGGUUUAGGCAGAGAUUAAUCGACGCCUAGGCGAAGACCCUUAAUUGUAAUAGAUUUUUUUUAAUUAAUAUUACCUAUAUCCUAACAAAAUAAAAAACCAUAAAACUUAGACAUAUUCAAAUGUCUAAAUAUUUAAUCAUUAUAUAUAAUAAUUUUUUAGACUAAUUGAGGAUAUUUUUAAUGGUUUUAGUCAUCAAUUGUCAUAAUUUAGUCACCCAAUAACAAAAAUUUGACUAAUCAGAGUUUUUCUUUUCUUUUUUUUUUUUUUUUUUUGUUGAAAAUUUUGCCUGAUUUUUUUAUCGGCUUAGACCGUCUAGAUCGCCUACAGCCGCCCAAGACCGACUCCACCUACCUCGACCGACUAACAUUAAUCGUAGACAGUAAGAGGCCGCAUGGACCAAUUUUUACAAGAUGGUGUAAAAUAUAUAAAUACAAGAAAACACCUAUUUGUAUAACACAUAUUCAAGUAUAAAACCAAAUGAAAAAAUGAAGAUACAAGGAUAAAACCAUUCGUAAAUAGGAAAUCUCAUAGUGGUACUUAAAUCUGGUAAAAGGCCUACUAAUGCUUCUUUAGGGUACUAACUAGUGAAUUGAGGAGGGUUGAGGUUGUAGACGAUAUAGGAGGGCUGAGGUUGUAGCGAUGGAAAAGCGAAAAGUUUAUAUAUGGUGGGUAUGGUGUCAAUGAGAGAACAAAAGAACCAAAAGAGGACGUAACAAUAACAUGUUAAGGGUGAUGGGAAAAUAUAUAGGCGGUGUGAUAUUUUCAUUCUAUUUACUUAUUUUUAGAGUUUAUUUUAACAUAUUUCAUUUUAUCUUAGCUAAUCUCCAUGCAUAUUUUCCUUUUUUGUUAUUUUAUAUCUGUAUCAUAUACUUUAUAGUCUUUUGAGUUUAAUUGUGGAUUUAUUAAAGACUAUUCAAUGUGAAGCGAUGGUAGAGUGCGAGAUCAUGCUAUUUAAAGUUUGCAGUGUAUUUCCAGAUUAAUGGAUGAUAACAAUUGGACUUGAUGUAAAUAAGAAGAACAAGAUAGAAUCAUAUGUGCUACUGAUCCAAGAGGAUGUGAUGAUUUGGACUAUGAAACAUCAAGGAAGAUAUGGGCUAAUCGGAGUGUUUUGUUGACAAUCAAUUGGGCCUAUAAGGCAUUCAAGUGGGCCGAACCAAAUACAAGAAGAGAUGGAGGGAGAUAGCCUUUAAAAAGAAACGAUCCUUCAAUUCAACACGACUCACGCGGUGCAAAUGAGUCUGUAAAGUUCACGUGAGCUCGUAGGGGCAGAUUUGAAAUUUCAGUUAUGGCUGCUCUAUGGGGAAAGUUGGUGAGCUUUUUUGCUUAUUUUUGGAUCCAAAAAAUCAAGGUUUUUCUCUGCAUCUUGCGAGCUCUUGGAGGGGAAGAAGAACUUGAAAAACACAUCAUUUUCUGUAACACCCCGACUCCCAGGUAUUAAUUUUCAGCUUUACUCUUUCAUAUUGAAAAGUCUACUCGACGAGUUGGAGGCCCUGACUCGUCGAGUAGGAACGCGUUUGGACCACAAACUUAAGUGACCAACUCGCCAAGUCGGAUGACACGACUCGACGAGUUGGAUCUGGAGGACGAAACCUUAAUUUCUGGGGUUUUGCACCCUAUUUAAAGGGUCAUUAGCCUCCCAUAUAGCCCCUUGUGAGUCCAGAAACCCUAAAUCAUAGUUUUCUCUCCAUACUUGUGUGUUUUAAGCGUUGGAAGGUGGAUAUUGGUGAGAGGAAUUUGAAGAUCAAGAAGUUUGACCCAAGGAACGUGUGUGGAUCUGAAGUCUACCCCCGUUUAGCAUCAUUUGAAGGUAUCAAGUCGUUACCUUGAUCUUCUUCUAUCCAGAUCCUUCUAUAUUUCAGUUUUGGGGCCAUUUUGGCAUAUUGGUGCUUCAUUUCGAGUGAUGAACCAAGAUCUGAAGUUGCAACUUCAGAUCUAGGCUCAUAUUGGCCCUUACAAUCAUAAAGUCUCAGUCUUUAGCAUGCUAGUGUAAUUCCCUUGCCUAGAAUCUCUUAUUUAGCUUGAUUUAAGUCAUUAGCACCUUGCAUGUACGUAAAGUUCGCAACUUUACGUAAGAAGUAUGACUUAGGAGCUUGGAUCUACAUUAUGGAGCUUUGGAAUGGAUUAAAAAGCAUCUGAAUGGAGAAAAGACUGAGAGGACUUGACGAGUUGCAUGGUCAACUCGACGAGUCCGAUGAAGAUUGUCGUGUAAGGGUUUCUGCAUGGACUCGGCGAGUCAGUAGGAAGAAUUGGCGAGUCAGUGGGAAGACUAGGCGAUUUGCAGGGAAACUCGACGCGUCGAUGGGAGAUUUCACGACUUCUCGGGUUCAGGAAGGACUCGACGAGUCGGUGAAUUGCACUCGACGAAUCGGGUCAACAUGGACUGUUGACCUUGACCAAUGGUUGACUAGUUGAAUUUUGGGGUAUUUUGGUAAAUUGGAAAUUUAUGAAUAUGGUUCUAUGGUAAAUAUAGGCGGUGGAGUACGUGGCGGUGAUUUGAGAGUUUGAACUUAUCACUUCAAUUCGACAGUUGUGAGAUGAGUUUUCCUCACUAUACUCAAGGGUCUAAGGCACCAAGGCCGGUCCUUUGGAUUGUCAUCCUGAUAUAUUAUAUGCUGAGUAUUGUAUGAUCUGUUAGAUCAGUAUCCUGUUAGAUAGGAUUGUAUAUGCUGUUAUGAUCCAUUAGAUCAAUAUCCUAGUAGAUAGGAUGUUAUAUGCGGUUAUGAUCUGUUAGAUCGGUUUGUUGGUUUAUAGAUUGGUAUGUGGUUAUUUGUUAUAUGUGCACAUGUUUGAUUAGGGGUUGAGGCUUUUAUGCUUUGUGCUAAAGCCAAUAGACCUGGGCAUUCCAACCCGAUGGUCGUGGGCCGUGAGUAUUCCAUCCCCAGGAUGACUGAAUUCGUAAUAUGUGGGGAUUCCAACCUAUUGUUGUAGGCCUGGGGUAUUCCAUCAUGAGUAUGAUUGGACCCAUAGUAUGUUGGCAUUCCAACUGGAUGGUUGAGGGCAUAGGGUAUUCCAAUCCGAUGGUUGACUGGACCCAUAACAUGUUGUUUGUGAUUAUAUGAGUAUUGUUGUGUGUAUGAGUGUUUUGGGGGAACUCACUAAGCUUUGGGCUUACAAUUUCAGAUUUGGUUUCAGGUACAUCAGAUGAUCGCGGGAAUGCAAAGGCGUGAUCAUACAACUCCUCAUGUUUAUGACUUGUUUCUGGGAUACUUUGAUAUUAUACUAUUUUGAAAACAAGUUUUGUAAUAAUUAAUGGUUUUGAAAAAGUUUAAAUUUGGCAUGAUUUUUAUGGGUGUUACAUUUUCAUCUUGUUUUCACUUGGGUUAUGUUUGGUAACUCUAAACUAAUUUACUUUUCUUUAAUCUUAGUCAUGUUAGACUAAGUUUAUCUUUGGUUGAUGUUGGUUUAAUCCAUGGACGACUAAUCAUUUUGAAGAUAACUUAUGGACUUGUGGUUGCAGUUUAUGGAAGUAAUUUCUAGUUAAACAUCUUUUCUAUGUUUGUUUGUCUUUAAUGAUGAGUUUAUGAAUGAAUAUUUGAUUUGUUUUCAUUUCAAUUAGGCCACAUAAAUAUUUCUUCCAUAAUGGUAAUGCAAACAUUUGAUUACUUUUUGGACUUCGUGACUCUUAAAACUUAAUCCUAAUUGCUUUUCACAAAAUUACAUACUUCAGUGACUUUGUAACUUUAAUUAAGGAAAUGUACUGUAAGCUUCUCUAGCCAUCUUAAUAACAAAGAAGAGUUGAAGUGAUUUAUGCUUAUAAAUUACUAUAACCAAUUUAAAUGAAAUCAGAAACAUUGCACCAUAACAUCUAAUGACAAGUUAACUAAUUGUAUAUGUGGUGAAUACCAAUCUCAAUCUUUCUCUUCUUGAUUAAACUGAAAUCUUUACUUGUUUACUUGAUAUUUUUAUAUCUUAGUAUAACCUUAGUUUCUUUAAAACAACCAAAAGAUCAAAACCCCAUUUUUAACUUUUAUUUUUGUUUUGCAAGUAUUUGAACAAAGAUAUUUUUUUAGAAUUAUAAAUUGAACCAAUCUCUGUGGAUACGAUCUUUUUGUCACUAUACACUAUUUUAGUGUGCAAGAUUUAUAAUAUUUAUUUUGUUGGCUUCGACAACCAUCAUGGUGAUACCCACAUUCUUUAUUAAAAUCUUUAUAUUUAAGUUAAUAAUAAAAAAUAUUAAAAUUUCAAUAGGGUAAUUUAGUCAUUUCAAAUCAUUUAGAGACCAAAACCGCAACAAAAACCAUAUUUGAAGGACGGUCCGAAUGAAAAAUUAAAUUUAAGGACAAAACUUGCAUAUUAGACCGAACCACAAGGACGAGUCAUGUAACUUACUCAACACUAUUAAAAUAUGUACCAAAUCUUUAUCAAUAAGCAUGAGUAGGGAUAUCAAAAACUCUAUGGGACCCCGACUCCGUAUAGAAUAAAUUAAAAAAAAAAACAAGGACGGAGUCGG